rnacentral:lncRNA from 1 species
UCUCUCUCUCCCUCCAUGUUUUCUUACUCUUCUUUUGCAUUCUUUUAUUUUAUAAUGAUUUAUUGUUUAUUUUCCUUUUUUGUGCUUUUGACACAUUCUAAGUGAAGGUUCUUGAAAUUUUUGAUUAUAUAUAGUAUCUUAUGGGUGUUGAUGUUGUUGUCGUGAAAUUUUUUAUUUAUUCGUGAAUUUGAGGUUUUAAGUCAUUUCUAAUUCUAUCGAAUUCUUGAUAUUUUUUUAAUUAUUUAGUUUAUGGGUGUUUGUGUUUUUCUUGAGGAAUCGGUCAUCAAUGAUUUUGUUUCAAACUUAAUCCACAGUUUCUUUAGUUUUUGGUCAUUAAAGUAGAACCCUAAAAUGUUGUUUUAGGUUAUGAUUAAUGUUUCGCCGAAGCUCAAUAUUUUUGAAGUUUAGCUCGAGCUUGGUGUGUUUUAAACAUUUUUUGAAAAGAUUUAUGUUGUUGCUUUGUUGGUAUAACCAAGGUUUCCAUCUUGAGUUUUCAAUUAAGUUGAGGCAUUGUGGUUUUUUUUUUUUUGUGUGUGUAAGAUUGAUAUCAAACCAUUUUAAAGCUCGAUGUUGAGAUUUUGCUUUGUAAACUCUUAACUCAUUCUGGUGAUGUUGGUAAACUCAUGUUAACUGACUUAUGUUAAUUUUAGCAUGCGUUUACAGAGCAAAACUGCAAAAAUGGUUUGAUAUCAAAUCUAACACAAGAAAAACACAAUUCAACCUCAAAUUCAAAGCUUAAGACAGAAACCUCAGUUUUACCAAUAAAGCAACCUCACAAAUCUUAAAGAAAAUGCUAAAAAAACAGCAAGCUUAAGUUAAAAUUUAAAGAAACUAAGCUUCCACGAAAUAUUGAUUAUAACCACAAUUCAACAUUUUAGGUUUUUAGCUAAAUGACUGACAACUGAAGAAACUGUGAACCACAUCUUAAAGCAAAAUCAUCGAUAAUCAGUUCCUCAAAAAAACACGAACAUCUAUGAACUGAAUAUAGUGAAAAAAAAAUCAAGAAUUCUGUUGAAUUGAAUCAAAGAAAUUAAAUGACUUAAAAUCUCUCUGUCACAAAGAAAGAAAAAAACCAAUAAUAAUAAUAUCAACACUCACAAAAUAGAUACAUAUAAUAUGACCAAAAUUUUCUAGAACCUUCACUGAAAGGUGUCAAAAGCACAACAUAAGGAGAAGGAAUACAAAACUAUGAUGUGUAAUGAAGAAAAUUCUCAAAUAGAAAAACAAAUGGACAAAAGAGAAAAUAGAGAAAGUUAAGAAGAGUUCUUGAGACUAAUAUGUGUCAGGUGAGUUAAGGAACUUGUAUAAAACAAGAAAAGGAAAGAGGAGUAGAGAGAAAGGAAUGGUUACAACUAAAGAAAAAAACUUAUAAUUUUAUUUAUUCUUGGUUACUUAUUUGGUGUCAUUAAUUUGAAUGUUAAAAACUCUAAUUAAGGAAGAAUAGUUACAUUCGUUGUAUCACAUCUUUGAUUGUUAAGAUUAUAAUUUUGUGUAAUCAUUUGCUUGUUUAUUUGGGAUGGGAGAAUAAUAUGUUGGACAAUUUUAUUUUGACAAGAAUGACCAUGUUUGGAGAUGGUUUAAAGUACUUGAAUAUAUUUUUGUCUUAAUUGCCAGGUUUCGGCUAUUGUCAGAGUUUAGUUGGAUUUUGGAAUAACUUUUACUAUAUUUACAAGUGAUGUAUUUUGAAUUUUCAUAUGUUGUGUUUUGAUGAGGAUGAUAUAAAAUGAGUUUAAACAAAAAAAAAAAAAAACAUAAUACAUAACCAAACUUUUUAACUUGACCUCAAAUUAUAUUUAUGAUCUUCAACUUUGGAUGUGCACAAGUAGACCCUUAAACUAGUAUAAAAUUUAACAAAUAGACACAUAUAUCUUAUGUGACCAAUUCUUGUCCUACAUGGCAUUCUAGGUGUAUUAUGCCAAGUAGGACGUAUAUGUCUAUUUGUUCAACUUUAUACAAGUUUAAGCAUCUACUUGUGCACACCCAAAGUUGAGAUCAUAGAUAUAAUUUGAGGUUAAGUUAAAGGAUUGUUUAUGUAUUAUGCCUAAAAAUAAUAAUUGGAGAUUCAUGUAAUUUAUUCCAACUUGAAUGGGACUGAAAUAAAGUUGUUAUUAUUGUUGUUGCUCUAUAUUUUGUUGCACUACAUACUUCCAUUCGUCUGUUUCUUGUACUUUUGGCAACUGUCAUGCAAUCACAUGGCUUUGAAUAACUUAAAGUAUGGGUGUCAAACAGGUCGGACCGGGCCAAUUUGGAACCGGCCCUUUCAUUUUAAUCGGGUUGAGAGUUGAUUUUGAUGCUAGCUGGGUCGGGUUGGGUCGGGCCAAAUAAUAAAAAAAUUAAAACCCACCCUAACCCGACUCAUUUAAUCCAAUCCGGUCAAAUCCACCAAAAUCCGAUCAAAUCCAGUUAAAAACCGGUCAAACCCAUUUAAAAAAUAAAUAAAAAAUCCAAUAUACACUAUAUACACUCCAAUAUACAAUAUAUGUUUUUAAAAAAAUAUAUAAACAAUUACACAUAUAUACGUACCAUUCAAUAUAUAAUUAUAUAUGACUAUAUGUACUACUUUAAAUAAAACAUAUGCUAUAAUAGUAUAAUAUAUAUAUAUAUACACUACAAUAUAUAUAUAUAUAUACUAAUUUAUAAAACAUNNNNNNNNNNNNNNNNNNNNNNNNNNNNNNNNNNNNNNNNNNNNNNNNNNNNNNNNNNNNNNNNNNNNNNNNNNNNNNNNNNNNNNNNNNNNNNNNNNNNNNNNNNNNNNNNNNNNNNNNNNNNNNNNNNNNNNNNNNNNNNNNNNNNNNNNNNNNNNNNNNNNNNNNNNNNNNNNNNNNNNNNNNNNNNNNNNNNNNNNNNNNNNNNNNNNNNNNNNNNNNNNNNNNNNNNNNNNNNNNNNNNNNNNNNNNNNNNNNNNNNNNNNNNNNNNNNNNNNNNNNNNNNNNNNNNNNNNNNNNNNNNNNNNNNNNNNNNNNNNNNNNNNNNNNNNNNNNNNNNNNNNNNNNNNNNNNNNNNNNNNNNNNNNNNNNNNNNNNNNNNNNNNNNNNNNNNNNNNNNNNNNNNNNNNNNNNNNNNNNNNNNNNNNNNNNNNNNNNNNNNNNNNNNNNNNNNNNNNNNNNNNNNNNNNNNNNNNNNNNNNNNNNNNNNNNNNNNNNNNNNNNNNNNNNNNNNNNNNNNNNNNNNNNNNNNNNNNNNNNNNNNNNNNNNNNNNNNNNNNNNNNNNNNNNNNNNNNNNAAAGUGGUACAUAUAUAUAUAUAUAUAUAUAUAUGUAUGUAUGUAUGUAUGUAUGUAUGUAUGUAUGUGUGUAUGUAUAUAUACUACAAUAUAUAUACAAUUUAUAAAACAUAUACACAUGUAUACAUUAAAUAUACACAUCUAUAGAUGAUAUAUACACAAAUAUAAAAAACAUAUGCUACUUAAUAUAAUAACUUAAUAAUACUUGAUAGUAAAUUAAUAAUAUAUUAAAAGUAAGUUUUUAUAGUUAAUUAAUAAUAUAUUAAAAAUAAGUUUUUAAUUUAAACUAGAAAUUCAUUUUAAAUCAUUUUAAANNNNNNNNNNNNNNNNNNNNNNNNNNNNNNNNNNNNNNNNNNNNNNNNNNNNNNNNNNNNNNNNNNNNNNNNNNNNNNNNNNNNNNNNNNNNNNNNNNNNNNNNNNNNNNNNNNNNNNNNNNNNNNNNNNNNNNNNNNNNNNNNNNNNNNNNNNNNNNNNNNNNNNNNNNNNNNNNNNNNNNNNNNNNNNNNNNNNNNNNNNNNNNNNNNNNNNNNNNNNNNNNNNNNNNNNNNNNNNNNNNNNNNNNNNNNNNNNNNNNNNNNNNNNNNNNNNNNNNNNNNNNNNNNNNNNNNNNNNNNNNNNNNNNNNNNNNNNNNNNNNNNNNNNNNNNNNNNNNNNNNNNNNNNNNNNNNNNNNNNNNNNNNNNNNNNNNNNNNNNNNNNNNNNNNNNNNNNNNNNNNNNNNNNNNNNNNNNNNNNNNNNNNNNNNNNNNNNNNNNNNNNNNNNNNNNNNNNNNNNNNNNNNNNNNNNNNNNNNNNNNNNNNNNNNNNNNNNNNNNNNNNNNNNNNNNNNNNNNNNNNNNNNNNNNNNNNNNNNNNNNNNNNNNNNNNNNNNNNNNNNNNNNNNNNNNNNNNNNNNNNNNNNNNNNNNNNNNNNNNNNNNNNNNNNNNNNNNNNNNNNNNNNNNNNNNNNNNNNNNNNNNNNNNNNNNNNNNNNNNNNNNNNNNNNNNNNNNNNNNNNNNNNNNNNNNNNNNNNNNNNNNNNNNNNNNNNNNNNNNNNNNNNNNNNNNNNNNNNNNNNNNNNNNNNNNNNNNNNNNNNNNNNNNNNNNNNNNNNNNNNNNNNNNNNNNNNNNNNNNNNNNNNNNNNNNNNNNNNNNNNNNNNNNNNNNNNNNNNNNNNNNNNNNNNNNNNNNNNNNNNNNNNNNNNNNNNNNNNNNNNNNNNNNNNNNNNNNNNNNNNNNNNNNNNNNNNNNNNNNNNNNNNNNNNNNNNNNNNNNNNNNNNNNNNNNNNNNNNNNNNNNNNNNNNNNNNNNNNNNNNNNNNNNNNNNNNNNNNNNNNNNNNNNNNNNNNNNNNNNNNNNNNNNNNNNNNNNNNNNNNNNNNNNNNNNNNNNNNNNNNNNNNNNNNNNNNNNNNNNNNNNNNNNNNNNNNNNNNNNNNNNNNNNNNNNNNNNNNNNNNNNNNNNNNNNNNNNNNNNNNNNNNNNNNNNNNNNNNNNNNNNNNNNNNNNNNNNNNNNNNNNNNNNNNNNNNNNNNNNNNNNNNNNNNNNNNNNNNNNNNNNNNNNNNNNNNNNNNNNNNNNNNNNNNNNNNNNNNNNNNNNNNNNNNNNNNNNNNNNNNNNNNNNNNNNNNNNNNNNNNNNNNNNNNNNNNNNNNNNNNNNNNNNNNNNNNNNNNNNNNNNNNNNNNNNNNNNNNNNNNNNNNNNNNNNNNNNNNNNNNNNNNNNNNNNNNNNNNNNNNNNNNNNNNNNNNNNNNNNNNNNNNNNNNNNNNNNNNNNNNNNNNNNNNNNNNNNNNNNNNNNNNNNNNNNNNNNNNNNNNNNNNNNNNNNNNNNNNNNNNNNNNNNNNNNNNNNNNNNNNNNNNNNNNNNNNNNNNNNNNNNNNNNNNNNNNNNNNNNNNNNNNNNNNNNNNNNNNNNNNNNNNNNNNNNNNNNNNNNNNNNNNNNNNNNNNNNNNNNNNNNNNNNNNNNNNNNNNNNNNNNNNNNNNNNNNNNNNNNNNNNNNNNNNNNNNNNNNNNNNNNNNNNNNNNNNNNNNNNNNNNNNNNNNNNNNNNNNNNNNNNNNNNNNNNNNNNNNNNNNNNNNNNNNNNNNNNNNNNNNNNNNNNNNNNNNNNNNNNNNNNNNNNNNNNNNNNNNNNNNNNNNNNNNNNNNNNNNNNNNNNNNNNNNNNNNNNNNNNNNNNNNNNNNNNNNNNNNNNNNNNNNNNNNNNNNNNNNNNNNNNNNNNNNNNNNNNNNNNNNNNNNNNNNNNNNNNNNNNNNNNNNNNNNNNNNNNNNNNNNNNNNNNNNNNNNNNNNNNNNNNNNNNNNNNNNNNNNNNNNNNNNNNNNNNNNNNNNNNNNNNNNNNNNNNNNNNNNNNNNNNNNNNNNNNNNNNNNNNNNNNNNNNNNNNNNNNNNNNNNNNNNNNNNNNNNNNNNNNNNNNNNNNNNNNNNNNNNNNNNNNNNNNNNNNNNNNNNNNNNNNNNNNNNNNNNNNNNNNNNNNNNNNNNNNNNNNNNNNNNNNNNNNNNNNNNNNNNNNNNNNNNNNNNNNNNNNNNNNNNNNNNNNNNNNNNNNNNNNNNNNNNNNNNNNNNNNNNNNNNNNNNNNNNNNNNNNNNNNNNNNNNNNNNNNNNNNNNNNNNNNNNNNNNNNNNNNNNNNNNNNNNNNNNNNNNNNNNNNNNNNNNNNNNNNNNNNNNNNNNNNNNNNNNNNNNNNNNNNNNNNNNNNNNNNNNNNNNNNNNNNNNNNNNNNNNNNNNNNNNNNNNNNNNNNNNNNNNNNNNNNNNNNNNNNNNNNNNNNNNNNNNNNNNNNNNNNNNNNNNNNNNNNNNNNNNNNNNNNNNNNNNNNNNNNNNNNNNNNNNNNNNNNNNNNNNNNNNNNNNNNNNNNNNNNNNNNNNNNNNNNNNNNNNNNNNNNNNNNNNNNNNNNNNNNNNNNNNNNNNNNNNNNNNNNNNNNNNNNNNNNNNNNNNNNNNNNNNNNNNNNNNNNNNNNNNNNNNNNNNNNNNNNNNNNNNNNNNNNNNNNNNNNNNNNNNNNNNNNNNNNNNNNNNNNNNNNNNNNNNNNNNNNNNNNNNNNNNNNNNNNNNNNNNNNNNNNNNNNNNNNNNNNNNNNNNNNNNNNNNNNNNNNNNNNNNNNNNNNNNNNNNNNNNNNNNNNNNNNNNNNNNNNNNNNNNNNNNNNNNNNNNNNNNNNNNNNNNNNNNNNNNNNNNNNNNNNNNNNNNNNNNNNNNNNNNNNNNNNNNNNNNNNNNNNNNNNNNNNNNNNNNNNNNNNNNNNNNNNNNNNNNNNNNNNNNNNNNNNNNNNNNNNNNNNNNNNNNNNNNNNNNNNNNNNNNNNNNNNNNNNNNNNNNNNNNNNNNNNNNNNNNNNNNNNNNNNNNNNNNNNNNNNNNNNNNNNNNNNNNNNNNNNNNNNNNNNNNNNNNNNNNNNNNNNNNNNNNNNNNNNNNNNNNNNNNNNNNNNNNNNNNNNNNNNNNNNNNNNNNNNNNNNNNNNNNNNNNNNNNNNNNNNNNNNNNNNNNNNNNNNNNNNNNNNNNNNNNNNNNNNNNNNNNNNNNNNNNNNNNNNNNNNNNNNNNNNNNNNNNNNNNNNNNNNNNNNNNNNNNNNNNNNNNNNNNNNNNNNNNNNNNNNNNNNNNNNNNNNNNNNNNNNNNNNNNNNNNNNNNNNNNNNNNNNNNNNNNNNNNNNNNNNNNNNNNNNNNNNNNNNNNNNNNNNNNNNNNNNNNNNNNNNNNNNNNNNNNNNNNNNNNNNNNNNNNNNNNNNNNNNNNNNNNNNNNNNNNNNNNNNNNNNNNNNNNNNNNNNNNNNNNNNNNNNNNNNNNNNNNNNNNNNNNNNNNNNNNNNNNNNNNNNNNNNNNNNNNNNNNNNNNNNNNNNNNNNNNNNNNNNNNNNNNNNNNNNNNNNNNNNNNNNNNNNNNNNNNNNNNNNUGAGAAUUGAGAUUUGAGAGAGAAUGAGAUUUGAGAGAGUGAAAAUUUGUGUGAAAAAUGAAUUGAAGUUGUAGGGUAUUUACAGAAUUUUUUUGGGAUUAAAAAAUAUUUUUUAAAGUUAAUUUUUUUAUUUUUAAUAAAUGGGCCCAAACUAGCCGUUUGGACCCAAAAACGGCUAUAUAGCCGUUGGGCCAACGGCUAGUUUGGCCCAAAAUCUUUUUUUUUUUAAGAUAUCUGGGCCGGGCCGGGCCGGUUAAUCGGUGGGCCUGAACCGGGCUUGAUUCGGGCUGGGUUAGUCAGACCCAUUUUAAAAAAAUAACCGGCCCGGGACCCGAAACCCUAAAGCCCUAGGGCUUACCGGGCCGGGUCAAAUCGGGCCGGAUCGGCCCGGACCACUUGACACGUCUACCUUAAAGAGAAUUGUCCCUCUCUUCAAUCAGAGCUUCUUAAAAUUGUGGCAGGUUGUGAGGAUGAUUGUGUAAUACCUCACAUCUUGAUGAAUGUGCAAGUUGUCCUCUGCAUAUUUUAAAGACAUAAUACACCUUUUAACUAGACCUAAAAUAACAUCUAUGACAUUCAAUUUUGAGUAUGCACAAGUAGACACUUAAACUUGUAUAAAGUUAAUAAAUAAACGCAUAGUUCUAUGUGGCAUAAUAUACGUAGGAUGCCGUGUAGGAUAAUACAUUGGAAAAAAGGUGAAAUUUUCUCCUCUAUUAUCCAAAAAACUCUUGUCAAUUUUCAUUAUACUAUUGAGAUUCAAAAAAAACUCCCUAUGUUAUUUAACUGUCCAAAUAUGAAAGAGCUCAACGCAAAAAAAAAAAUACAUGUUGGAUCUUUGAAACUGUUAUAAAUAAUUUAUAUUAUAGUGAAUGUCUAUCAAGAUAUAUCGAGAUCUACUUUGAUAUCUAUUAGGAUUUGAAGCAUCUGUCUUUUACUUAGAUUAAGAGUAAAUUUCCCCUUUAAAUAGAGGGAUCUUGUUCAUUGUAUUCUCAAUUUUAUGAUCUCUCAUCCAUGAAGAGAAAUAAAAAGUCUCCCUCUUCUCUCUCUAUUUAUUCUUCUUGUUCUUUCUUUAUAUUUCAUAAUACGGCACGAGACACUACCAAACAAGAUGAGAUUAUAAAUCUAAAGGUAAUUUCAAGGUUAGUAAUUUCUUAUGUUAUCUGUCUUUUGCUACUAAUGAUGUAAUUAUUGUUGGAUUUGAGGAAAAAUAAUUGGUUUGAAACCAUUUAUGUUUUAAAUUUAUUCCUCAAGAAUAAUAUUAUUAAAAGGGAUGAUAAUAUGUUGGAUUCAAAUCCCAUUGAUUUAUGCCUAAGACGUCUUUAUAUGGGUAAGACAUAGAGUUUGAAUCUCAAUACACCAUAUUGAUGAUAUUAUGAUGGCUACGGCAAAAUAAUGUGUUUUUGAUUAAAAGUCAUGAAACUUGUCCAUUGAAUAUGCUCUGUUCCAAGAAAUGAAUGUGGUAGUAAUAUAUGAUAAGUCUGAAAGAUGCAAUUUGCUCUAUUCUUGAAGUGAAUGUGGUAGCAAUAUAGAGAAAUUCUCUCUAUCAUAUUUAUGCCUCGAUUUGCUCUUGAAGUAGCAAUAUCAUGAAAGGGGUUAUAAGCUAUCAUAAUUUGAUAGGCUUAAGGCACAAUUAUAUUCCAUUUCUGGGGAAUGAGAAUCUUAUUAAUGCAAACGUGCACUUGAUUGUGAUGGUAUCACAACUCACCUCCGAAUGAGGCAGAAUAACUGAGAAAAGUUAUUUUGAAAUCUACUUCUAAAGUAGUAAAUCUGAAAUUUAUUCAUGUAAUAGUAAAUCUAAAAUUUACUAAAGAAAAAAGCACAUGUCAUGAUAAACUUAGAGUUUACUUGAAUAAAAGUACAUAAAUUGAUGUGAACGAUUGUGACAUCUCGAAGAUGUGCAUAUUGAGUAUUAGACAUGUAUUAAAGAACUAGAAGAUUUUUUGAGAAUUUUUUAUGUCGCUUGUUCUCAUGAUAAGUUGGUUGGAUCAACUAAUGUUGGGAUUGAAUUCCUUAAAUCUGAAAAGUAUAAAAGGUGAAUAUGGGCCCGUUCACCUGUCAUGUGAUCUAUUAAGAUGCAUCGAUAUAAGAUGAUCACAUGUACAUUUAUUGUCAACCUGCCGUUUAACAUUCAUAAAUGUUGCUUGCUCAAUAAAAUUGAGUUAAGAGCAUGACUUUCAGAUUAUGUAAUCAAGACAAUUCAUCUUGAUAAUGAUGGUUUAACAUUGAAUGUCUUCGAUAAAUAGCUAAACCAUUACUAAUGAGAACAAAGUUUCAUGUGUUGAUCUGAAAUAUGAUAUGUUGCAUACAAUAGCACUUGCAUGCAUUAGAUCAAUAAAUUAUGAUUAUUUUUUCCCUCUUAAUUGGUUCAAGGUCAGGAACCAACUAUUUCAUCUAAUAGUUAAUGUGCGGUAUACAAUUAAUGAAUAUACCAUGAUGCACAAAAGAUGAAUUCCUCAAAGAAGAUGAGGGUGAAUGUUAGUUUUCCUAACAUAAGAGGGGAGAUUAUAAGCAAUUAUGGAAUAUGUUAGGAUUAUCAUAAGAUCCUCAUUCAUAAGACAAUUCAAGUCAAAUACCGAAAGCAUCUCAUAUUUAAGCUGCAAGUGCUCCUAUUUUGUGUCCUUGAAGGACAAUAUCUAUGCAAAGAAUGGUAGACUAAUCGAUUCCAAAUGAAAUAAGGAGCAAAUAAUCAUAAUAAGAAGGCAAUGUGCUCUUGAAUAUUCUACAACAUAACAUUUCAUGAAACCUUAUGAGAGGUUCAGGAACCUGAAAAUAAUGAAGUGAUGAGAUCUCAAAAUGUUAUGUCACAUUGUGAACCUAUACGAAAUGAUAUAUCAUUAAUAUCUUUGAUACAAUAUUAGAGCAAUAUUUCGAAAGAUUAUGAGGAUCUAAAUUCUACAUUUAUUUAAGCAUGCUCACGUAGAAAUAUUUAUCAAGUGACAUGAAAUGAUGCAUCUUGGUAAGUGUAAAAUUUAUUUGAUUUGCAGUCCAGACACUUGAAGAUAUCACAUAUGACAUGUUGAAUAUUGUCACUUGACAAAAUUCAUAUAAAACUUUCUAAGGAUUCAAAAUGUUUGAAGCAUAUAAAAGUUUCUGGGAAACUUAUUUAGAAUUAAUCCUUAUAUUGUAUAAGCUUAUAGCAUGAAAAUCAUUAAAACUCUUGGAGAGUUUUCAAAAGCAAUAGGAUUAUUUGCUGAAAUGAGAAAAAUACCGAAUUGAAUUGUUCCUGAAGUACCAUAUUUUAGUCCAAUUGGUGUACUAAUGUAUCUUGUAAAUACUACAAGGCCUGAUAUAACCUUUUCAGUUAAUUUGUUAGCAAGAUAUAGUUCUGAUCCUAUUAGGACACAUCGAAAUGAGAUCAAACACAUGAUUUUAUUCUAAAGCCUGCAAUCUUAAUCUUGUUGGUUAUGCUGAUACUGGGUACUUAUCUGACCCGUAUAAAGCUCGAUCUCAAAUAAGUUAUGUGUUUACAUGUGAGAAUACUAUCAUAUCUUGGAGAUAUACAAAGCAGUCUAUCGUAGCCACUUCAUCGAACCAUGCUGAGAUAAUAGCUACUCAUAAAGCAAGCCGAGAAUGUGUAUGGUUGAGGUCCAUGAUACAUCUCAUUCGAGAAAAAUAUGGUUUAAAAUAUGACAAUGUACCCACAAUUUUAUAUAGAGAUAAUGCAACAUGCAUAACACAUCUUAAUGGAGGAUUCAUAAAAGGAGAUAGAACAAAGCACACUUCAUCAAAGUUUUUCUACAUACAUGAGCUACCAAAGAAUGGUGAUAUUAAUGUGCAACACAUUCGUUCAAGUGACAAUGUGGCUGAUUUAUUCACCAAGUUUCCUCCAAUUGCAACUUUCAAGAAGAUGGUAUACAAGAUCAGGAUACAAAGGUUUAGGGAUGAUUUCACUAGGGGAAGUUAAUACAUGUUGUACUCUUUUUCCCUUAAGAGGUUUGUCCCAUUAGGUUUUCCUUAUAAAGUUUUUAAUGAGGCAGCCUAUAUGCGUAUUGUUAACGAUGUAUACUCUUUUUCCUUCAGUAGAUUUUUUUUUCACUGGGUUUUUUCUAGUAAGGUUUUAACGAGGCACAUUAUCUACUAAUUAGACAUUCAAGUGGCAGUGUUAUAAAUGUAUUUACAUUAUAGUGAAUGUCUAUCAAGAUCUAUCGAAAUCUACUUUGAUAUCUAUUAGGAUUUGAAGCAUCUGUCUUUUACUCAGACUAGGAGUAAAUUUUCCCUUUAAAUAGAGGGGUUUUGUUCAUUGUAAUCUCAAUUUUAUGAUCUCUCAUCCAUGAAUAGAAAUAAAAAGUCUCUCUCUUCUCUCUCUAUUUAUUCUUCUUGUUUUUUCUUUAUAUUUCAUAACAGAAACAAUUUUGAGUCAAAUUUACCUCUAUAUUAUUCGAUUAGGAUCCAUUUUAUCACUUUUUUAUUCAACACUUUAAUUUUUUUUAGAAAAAAUUACGUAGCCUAGAUAAAAAGAUUUUAUAAUUAUCUGUCAUGAUCAAUGUUUUAAAUAAUUAUUGUAUAUGGCUAUAUUUUUUUGUACUGUUUUAUCUUUAAUGUGGUCACUCAUAUACACAUAAAAACAGUGUUUAUACCAUUUCUAAUUAAAAGCAAGAAUUUUUCUCACCUUUCUAGCCUAAUUUAAGCAAAUAUUUUUCUCACUUUUUUCACUUAAAAGUAUCGUAAUGAUUACUAUUUUUAUUGCGUAUUGUUGUAUUUUCUAACUUCUUUUUCAUCGAUUUGUCUUUAAUUUUUGUGAAAACCCUAUUUAACACAAACACUUGUGCGCUCAUAUAUUGAACAUAUAAAUAUAUUUAUUUUUGUAUCUACAUACCGUAUUAUUAGCAAUACUUGUGCAAGUAUUGGUCCCAUGAUCAUGGUAGAGGAUUUUCAUGAUUUCUAAUUAUGUUGGCUUCUUGAAUGUAUGAUCGUUUAUGUUUUUUUUUUUUCACUUAGAAGUACUUUUGUUUAUUGUUUACUUGUCAACUGAUAUUUUUCACUUAUAUUCUGGAUGCAUAACUUAUAUAUCAAGUUAACUAAUAUUCAAACAAAUCUUAGGCCCUAUUUGUUUGCACUUAAUGAAGGUCUAAAUCUGAAUGGUUCAGACUUCAAUCCAUUAAGUGUAUUUAUUUAUUUAUUUUUAAAGAGCCUCUUAAUGUAUCUGAAAAAUCUGAAUGGAUCAGAUAUGUCCAUUAAGUGCAUUUGUUUUUUUUUUUAAAGAGCCUCUUAAUGUAUCUGAAAAAUCUGAAUGGAUCAGAUAUGAAAAGAAGUCUGAAUAGCAUUCAGACUCUUUUUAAAACAUAAUACCUAACUCUCUCACUUCAUUAUUUCCUCUAUCUUUUCAUGUUAUCUCUCUCCCUCUCUGUUCACGUUAUCUCUCCCUCUCUUCACGUUUCUCUUUCUCUCUCUUCACUUGCUUUCCUUCUCUUUUAGGUAUGAUUCACCAAAAUUUUUUAUAAAUAUUUUAGUUAUCAAUUUGUGUAUUCAUUAUUUACUAAACUCUAAAUUUCUGCUUGCAAUUUUUUGUUUUGAUUAUAAAAUUUGUAGUUCUUUGGAUAAUAGAAUCUUAUGUGUGUCUGUUCAUAACGUAACAUUGAACUUACUAAUGAUAUUUUCACUUAGAUUUCAUGGUUAACAAAUAAACAUGUGUCCGUUCUUGUAUUAAUUAGUUAUUCAAAUACUUAAUAUUUAUGCAUCUAAGUCAAAAUUAUAUCUGAUCAAUCAAUUUAGUUUGUUGGAUUAGUUUAAUUGACAGAUUACUUUAUGUUGAAUUUAAUUUUUUAUAAUUACAUCAUAUAACAAUAAUUUUUAAUCGAUAUAUCUUUUUUAAAUAAUUCAAUAAUUAUAUUUAACAUAAUAUAUUUAUCUGUAAAUAUUUUAAUUAUCACUCAAAUAAUAAUUUUGGUGUUUAAGUUAAUACUUUAUGUAAUAUUUUUUCAUAUAAUAUAAUAUCUUAUUACUUUUUAAAUUUGAAUUGCAUAUUUAUUACAAAUAAAUAAAUUACGUACAUUCAAAUGUUAAAAAAUAAACAGUCUUAAUCAUCCAGAUAUCCAUUCAGAUUCAGACGUCUUAAUCUUAAAAAAAACAAAUGCACCCUUAAUUUAAGAGUUUUUUUUUUCAAUUAUAUAUUUAUACAUACAUGGUAUAAUACAUAAACAGGACCUUUAAUUUUACAUCAAAUUAUAACUAUGACCUUUAACUUUACCAGUACACAAGUAGGCCCUUUUACUAUACAAAAGCUAAACAAAAAAACAUUCUAAGCCUACCUGACAAAAUGCGUGUAUACACUCAAAACCACGUGCGUUAGAGUUAGAACUUAAGUGUUGUUUUGUUGAGCUUUUGUAUAGCUAAAGGGCCUAUUUGUGCACUGACAAAGUUAAAGGUCAUACUUAUAAGGCAAAAUGAUCUUCUGGACCCCUGUACUAUGUCGGUUUUGUAAGUUGGACACUUCUACUUACGUGUUUGUCAUCUGGACCCUUGAACCCAUUAAAAAAUAAUAUUUGUGCACCCUUUGACCGUUGACCUUGCCUAUGUGGCAUUGAAAUGAUGACUAGGACAAAGAGAGUGUAGUCACUCGCCUGGGGUGCGAGUGGCGGUCAAUUUUUGGCAAAUUUUAUAUUAAAAUAAUUAAAAAUAAUAAAAAUAAUAUUAAAAUUUAAAAAAAUAAUUAAAAAAGGAUCAUUUUUUUCCUCCAUCUUUUUUAAUUUAAAAAUAAUUUUAAAAUAUUUUAAAAUUUAAAAAAAAAAAAUUAUGUUGCUAUGUAAUACAUUUUAGAAUAAUUUUUUGGACCCACACGACAUGUGUCACUACUUAAUUCGUCAAAUUGUCAUGUCACCGCGAGUGUAUCGCACCCGUUUUAUAUUUUUAGCUGAUUGUCAAAAAAAAUGUUUAAGUGGUUCAAAUUCAGAGGGGGUAGAGGUGUUUAACAGGUACAAGGGCGAGUUGAGGUGUUAAAAGUGAAAUCUCUGAGUAAAUUUAGGGUGUCUGUCGAUGACUUACACCAAUUGAGAAUCUUAUCUCAAUUCUUCAACUUCGACAUACUUCUAGUGGUACUACUGAGAACUUAGAUCAACUUUAAUGGAGGUUGGAUAGCAAAGAAAAAUAUCCGAUCAAGUCUACAGCAAUUUGAAUCGCAGAAGACGCCAGAACACAUUCUGGCCUUUGAAGCUCAUUUGGAAAGCUAAAGAUCCAGUAAAGGUAUCAUGUUUUGUUUGGUUGGUGGUAAGGAAAGCAUGUCUAACUCAAGAUACAUUACAUGAAGAGGUCUUCAUAUUUGUUCAAGAUGUCUAUUAUGUAGUUAAGAUGGUGAAAAUAAUGAGCAUCUUUUCCACACUACAACAGUGCAACACAACUACAGAUUUGUAGCACAUGUUCUUUGUAUUUCAGGACGUCAAAGAGGCCGAAGCUUGGAGAUGGAGUACGAACAAGGGUAACAUUAAAAAUUGCAACUAUAGGGGUAUCAAGUUGUUGAGUCACACUAAAAAGGUUUGGGAAAAGGUGGUGGAGUUGGAGUUGAGGAAGAUCGUGACUAUUUCUAAGAAUCAGUUCGAGUUCAUGCUAAGAUGCUUGACUACGAAGGUCAUUCAGCUCGUUAGGGGACUUGUGGAGCAGUAGAGAGAGAGAGAAAGGACUUACACAUUGUCUUCAUCGAUCUAGAGAAGACAUAUGACAGUCUCAGGGGAGGUUUACAAUUAUAAUUUUUUUUAUUUAAUUAAAUUAAUUUUAAUAUUUAAUUUUUUAUUUAGCAUUUUUAAAAUGACUUGAAAUUUAAUGUAGUACUUUUUUUUUAUUUUUUUAAAUGACGUGGCAGAUGAUGUGGCAGAUGUGACUGAUAUGGCAGCUGACAUGGGGAGAGUGUGUUACACUCACCAAAAAAGGAUUUAAAAUAUUGCUUUUUAGUGGAUUCAGGGGUCCAAAUGACAAACAUGUAAGUAGAAGUGUCCAACUUACAAAACCGACAUAGUACAAGGGUCCAAAAGAGCAUUUGGCCUACUUAUAAUAUGUAUUUUUUAUUAGGUGGCAGCAUCUGAGUGGAUUACUAAUCCACGUAGGAGCGAUUGAGUUUCAUACAUGUAAGUUGCAGAACUGGAGUGUUUUUUUGUUCAGCUUUUAUAUAAUUAAAAAGCUACUUGUGCACUGACAAAGUUAAAGGUCAUAAUUAUAAUUUAAUGUCAAGUUAAAAGUCCUGUUUAUGUAUUAUGUCAUUAAUAUUCAAAUGACUGACAAAUCUUAAUUUAAGAGUACUUUUUCCAAUUAUAUAUUUAUAUAUACAUAUGAAUGCAUUGAAUGUAUAUUUUUUGAUGUAUAUAUGUAUACUUUUGUAUAACUAUAUAUAUAUAUAUAUAUAUAUAUAUAUAUAUAUAUUAUCUUGUGCUUGGUUUCAAUAUAUUUUUGUAUAUAUAUAUAUAUAUAUAUAUAUAUAUAUAUAUAUAUAUAUAUAUAUAUGCGAGUUUAUUUUGUGUUGGUACGCACACGCAUAUAAUAUACAUAUGUAUAUGUGUAUGUUAUGUAUUGGUUCAUAUAUACAUCAUGCAUGUACAUAUGUGUAUAAAUUUAUUCUAUAUUUGUGUAUAUAUACAUAUAUACAUGCGCCGAUUUUUAUACAUUACAUAUUAAAAAUUAAAAUGGGUAAACGCAUUCAUAAUACUUAGAUUUGCUCACACACAUAAUCUUCAAGAUUUGAGUUUAAUACUCAACAAUUAAUUGAGAAAUGUUAAGAGAAUAAUAAAAGAUGUUGGAGAGGAUAAAGGAAGUAAAUCACUCUCUUACUUUUUUAUCUGUUAAGGUAACUGAAAAGUAACAAAAUCUGUUGAUUAAUAUCUGUAUAUUAGGGUCUUAAAUAUAUUUAAUUAAUAAUUAUUAAAACUUAAAUUAAAAAAUUAAUUAAGGAGGAUCUAAGUUAGCUAUAUGUAAGUUCUGCCUUUCCUUUAUUCUCCUCUAAGGGUAUUUUUGACCCUUAGCUAUUGUUCAUGACUUUUGUCUAAUUCUAAUAAUAUAACAAAAGGUUACUUGAUAUGGUAAAGCUCCUGUUAUGUGCCAUGACUAGGGAAGAACUAGAUCACAAGAAUCCAUAGUACAUAGUCCCAUCUUACAUUUUCACAACUUGAACCGAUAAUAUUCUGAUCACAUGCCAGAGCUAUUGUUCACAACUUUUUUUUAUUUCUAAUAAUAUAACAAAAGACAGUCCGAUGUGCUAAAGUGCCCGUCAUAUGCCAAGACUAGAGAAGAACCAGACCACAAGGCUCUAUUGUACGUUACCUUAUCUUAUAUUUCCGCAAGGAACUAUUUUCACAGCUUGAAUCCAUAGUCUCCUAAUCACAUGCCAAGAUUAUCAAUUACUCCAAAAGCUCCCCUUCGUUCAGGUAAUAUAACAGAUUAUAAAAUUAAACCUUUUUGAAUGGUAUGGGUGCAAAUUUUGAUCUUUUUCCCCACACAAAUUAUUAUUUAGAGACUAUUUUAAGUUGCCUUUAAAUACUUCUAUCCCAUUUUAUCACAUGUAUCUGUGAUUAAAAGAGGUCACAAUUUAUACCACUUAACAGUAAAACACAGCACAGAAAGAAAGGUUAAAAGAGGGAAAAAAUAAUGAAGGCAUAAUGCUUCAUGUCCUAUUAAGUGCGUGAAAGGCAACCCUAAACAACGCCAUAAAUCCAUAAACCAGUAGAUUAAGAGUCGUUUGGUAUGAGAUAUAAGGUAUAAUAAUACCGAGAUAAAAUAUAGAAUUAUUUUAUCCCGAAUUUGGUUCGAGGUAUAACUAAGUUCCGGAACUAUUUAUCGCACCAUUUAUAGCAUAGUGAUGGGAUAAGUUAUACCAUAUACAUGGUGGGAUAACUAAUCCCGGAGAUGGCUAAUCCCGGAAUUAAUUAUCUCAGAAUAACUCUUUCNNNNNNNNNNNNNNNNNNNNNNNNNNNNNNNNNNNNNNNNNNNNNNNNNNNNNNNNNNNNNNNNNNNNNNNNNNNNNNNNNNNNNNNNNNNNNNNNNNNNNNNNNNNNNNNNNNNNNNNNNNNNNNNNNNNNNNNNNNNNNNNNNNNNNNNNNNNNNNNNNNNNNNNNNNNNNNNNNNNNNNNNNNNNNNNNNNNNNNNNNNNNNNNNNNNNNNNNNNNNNNNNNNNNNNNNNNNNNNNNNNNNNNNNNNNNNNNNNNNNNNNNNNNNNNNNNNNNNNNNNCUUUCCCAACCAAACGACCCCUGCAAUAUUUCAGAAGCAAGAGAAAAUGCCCCAAGGGAAAAUAACUUGGCCUUUCAUCUGUGAAGAAAGCAAAGUCAAGUCAAUAAAGUUAAACAAGAUAAAUAGAGAACUUGGCAUUUGAUGAAUUUACACAAAUGAUGUAAGAAUGAAACAUCUAUCACCAAUCAAUAGAAAUCAUACCACAUCACUUCUACAAUGAUAUUGUUGGUCUCCAAACCUGAGUGCACAUUGAUCGAUAACAACCUACUAUACCACACAAUUUGGUUGGGGUGGGGUGGUAGAAGGGUGGGGGAGUAAAGAGAUUAUUAUUCAUUUAAAUGCAGCAGGCCGAUCUAGCACGGUUGGUAGAUUGGCUCUAUAUACGAGUAUUACUAGCAUAGCUCUUAUCUAUACUGUAAGCUUUUACAGACUGCAAAACCUGUUGUCAUUGGCUUUGACGGUAGGUGAUAUUUGGAAGACACUACUCCAAAUCACUGUGCAUUAUCCCCCCACACAUCGUUCCAUGCAGCAGCUGGAGCAGCCUUAGGCCCCUCAAUAACAUUCUGAUUCCCGUGAGGUUGGGAUGGACCGGGAAGUGCAUUAGGGCCAGGAUGUGCAUUAGGGCCCGGGGGGUGAACUUUGUUGGGCUUUGUUUUGACCCCCAGCAAUCUCAGCACAAAUCUUGCUAGCUCUCCAUAUAAUAACCCCGAGCGAUCAAACAACUGAAAAAGAUGUGUUAAUGAAUUGUCACGUCGGCUAUCCUUAAUACUUCUCCACGAAGUAUCUAAAAGGUAAAUGAAGAAGUAUUGGUUGAUCCAGACCUAUUUGGGUGCAAGGGCAGUUGUAAGCGAACAUAUACCUGGAGUAGUGCCGACAUGAACAUGUGAAAUGCCUGGGUAUUCUGGUCUAUCAACAUUGCGACGCGGCCAAAGAAAGUUACAACACCUUGCAUCUGCCAUCAUUACCGCAACAUAAUGUCAACACAACGAUGUCUCUAGAGUUGGACUAAAACACUAUACGUGAACUAGCAGCUUCAAUAGCAACAAUGGUACCAAAGGACAACUCUCUCUCUCGCACCAGAACACAAAAUACAAUACAUAAAUAAUUCUUAAUUUGCAUCACCUUUUACUUUUUGUUAGUUCAAAGAGGCCCUCAAGCUCUUAGUCAUAGGAUUCAACAAACCUACUAAUUGCAGGGAAGAAAACCACUAUCGCCAAACAAGAGAGAUUUUACAAUUUCUAAAAGCUUUGGAGAAUCCCUUUUUUUAAGUAGGUGUUUGAUCAUGAAAACUAAAUUUUUCUGGAGUUCGAGUUGGAGUUAAGAGUUGUGUUUGGCCAUGAAAAUAAAUUAGAGUUCUUUUCGACUUUUUGUGAGAGAAGUUGAAGUGAAAAAAGUGAAAAAAGUGAAAAAAAUUUCCAGAAAAAAGUGAACACUUCUCAUGGCCAAACGGGCUCUUAAUCAAGUAAAGCUUAGGGAGAGUUAUUAUCAAAAAUAUAAAUGGUAAUUCCUCACUGCUUUAUUUUGGAGCCCUUGCACCAUCACCAAUUCGCAUGGAGCUAAUUUCAUGCAGUUAUCCAAUACAAAACAAAAAUCCAAAAAGAAAGCCAACAUAGCUUUUACUUGAAGCGCAGGGCAUAUGAAAUACACAUCAAAAUUUACCAUAGUGACCUUGAAUAAAAAGCAUGAAAGGAGAAACAAACUUAGUUGGUACCAUUAGAGCUUACCACGUGCAUGAAGGAGACCCAGAAGCCUGGUGGAGAAGAUGGAGCACCAUAGGGAUUAUUUGGAUCUUGGUCUCCAUAGGGUCCCAUCCCCAUGCCACCCAUACCGCCCAUGCCCAUGCCAUAACCGCCCAUUGGUCCACCAUAUCCACUAUUGUACAUUCCUCCACCAUACAUGCCACCUGCAAGUCCACCAUAACCUCCUCUGUACAUACUAUUUCCAUACAAACCACUUCCGUAUGUGCUUCCAUAGCCACCACCAUAAGAGGAACCAUACAUUCCAGUUCCAUAUCCAGAAUUAUAAUUCAUACCUGUAUUAAUUCCUGCAUUAUGACAUAAUCAAGAUAAUAAUCAGACUGUGUACUCUAUAGAAGGCCUCAAUGCCUCCUACUUCAAUUGCAAUAGCUAACGCCAAUGACUGGAUCAAAACCUUCGAUGAUUGAGAAAGUUUUUUGCACCGUAAGGGGAAACGAAAAGAGUGUAUCCAUAAAAACAUUUUUGAUUUGGCUAAGUACACUCACAGUUGGCGUUCAUAUUUCCAGAGGACAAAGUACAAAGAAGAGCAGGAAUUGGUUGCACAUUCAUAGACAUGUCAUUGCAAAUGAACUAAAAUCAAGUAGGCAAUUGAUUUUCCUAAGAAUAGAUACAUAAGAAGAGAAAGUAACACUGACUAGCAGAACGGUGGCAGCUCAAUAGAACAUUUAAUCAGAGGUUGAGGCAAUUUAAUAGGAGCAUUAACUAAGAUGAGUACCAAAAGUGGAAUAAGUGGGGCAGCUCGAGUACAAACUUAGACAACCUUCUAAUUCUUUUUAAAAAAAAAUUAAAAAGGGCACGGUGCAUGCUUAUAAUGUAUGAUGAAAUAGAAACAACAGUACGAUAAAAUCAGAACAUAUUUAGGACAAACUUGCCUAAUUACUGAUGGUGCGUGUGAUAAUAUAUUGUGUAUUGCAUUAGGAUCUUGAAAAAUCACAUGCAUGCACUCCAAAAGCAGAGAUCAUAAUACACAUUACUCACAAUCAACGCUUUAAUGCUAGGGGGCAAGCAUUUGUAAUAUCAAAAGUGGAUCUUAUGGACGCAAAGGGUAAAAUUAGUUGUUGUACUAACCAAAAGCAGCCUUUGAUGUAAGUUUGCUGGUAUUAGUAAUAUCGAAAAAGGACCUUAAGGAUGUAAAAGAUUCAAUUAGUUAUAAUACAAACCACAAAACAGAUCUGUUAGUGAAAAAGGCAUCAACAGUGCCUUUGGUGAUUAUAGUUGGCAUGUUAGAAAUAAUGAAUUUCAGAUAGUCAACCCACUUGCUGGAAACGCAGAACACGCACACAAUAAAGAGCAAGACAGGAAAUUAAAUAAACAUCUCAUACCUCCGUACGAGCUACCGUAAGUUUGCUGCUGCUCCCAAGGUCGAGUAGGCACAGGCCUUGCAAGUGUGUUAUUAUUAACAGUUGUAUUCCGAUUAGCAGUUGUAACAAUCUCACCAGGCCUGGCUGUUCCGGAUGCCUCUACUACGUCACUUGUGCUACCAGCAGAGGGAGGCUUAAACGGUGCAGGGCCUGAAGAAGACCCAGCUCUUUCCCAGGGUUUUGGUGGUGGGCUACUUCCUGCCGUGGAAAAUAAGUGUCAAGUCAAUAAUAUUCGAAAGAAAACAAAAAAUGGAAAAACGAGUUAGUCGAGUAAAUUAUCACUGUGAAUACAACAAAAGUACAGUUAAUAGCAAUGUAUACAAUUGUUUACAUCUUUCGCUAAUGAUUCAAAGACAUCUACCCUGAGAAACAAUAAAUAACAUGUUAGGUAGACUUUAAAUGUAUAUGUUUAAACAAACCAAGUAAAUACAUAGCACCUGCUAUUGAAAACCAUAACUUUAGAAAAAAAAUAUAAAAUUCUAUGUUUUCUUCCUGAUUAUUAAUUUUAUAAAGAAGUUUGUUUAACAAAUGCAAAGUAUCAACUACAAGAAAUAGAAGCUAGAGUAUGUUGCUUUAAUUUAGUUUUACUACUACAGUAGUACUUGUAAUUAUCAAAUUGUAUGGUAACCAAUCAUCUUAUCAAAUAUGACCCCGCAGACAUUUUAAAUGACCAGUGAAUGGCUUUAGUGGUAUUGCAUACCACUGUUACCUCUUUGGAGCACAACUCUAAAUUUUUCACAAGCUCCCAAGAUCAGCUCUAUCGGAAAUUGUUCUAUCAAUUAAUCAUCAACUAUGACUUAAGUCUAGACUAGUGCAGCCAGCUAUAUAAAUCCUCUAUAACAGUUCUUCUCUAUUCUGCCCAUUUCAUUCCAACACUCAGGAAUUUGACUUCUUAGAUAACUCCUAGAAUAUCGAAAUUUCCUAUGGAGAAAAAGUGAAGGCUUCGACAGAACCACAUUAGGUAUACCUAUGGCAGAUGGGACAACCUUAACAACUAAAUUCUACCCACCAGAAAAUAUAAAUAGUGGCAUCACAGAGUGGAUAAUGCAUUUGACUGAAACUUAUUAAAUCCCAUAUUAAUUUUAUAUACCUCAAUGCCAAAUUAGUUCAUUAGUCCCAUAUCUACUCGGAAGGGAGCCUAAGCCUUCGAGCAGCUGAUAAAGUUGUUGUCAUGUAACCAAAAGGUCACGGGUUCAAGCUGUCAAAACAACCUCGGACAAAAAUGCAAGGUAAGGUUACUAUAAACCCUAGUGGUCCGGUCCUUCCCCGGAUCCCGCACAUAGCGGAAGCUCUAAAGCACCGGGAUGCCCGUUAGUCUCAUAUCUACUCUACCUCUAUUCAGGUGUAAAUCAUUCCAAUACUAAUAACUUAUCCUUUUAAGACAAAUUAGAUUUAUUCUCUAACUUUUCUCUUUUUUCGUUCAUUAACUGGUGUGCAGGCCCUUGCGCAUACAGUCUAUCGAAAACAACAUUUCUACCUCUGAGGUAGGGGUAAGAUCUGUAUACACCCCAACCUGUCCAGAACCAACUUUGUGGGAGUUACACUAGGUAUGUUGUCGUUGAGUAGUGUCCAGCCGCCCGGCCGACUAACACGUACCUCAGCUAUUCACUCAAGUACCUGCUAUAUUCCACAAGCACAAUUACCAGGUAACUCUACCCUAUCACCUGAGACUUAUGCAUAUGUAAAUAAAAACCUCGGGUGAGCACUCUCAUCUAAAUUUACAUAACCGUAGUUAAUUAGAUUAAAAUAGCACUUGACAAACCCCAAUCAUAUGCCCUAGCAACAAUACAACAACAACAUAGUAUAUUCCCACCAAGUGGGGUAUGGAAAGGGUAAGUGUACGCAGUCCAUACCACAACCUCAAAGGUGAGAUAGAGGGUAAGUGUACAUAGUCCAUACCACUACCUCAGCUGUGAAAUAGAGAGAGGUUGUUUGACUUGUUUCCAAUAGACCCCCGAUUCAAGAUAAAACAAUGAAACUUGAAAUUGACCACGGGAGAUCAAAAUUCAAUCCUUCGAAAAGAAAAUUUAAAAAAUUAGGUGAUAUUUCAAUCUAUUCAUUGAAUUAGUGUGGUGUUCAACAAGUUGUGCUAUCACGGAGGGUAAAUGUACACAGUCCAUACCACUACCUCAGCGGUGAAAUAGAGAGACUGGUUCGGAUCAAUGAAACUUGAAAUUGACCACGAGAGAUCAAAAUUCAAUCCUUAAUAAAAAACACUUUAAAAAUUAGAUGAUUUUUCAAUCUAUUCAUUGAGUUAGACAUGGUGCACAACAAGUUGUACGCAACCAUUAAUUCUACUUUAUUUUUUAUAACCAUGGGAUCAAAGGCUAGCUUGUGUGUAACUCAACUAAUUCCACAUAAUAUUUGCCACUUCCCAACCCACCACCACCAGUCCAUACCACUAACUCAGAGGUGAGAUAGAGAGGUGAUUUACGAUAGACCUCCUGCUCAAGAUAAAAUAAUGAAACUUGAAAUUGACCACGAGAGAUCAAAAUUCAACCCCUAAAAAACAUUUAAAAUAAUUCUGUGAUUUUUCAAUCUAUUCAUUGCAUUAUUCGUGGAGCACAUAAGUUGGUGCAAUCACUAAUUUUUGUUUGAUAACCAUGGCAUCAUAGGCUAGCUUGCAUGCACCUCGACUAAUUCCACAUAAUAUGUACCACCUCCCACCCCACCAUCACCACAAACAGGUAUCAGAUAACUCUAUCUACCAAAGCUACCACAAAUCAAAAGAAAAUCAUCAAUUUGAAUCUACGACCUCAUCCUUAUCAAUUCAUUUAAACCACACAACACAAAUAAAAAAGGCAAUUAACCAACAAAAAAACCCGAUAGCAAAAAGAUCGAAACAAAGAAAUAGGUGAUUUUUCAAUCUAUUCAUUGUAUUAUUCGUGGUCACUAAUUUUAUUUCAUUUUCAGAUAACCGUGGUAUCAAAGACUAGCUUACAUGCACCUCGACUAAUUACACAUAAUAUUUACCAUCUCCCACCCACCCCCAUCCAGGGGCGGAGCUACCCUUUGGUGAGGGGUUUCAUUAGAAUCCCCUUAGUUGAAAACUUAUACUAUAUAUAUAUGGUUAAAAUUAUUUUUUAUGUAUAUAUAGUAGUUGUUGAACCCCUUUGAUUAAUUUGUAUGUUAUUUCUGAACCCUCUUAAUAAAAAUUCUGACUCCGUCACUGCCCCACCCCCACAAAACCAGGUAUCAGAUAACUUAUGCACCAAAGCUACCACAAAUGGAUAUAAAAGAUCAUCGAUUUGAAUCUACGACCUCAGCGUUAUCAAUUCACGUAAACCACACAACACAACACAAACAAAAAAUGCAAUCCACCAAAAAAUAAAUUAAAUUAAAUAAAUCCGAUAGCAAAAAGAUCGAAACAAAGAAAGGUUGUUUAUUAUACAUAGUUACAUACAUACCUGACGGCUGCGGCGGUCCGUUUUCCAUGAAAGGUAUAGAGAAGGAGGAGGAGGAAGAAGAGCCGCCGUCGACGACCGCUACGACGGAGAGAGAAAGUAGAGAGAGAGAAAGUAGAGAGAAGAGAGAAAUUGAUGAGGUCAAAAAUUGCAACCGAUAAUUAUAACUAAACUAAUAAAUAAAUUAUUAUUAUUAUUCUUUUCGUCUAUCUUUACUUAUUUUCUAUUUUUGAAUUAAAAUAAUACUUAUUCAGUUUCUAAUUUAUUUUUAUUAAUUUAACCUUAACAUUAAAUAUAUUAUGUAAUUUAUUUCAAUAAUAUUUAUUUAGUGAAUGAUUUAUUUUUGUCGAUUUAGUUUUAAUAUUAAAUACGAUAUAUUAUGUAAUAUGUUUUUUUAAAAUAUUAAAUUUAUGAGUAUAUAUAAAGAGUAAUAUGCUAAAAUUCUUAAUUCAUACUCCCUUCAUCUUAUUUUAUAUGUUGUUAUUUCUUUUUUAUUUAUUAAAAAUAAUAUUAUUUAUUUUUAUUUAAUUAUUUAAAGAUAUAAUUUUAUUUUUAUUUUUACUAAUCUCAUUUAUAAAAUUUUAUUUAAUUAAAAAAAUAAUAGUAUAUAUUUAAUAAAAAAUUAAAUAAGUAUUAUUAAGAUAUUUUCUUAUUUUUUAAAUUUUGUGUCCAGUUAAAUUAAAUUAUGACAUAUGAGACGGAAAAAGUAUGUAAAUAGAAUAAAUAAAAAUGAACCGAGUAUUGUAUAUAAAAAAUGAUUUUAUCUGUUAUUUGAAAGGACCAAGAAAAUUCGGAUGACAUAGAUAUCUCUUUUGGUUGGUGUGGAAUUGUGAAUGGACUAUUUUGCCCCUUCAGACCAAUAAUUUUGUGGUGAUCGGGUGACGUGUGGUCGGUGCGGGCUGAUCUCUUUGACUGGACCUGGGCCAAAUUUAAUUGGGCCACACAUUCUGUAAUGGGCUUUCUACCUAAACUAGUUGGGAAGUGUCUGUACAAGGCACAGACACAACAAUAUGAAAUUAGAUAGUACAAACUUUUAGGGCAAAUCACAUAAAUAUACAUUUUAAGAGUCAAUAUUACAAAAACUACCCAUAGUUUCUAUUUUACAAAAUAUAACAAUAGAAAUAUAACAAAAUCUACCAAAUUAGGUAAAAAAAAAAACAAAAGAUAAUAAAUAAAAUAGCAUGAUUUAAGUGGGCAACUUAAUAGUUGAUAUUUUACCCUACAAAUUCUCCUAUUUUGUUUUUUAUCAAAUUUUUUUUUCAAAAAAUAAUAAAUAAGGCAAACGAAACUUAUUUAUUGAUACAAAAUUAAUUUCUAGAUGAUUCAAACACCAUAAAAUUAUUGAUACAAAAUUAUUAAUACACCAAUUUCUAUACAAUUCAACAACAUAAAAAUAUUGAUAGCUGUUGAUACACUAAUUUCUAUACAAUUAAAACACCAUAAAACUGGUAAUACACCAAUUUCUAUACAAUUCAUACACCAUGAUACACCAAUUUCUAUACAAUUCAUGCACUAUAAAAUCAUUGAUAACCUUCAUUUGCCAUUGUCAUCAAAAAAUUCUCGAAACUCCUCAAAAUUAUCGACAUAUUCAAUCUAGUUGGCAUCUUCUUUUCCAACGGCGUAGAAGUAGAAGAACAGAAGAACAAUCAAUAGUAACAAACAUUGAGAAAAAACUCAAAACAUCCACCGGAAAUCAUAUCCAUAGUCACCGUCAUCACCAUAUCGGAUUCCUCCACUGUAUUCAAAACACAAAACAUGCUGACCGAUGAACAAACAGAUCGUCACUACCAUCAUCAAGAGUGAUAAACCCAAAAAUAUUUUGGAAGCUUUUAGAAUUACAUGGAGCAAAACCUGCAGUAUGUGUCGACAACUAGAUUGUCAGAUCUAAUUUCACUAUGGCAUAAGCAUUAACCUUUUAAUUAUGAGCAACACACUUAUAAUUAUCAUGGAAGAAAUUGUUGAAAGUGAGAAAGUACAUUUAUUCGAGAAGCCAUCAACACCAAGAGAUGUAGGUAAGCUAAAUCAAUUAGUUAUACUUAAACAAUAUGCAGAGAAGUACUUUCCACUUAACGAAUCGAAAAAUGAUUCAGAUGAAAAGGUAUACUUAUUGAGUUUUGAAGAUGAAUUCAGUAAAUUAUGGAAAUUUUGUUAUUCUUAAUGGAAUAGUACUCAGAAUUAUGUGUUGUUUUGUCUGGUGAUGGAGUUAUGUCUUGUAAUUGGGUUUUCAAUCAAAGGAGGAAGAGAGGAGAUAAAAAGGGAAGAAGAGAAUGGAUUUUUGGAUUAAAUUUUUUACAGAAAAAAAAAAACUGAAUAGUUGGUAUAUUUUGUAAAUAAAAACUAGAUUUUGUAAAUAAAAAAAAACUAGUGAUAGUUUUUGUAAUAGUUACUCUAAAAGUGUAUAUCUAUGUGAUUUUUCCUUUUAAAAAAGCAUCACGUUAAUUCCAUUGUUAUUAAUAGUAUUUACAUAAAUAAAAAUAAUAUUUUUUUCGGCUUAAUUUAUUUGGCAUUUUUAAAUUUUGUAAAAAAAAAAUUAUUUUUCAUUCGGUGUCGGAUAUCCCCAUUGGUGCGCGACUAAUUCGAAUUUGUGCCGCGUAGAAUUCAUUCGGGGGAAGCACUCUCUACCAAAAAAAAUUUCAUAUUCGGAGCUCGAAUCAGAGACCUCUGAUUAAGGAAGAAGCAUCCUCAUCCACUGCACCACAUCAUUUGGUGGUAAAUUUGUGAUUUAGUCAAGUUUUUCUUUGAUCAUAAUAGACUAUAUAUCUUUUGAAUAUUUUGAAUUGUCAAUUGUUGUGACUUGUUAUAUUUUUACAUAAUUUUCAAAUAUAUAAAUGUUGUUUGAAAAAAAUUAAAGAUUUUAUUAGUAAGUAUUUCAAUUGUUUGACUCUUAAAGCUUUAAUGUUGUGUUCAUUUUCACUGAACUAAUUAGUUACUUUUGUAAGAGUUGCAAUUGCAUUGAUUAAGCAGUUCAAUCAGACAUGUUAUGCUCAAAGCCUCAACUAUUUGUUUAUCCCCUCUUAUUAGUAUUUUACCUAAACUGGAUAUGAAAAAUUGCCUACAUAUCCUAUAUUUAGAAAAUAUUUAUCAUUUGUAAUAGUAUUUUUUAUUUAUUUAUUUUCAUUUACGGCAACUUCACCAUAUAUUAAAAUUGAAUUUUUUAUGCAAUAUUGAUAUAUUAUAAGUAAUUUAAAAUAUAUUAUGUUUGUUAGGUAAAAAAUCUGCAAUAUAUAUGAAAAGUGAAUUAUGCAUACAACAGUGAUGUAUUAUAAUUAUUAUAUCUGAAAAUAUAAAUUCUAUUGCUAUGAAUUUAAAUAUAAGAUAUCUAUGUAAUUUUUAAAUAUGAGAUAUCCUCAUCGAUAUUAUGUUGAAUUAUUAGUUGGUCUAAUGAGCGUAAAAUAGAUAUGUCCAUAUCAAAUGAAGGAUCAAUUAUUUUCUCCACAAACUUUUUUUACUAAAUGGCAAUCUAUAUUUGUAUUUUAGUCUUAAAUUUCUUGAAAUUUGACACAACAACAGAGUAGUUCAUAGGUUAUAAACCAAGUUUCUCUAUCAUGAUCCUGAAAUACUUGAUAUCAAACUUUUCCGAUUGAGGCAUAUACGAGCGCCCUAAAUUGGCACAUUGUAGUAAUAAAUAUAUUUACGACGUAAAAAAGAAAGAUUCAUAAUAUAAACAAAGUGAAAGAAGUUAACUUAGAAGAAAGCAAUAAGUACAUAGAUGAAGAUUAAUUUAAUGAUUUAUGAUUUUUUGAUUAAAAAUACCUUUGCAUCCUGAAUUCAAAGAGAAAUUCCAUGCAAAAGAAAGGUACUAAUCAAUCACAUCGUUUUUCAAAGUCAAAGCCAAAAGUCGAGUGAGCCGAGCAACGAGUGACGAUAAUGGCGCCGGCGCGAGGCAGCACUUUCUUCUCAAUGCUUUACUAGCUAAAAGAAGUGUCUUAUUAAAAGGAAAAAAAUAUUCCUCUAUUUUAUCAAUGACGGAAAAAUGACCUUUUAUUUCAUUUUUUCUCUUUAUUAAGUGUUCCUUCAUUUCUCAAUUCUCUUUAUACCAAAAUUUCUCAAUUCACACCUUAACACAAACCCAAUAAUGUGCACCAUAAUCUAUUAUUAUACGAUAAUUAAAGAUGCAACCUGCUAUAUUUGUCGAGGAGUAAGAUUCGAUGAGUUCCAGAGACUUCAUAUAUGACUUACCACUUCAUAUACUAAUGUGUAGGACUUUAAAUUUAACUAAAUUUUACACAUUAAGUUUUUCAUUGUUUUAACUAUGUAAGUGUUCAUAAUUGCUAAGUAAUCGCUCGUUAUCCAGUUGGAGAAAAUGGUCCAAAAGCUUUCUCUCUCCCAUCAAGCAAGACGAGAUCCCACUUCUCUCGGUAAUGAACUUCAUUUACUUCGUAACCUUAGUUUUAGAUGUCCAUCAUAGAUUUUCAAAUCUCCGACAGAUAGAAUCUCCAUGCAUGGGUUCUUUUUAUCUAAUCCUUAACUAUGCAUCUCUUUUUUUGCUUUUGACUCUUUUUGUUAGGCAUUGAACCCCCACCCGCAGAGCGGUGUUGAGUAGUGUCCUCUACUUCUAAUACUUAAAUCAAGUUCCAUCUAUGGAUCGUUAAAUUUAUUAAGAAGAGUAAUUACACAUAAUACAAAAAGAAAGCGCCGAUGAAUAAUUAGGUAAAGUAUUUAUACCCAAUAAUUAGUCUUUUAUAGUAAAUUUGUAAUAAAACAAGGGAUAACUACAUAAUUUAGCAAAUAUCGGCUUCUAAUUAUCAUAUUUAAUUCAAAUCUCAAUUAAUUACAAUUCACAACCCAUUCUUGCCUAUUAAUUAUCCCUAAUUACAAUUCAUAACCUCUCUCAUGUAUUUUCUCUUUUUCCUAUAUGUACUAUUUUCUCCUUUUAUUUUUUCCCUUUUUAGUUUUUCUUUCAUUUUUUCUUUUCCUUUUUUUUUUUCACUUUUUUUCUUUUUCAUAUUUUGCUUCCUUUUAUUAUUUUAUUUUUUUCCUUUUUUCUUUUCUUUUUUUUGUUUUUUUCUCUAUUUUUUAUUACUCUCCUUUUUUUAUUUUUUUAUUUUUAUUUUUCUCCUUCUUUUCAUUUGUGCGAACUAACAAAUACAAAUACAAGUGUGGACUAUAACAUACAAAUACAAGUGCGAACUAUAAAAGACAAAUGCGAACUAUAACAUUAAUAUACAAGUGUAAACUAUCAUUUGUAUUUUUGAAUUAUUGAAAAGGAACGAUUGAUUUUCUUUCUACGAAUACUUGUUUGUAUUUAUUGAUACGAGUUGUAUUUAUUGAGACAAAUAUACAAUUCAAAUUUUUAUACUGUCACGCCCUAUUUUGAAUCGGUCGAAAUAGCACACAACGUAUGAUGGUGUGUCGUGACUCUUGGGUUUUGAAAAUUAUUUUUUAGAGUCACCACCCAACUUUUUAGGACAAUUAGGAAAAAUAAUUUUUAUUGUAAAAACUCUAUUUUAGUCUAUCGAAAAUAUUUUGACAUUCUAAUUAAGGGUUUUGGUUACCCGAGGGGAAGGUGUUAGGCAACUGUAAGACCCCGCAAAGUUCUCUCGUAGCCUGAGCCUUAGAGCGUGUCAAGUGAAGUGUAAUUCCGGCCUUAAAAGAUCGAGAAGUGACUUUCAAAGUGAGAAAUAUUUUAAACCAUAUAGAAUUUCCCUAAUAUCGACUCUUUUGCAUGUAGAGAAUUGAAUAAGCUUUCCGUUGAUACCAAAUUCGCCCAAAUUUGACACUCGGGCGAAGAGUUAGAGCCAUUUUAGUGAGACAGUGUGCCACCUGGCACUUUAGCACGUCGCGGAGCCAACCAAAAUGGCAAUUGUCAAAUUCCAGUGAGCCUCCGCGAUUCCACCGUGUCACGGUGUCUUUCCAGUUCACAACCAAGGUGGCAACGCGAUUUUCACCACGUCAUGCCAAGGCUCAGUUUUCCAAUUGUCCAAUUUCCAGGAAGCUGGCGCGUCACGCUAGCACGUAAAAUCGAGAUUUUUUCCAGUUUCAGAUUUUAAUUCCAAGGGCAAAAAGGGUCAAUUUUCAACCCCUAUAUAUACUUUUUAACACCAGAUUCAGCACAUUUACACCCAAAUAUUAUUGGUUUCUCUCAAUUUUCUUCAAGAACAAGACCCAGGGUUUCUAAUCCAAGACCCAAAUCAUCAAGGUUUCACUGUGAAUCUUUCUAGAAUUACAUAGUAAGGUAUGUUAGAUGUUGAUUUUUGGGCUCCUUCCACCCAAGAAAUUCAAGGCUCUUUUUUUAAAUUCAAAGAUCUUAUAUUUAUGAGUUUUCAUGACUCAUGUGAAUUGAAAUUGAAGUUCAUGUUAUUAUUGAGUUAAAUCUAUGUUUUGUUUAUAAAAUCUCAAGAGUUGAUUCUAGUAUGUGAUGAAUUAUAUGAUGUUCAUGAUAAACCCUCUUCAAGUUGCAUAUUAAGUGAUGUGUUUAUGUCAAUUGAGUGUAGAAAUUAUUGAAUAAUCAAAGCAUGCUCCCCAAAUGUUUGAUAAAAUUUUUAUGUGAAGAAAUUAGAGUCAUUAUAGCAUGUUGACUAGAAAUCCCCAAUUGUGUGCAAGCUCAUGCACGCCAAGUGUUUCUUGAAAAGCCUUAAUGAAUGAAUUGUGACAUGUUAGCAUGAAACCCACCAAUUAUAUGCUCUUCAAUGCAUGUGAAAUGUUUGUUGAAAGACCUUGUUGAAUGAAGUAUGAGCCAAUAGCAUGUCUCCCAAUAUCACAUGUUUAUGAUUUCCAAGUGCUUGAAGAGAUGCUUUAAUGAUUGUAAUGGUGAAUGAAUGUCCAUGGUCAUGAUCAUUCAAGAAUAUUUAUGUUUUACUUUUAUAUUAUCGAGUCUUGGGGGUAUUUAUACUCGACAAUUUAGCUGCAAGUUUAGAGCCCGUGUCAGUUUUCACGAUAAUCUUAGUCAAGCCACGAUUCUUAGAACUCAGUGAGUUACAGAACUCAAUACUCUCAGACAGUUACAAAACUUAAGAAAUCUCAGUAAUCUAAGUAUCAUUAGCCUUCCAGCUUCAGUUCAGUACUCGACUCAGAUCUUAGUAGUAUUCAAGUGUUCAGUUCAGACCUCAGUAACAUUCAAGUAAUCAAUUCAGAACUCAGUAUCAUUCAGUGAGAUAACAAAAAUUUAGUAGUAUUUCGUCAGAUAACGAAACCAAGUGAACUCAGCUUAACUCAGUUAACCAGUAUGAUCAGUAACAGAUUCAGCUUAGUCUAGUACAGGCUAAGAAUUAUUUCAGUGUCUAUUCAGUUGGGAGUAGGAUUCAGCACCGAGCGGGGGCAAGGAUGGCAGCUUCCCUGUAAUUUAGGCAGAGUCGUUAGUAGCAAUCCCUAUACCUCCAUAACUGCGUAGCCAGCGCAGGAUGAGGAUUCACCCGUUAUAUUAGGCUUGACUACCUCUUAGGAGUCACCCAUUAUAUUAAGUUUGGCUCCAACUAGGUGUCACUCAUUAUAUUAGACAUGACAUCCUGAGUUCAGAGAGAAGUGUCUUUACCUAUGGCAUGGUACUGACACCCUUCCAACUAGGGUAUAGGUUGGACCCCAACUAGCUAGAAGGGGCAUGUCGGUUAGAUGACUACCUCCUACAAUCUGAGUUUCAAAUUCAAUCUCAGUAAUAGAAGUCAGUUGAGGAGCCACCCGUUAUACUAGGCUUGACUACCUCUCAGAGAUUACCCAUUAUAUAGGCUUGAUCUCAGAUUCAAACAAUCAUAUUCAAUAUCAGUAGACUCAGAGAUGACCCGUUAUAUAGGCUUGAUCUCAAAUUCAGACAAUUAUAUUCAAUAUCAGUAGACUCAGAGAUCACUCAUUAUAUAGGCUUGAUCUCAGAUUCAGACAAUCAUAUUCAAUAUCAGUAGACUCAGGAAUCACCCGUUAUAUAGGCUUGAUCUCAGAUUCAAACAAUCAUAUUCAUUAUCAGUAGACUCAGAGAUCACCCGUUAUAUAAGCUUGAUCUUAGAUUCAGUUUAUCAAGUAUCAGACAUCAUUACAGUAAACUCAAAGGUCACCCAUUACAUAGGCUUGAUCUUAGAUAUAAUGAAUCAGUAUCAGCAAGAUUAAAUACCAAUCUCAAUAGACUCAGUUAUUCAGUCUCUCAGUAUUAGUAAACUCAGACAUCAGUACUAGUUGACUCAGUCAUCAGUAAGUCAAUAUUCAGAAACCCGUAUUCAGAGUUCAUAUUCAGUGUUAUUGCAAUUCUAGUUUUGGUUUGUGCAUUCAUGUAUAUGUCCUCCUUCAGUACUCUCAUGUUAUUCAGAUAAGUAACUGUUCAUGCAUAAGCCAUUGCAUUUAGCCUUACCUCAUCUAGCAUACCAGUACAUUCAAAGUACUGACGUAUACUUUUCUCUUGCGCUAUGGUGUCUUAUACCAUAGGUUCAGAAGUGCGAGAUCCAGAACACCCUUAGCAGUCCAGACUUAGUCAGCAGCAUUAACGUAGCUGUAAGUUCUCUUCGUUCGAGGAUGAUCCUUAUUUUAUUAUGGUAUUAGACUCAGUUUAUUUUUAGUAGACAGCGUUAGUUGGGGACAUGUCCCAUCAAAUCCACAGUUCAGACAAGUUUAGAGGCUUUUCGAACAAAUGUAUUAGUAUUCAAUUUUCAGUAUUGAGUAUUUUUAGAUAUUUGAACCUUAUAGCAAGUUUCCGCAAGUUUUCCGCAUUUAUUAUAUUAUAUUAUGUAGUGAUCAGGUACAAAUAUCAGUAGAGGGUUAGCUUGGGGUCCUUCAAGAUCAUGAGCACCGUGUGGCAUUCCGGUUCUAGAAAAUUGGGGCGUUACAACACCCCUCAGAGCCUAUCCGAAGAUAGUCCUUACAUUUAGUUAGGAAAACAUUAGGAAAAAACAUUUAGUCCUUACACUGUAAACAAUACGGAUCUAAGAUGUCUUCUCUUGCAAACAACACCUUUUUAUCAGGAAAGUAGGUAUUGAACAACAUAUAAUCUUGAUCCACUGGAUUUUCUGUGAGGUGAUCAACCACAGCUUGUCCUUUGACGGCUUCUUGUGUCACGUACAUAAUAUCAAACUCAUUCAACAAAAUCUGCCAUUUUGCCAAUUUUCUAAUAGGCAUUGGCUUCUGAAAGAUGUACUUGAGUGGAUCUAUUCUUGAAAUCAAGUGCGUGGUAUACGCAGAUAGGUAGUGCCUCAACUUUUGUGCUACCUAAAUCAAUGUGCAACAGGUUCGCUCCAACAAUGUAUACCUAGCUUCAUACAAUGUGAACUUCUUACUUAGGUAGUAAAUGGCUUGCUCUUUCCUCCCUGUAUCAUCAUGUUGCCUACAUAUCCAAAUGUAUUAUCCAUAACAAAUAAAUAUAAUAACAAUGGCUUUCCCGGUUUUGGUGAAACUAAUACUGGUGGGUUAGACAAAUACUCCUUGAUUUUGUUAAAAGCCUUCUGACAUUCUUCAGUCCAUCCGGUAGCCGUAUCCUUCUUCAAUAGUUUGAUUAUUGGUUCAUAAAUUAUUGUGGACUAGGCUAUGAACCGACUGAUAUAAUUAAGUCUUCUUAAGAAACUCACUAGGUAUUUUUUGGUCUUAGUAGGUGGUAAGUCUUGGAUUGCCUUUAUCUUGGAUGGAUCCAACCCUAUACCUCUUCUACUAACAAUGAAUCCCAAUAACUUUCUUGCGGGAACUCUAAAGGCGCAUUUGGAUGGAUUCAACUUUAGGUUGUACCGUUGAAGCCUUUCAAAGAACUUUCGUAAAUCAUCCAAAUGGUCUAAAUUCCUCUUAUAUUUGAUGACAACAUCAUCCACAUACACCUCGAUCUCUUUAUGAAUCAUACAUGGGAAAGGGUGGUCAUAGCCCUCAUAUAAGUCGCACCGAUAUUCUUGAGUCUAAACGACAUCACCCUAUAGCAGUAUACUCCCCACGGAGUGAUAAAAACUGUCUUCUCUGCAUCAUUAUCAUCCAUCAAUAUUUGAUGAUAUCCCGCAAAACAAUUAACAAACAAUUGUAAUUUAUGUUUUACACAAUUAUCAAUGAGAAUAUGAAUGUUCGGAGAGGAAAAUCAUCCAUUGGACUAGCCUUGUUGAGAUCUUGAUAAUCCAUGCUUAUCCUUAUCUUCAUAUCAUUCUUAGGUACUGGUAUGAUGUUGGCCAGCCAGGUGGGAUAAGUUGUGACCUUUAUGAUGUUGGCUUUUAUUUGUUUGGUCACCUCCUCCUUAAUUCUCAAACUCAAGUUGGGUUUGAAUUUCCUUGUCUUCUGCCUCACAGACGAACAUGCGGGGUUAGUCGACAGUCUAUGCGAGACGAUAUCGGUGCUCAAACCAGGCAUGUUAUCGUACGACCAAGCAAAUACAUCGAUGUAUUGCUUGAGAAGACAUAUCAAUUCCUGCUUCCUUUCACCGUCCAAGUGUAUGUUGACUCAUGUUUCUUUUGUCAUUUCUUCAUCACCUAAAUUGACGACUUCAGUUUCAUCCAUAUUAGGCUUCUUCUGACUCUUGAGUUGCUCGAUCUCCUACGGCAGGUUUUCAGGCAUCAGGCUUUCAUCGUACUCCUUGUAAUCUUGCUCAUCUCUCGCACUUUGCUAAACGGAUUCGUUACAUAUCAUAAUCGUGGAAUGAGGGUUUUUAUUAAUAUUUGCACUAAAAAGUAUAAAAGGCGAGUAAAGUAAAUAGAUAUUGAAAAUAGGAAAAUAAGCUUUGAAAAUAAGGACUUUUAUUAAUAAAGCACUGGGCUUUGGCAAGAGGCGAGUAGCAAAAAGAGCUUCGACAUGAUUCAAGCCUCAAUUUAUCAAGCAAACAAAAUAAUUUUUAAAAGUAACAACAAUCCCACACUACCAAGACUCCUGUCGAAAUAGGGAUGGGCUAAUGGUCCAGUUCUGCAAAACUUCUCCGGGUUCAGCAUCAUGGAUGGUAAGUUUCUUGAAAUCCAUCUCCGGUUCUCCUUCGAUCACAACCACAAAUAGAUUUCCUAUUCCUUCAUAAUAUCUUCAUCAACUGUUUGCCCUAAAACUAGGACUUGGGCUGGCACGAAUACCGUCACUCCAAAUCCUUCACUGCAGGCUCUUCUAGAAAUGGGCUCAUAUCUAAGACCUGUAGUACCUUUCUAAUAUUUCAGUUGGAUUGGCUCAACUACACAAUUGGCUCUUGGUCCUAGCCUUGUCUUAGGCUGAUACCCAUUUUCAACAUCUCCGAUGCAACCAUCUUUUCAGCACUCAAUAUUUUCCCUUCAGUUAGUUCGAUCUUCUCGUCGGUCCUUGUAGCUUGCAUGAUCUCUAGGGUAUAGAAAGUGGCUCCAUCUAACUCCUCGGUGACUGGGACUGAAUUGGCAGAAUAGAUGGGAUGACUGAGCUUUCCACUGAUAGUAACUUCUGUGCGAUCCCACUCAAACUUUACGCACUGAUAAAGAGUAGAAGGAAUGACACUUUCCAAGUGGACCUAAAGCCUUCCCAACAGGAUGUUGUGGCUAGACGACACAUCCAUGACCUGAAAUAGGAUAGGAAAUUUUGCUGGUCCUAUCUACAGUAUCAAGUAAAUUUCUCCGAUGACACUCCUUUACGACUCAUCAAAGGCUCUAACCUUUACCUGACUCUCUCUUAUAUCUUUUAUGUUUACAAUCAAAUCCCUUAGGGUGAAGAACAGGCAAAUAUUACAAGCUAAACCACCAUCGAUCAAAACCCUUUUCAUAAUUUUUUCAUGAUAUCUGACUACGAUAUGAAGUGUUUCAUUAUGUGCAACUCCUUUUGACGGUAGCUCAUUAUCAUGAAAAGAGACCUUAUUUGCUUCUACCAUCUCCCAAUUAUUGCAGCCAAAGUUUCUCUUGUGGUCUUAUUUGGUAUGAUAAUACCACAUAACACUUUCAUCAAAGCGUUCCUGUGGGCUUCAGAACUCAUAAGUAGGUACAUAACGAAUAUGUGGGUCGGUGUCUUCUUGAGCUAUUCUUCAAUCGAAUAUUCCUUGGGUUGCAUCUUCUUCCAAAAUUCUGCAGCUUCAAUAUCAAUAAUAUUUCUUUUUGGUUUCUAAUCUUUCUGGAGAAUUCCUCGAUUUGAUUCCUCUGGCGCAUAACAACUUUCUGACAUGGUCAGCCCUUGAGCCGCAGUGGUGUCUAUUAUUUUGCCUUUUUAUUUAGUUCGAUAGUCCCACGGGACUGCUUUAGUGUCAUAGUUGGGCCUCCUAGUGGCUAAUGUGGUCACACGAUGCUCGACAGGUAAGUCUGAACAAUUAUAGGCUCCCUCAACUGAACUAUAAUAAACGGAUGUGAUGGUGAUGUAGUGGCAAUUUCUUUUGCAUUCCACGUGGGGACAAUAGUUCCUUCCAAAUCAUACUCAUCCUCUAGAGUAAUCAUAUUGACUUCUCGAUUUUAAUGAUUUGGCAAGGAGUGGUUGUUCAUAUUUGGAGUUGCGGCGGUGCAUUUAAUUAUACCUCUCCUUAUCAGAGACUCAAUCUGAUUCUUUAAGCUGUAACAGUCUUCUUGUCAUGCCUAUGGACUUCUGAGUAAUAGAUACAUCAUUUGUUACUGUCAAAGUUUUAAGAGGUCGGAUUUGAAGCCUUUUCUUCAAUUGUAUGCAACAAACCUGCUGCCCUCAAUCUCUCAAACAACUGGGCUAAAGGUUUUGUAAUAGGUGUGUAGGUGCAGGCAUUUUUGGCUUUAAAAUUUGGACGUGGUCUUGGCGCAUAGGCCAAUCUAUUUUGGUUACCCGAAGCUUAGACAAGGGCGUAUGGUCUUGGUGGAUUUUGGUAUGCUAGAGCUCGAGGUGGAUUAUAAUACGGUUGAUUAUUGUACACUGGGACAUGUACAAUAAUUUGGGGGUUAUUAAGGUAACGGUAGGAAGAAUUUCCAGAUUGGUAGUAUGGUGUGACGGUUGAGACAUUUUCCAUCUUUUUCUUAUUACUAUUAAGGAACUAGUCUUUAGGGUCUUUCUCACAGCUUGCAGUGCAACCAUAGAUUAGAUCUUCCAUGACUUGAUUUCUUCUUCUGUGAAAUAUCCCAUCUUGAUUAAUUCUAGAAACUUUUGGCCCAUUAUUGACAUCAUCUUAUCAAAAUAAAUACCCUCUUGAGCUUGAAUAAAAUACUUGGAGAGCUCACUUUCAUCCAGUGGAGGCUGAAUCCUAGCAGCCUCAGUCCUCCAACACUGCGCGUACUCUUGAAAUAAUUUUGAUAGCUUCUUUUAUAUGUUAGCCAAUAAGAACCUGUCUGGGGCAAUCUCAGUGUUAAACCUGAAGUGAUUCAUGAAGUCCUCAGCCAUUUCCUGCCAGUCAUGCCACUUACGGGGGUCUUGUCGGGUGUACCAAGUCAAAGCUUCUUCUUACAAGCUCCGAAUGAACAACUUCAUCCUCAACUUCUCGUUCCUUCCCACACCAACCAACUUAUCGAAAUAGGCCCACAGAUAUGCAUGCAGGUCACCCUUUUCAUCAAACACAUCGAACUUUGGUGGUUUGUACCCCACUGGUAUGUCGAUGUCUGAAUGAAUGCAUAAGUCAUCGUAGUCCAGGGUUUCAGUCCUUCUGGCGAUCUGUAUGUUUCUAAAUGCCCUCUUUAGAUUUUUGAGCUGGGUUGCUAUCGACCCUUCUUUAAUUGAUUGGACAUCCUUUCCCAAUCCCGCAUACCGAUCAACCUCAUAUAAAACCUUAAGAGUCACAGAUAUUGUGAAAGUAGGAGCUUCGAUAGCAUAUACAGGUGGCACAGGUAUCUCACAAGUAACAUGUGCCUCGCGUAUGUGCUGCAUUUUUUGAAUGGACUAGAAUAGUAAAGUUCUGAUAGGAAACAAAUGACCAGGUGCAGUCCCGGCAGUGGGUUGAAUAGCAGGUGAGGCCUGAGCAUGCGGUAUAUUUGCUUGGCUAGCGGGAGCGCCUGGAGGUAAUUCAAUACUUAGAGCCUGCCACUGGUCGGGAAAGCUAGCUGAUGUAAGCUUGGUUAGAUCCCGCAUCUGGCGUGGUUCUUCUUUUAAGACAUCAAUUUUUUAUGCUAUGUUGGCCAUUUGCUCGCUAUUCUGAGUGUCUGACAACCUUUGAGAGCUUUCGGUGUCAUCUACUGGUAUCAUCGCGGCCUUAUCUUGUUAGUUAUUUUGUCUUUAGAUCGAAGGUUAUAUUGGGAUUCCUCCAGUUUGUGCACUUAAUGUGUGUUUCCACAAUAAGAUUAUCAGUAAUACAUACCUCCCACAUAUGAAGUGGUUCCAUCUGUAUGCAACUUAUUUCUCUAAAACCAUCUUUACUGCAGCCUCUUAUGAUGGUUCGACAAAAGUUGAUCAACUGUCAGUUCCUUAUAUCUACAAAGAAGAGGAAAAAAAUUGAUGUCACAGAAAGAACAUUAUCCAUAUGUUAUAACAGAUGUCGAGUCUGUUGCAACAGAUGUGGAGUCUGUUGCAACAGAUGUGGAGUCUGUUGCAACAAAUAUGGAGUUUGAUAGAAUACAUCAAACUAGCUUUUCUGGUCUUUUGAUUUAUUCUAACAGUUUCUCCAUCUAUUGCAGCAAUAUCGACAAUAGCUAAACUAUAAAUAAAAAACAUCAACAAUAAAGAAACAACAAUAUUUGUUCCAACAACAUCAUCAACAACAAAGAAGCAAUAUCUUUUGUUCCAGAAUCAUCAACAACACUACACCACAAGUUCCAACAACGCCAACCCUAACAAUAACAUCAAUAACGGCAUCAACAAUAAAGAAACAAAUAAAAUAUAUACAAAAAAAUGAUAUUGCCAACAAGGCUUUUAAACUUCUUUCAAUAGAUGACUUUUUUUGCAUAUUGUAAUAAAAAUUCUCGGUUUGUUUAUUCAACACUUAAAAGUUCCUUCAAAUUUUUUUAAUAAAUAUGAUAUGGGUAAAUAGUAAUUAAAUAAAAAAACAGAUGUAAAUAACUUGUAAAGAAGAAAAUGAGAAUGAAACAACAAUAAUGAACCACACCUUAAUGUCAAAAAAGAGAUCAAAACAACAAUUUCAGUCGAGGAAAUAUAUGGAUCUGUUUAGAUCCGAAAUGAUCUUUAUGAGAAGAGAAGAGAAAAGAGAGAAAAAAGGUUGUGACCCUAAAGAGGAGAGAGAAAAAGAUGAGAGUUGAAUAAAAUAAAUUGCAGCUGAAGGAAGAGAGAUGAGACAAUUUCUAUAGAUGUAUUGUGUACAUAGACGUGGGGGUUUUCAAUAUUCAUUAAUUUCAUUAAUAAUUUGAGGGGUACGUGGAAGAUUAAGAUUAGUGAUAAUAAUUUCGAUCGCUCACUCUUAGUUGAAAUAAGUUCUCAUCAACUCAAUGUUAGGAUAGUGAUAGUUCCUAAGUUGGUUUAAAUGGAACUAGAGAUGAAUGAAUGAGCUCACAGGGUUAACUACAAAUCCUAUCGAAUUUUUGCAAUUGCAUGGCAUUGGUAUUGCGUUCAUCCCGAUCCGAGUCUUCGAUCGAUCACUCAAAUUUGAAAUGAGUUCUCAUCAACUCAAUGUUAGAAUAGUGAUAGUACCUAAGUUGAUUUAGGUGAAACUAGGGAUGAAUGAAUGAGCUCACAGGAUCAACUAUAAAUCCAAUCGAGUCUUUGCAAUUGCAUGGCGUUGGUAUUGCGUUCAUCCCGACCCGAGUCGUCGAUCGAUCACUCUGAGUUGAAAUGAGUUCUCAUCAACUCAAUACUUUAAAAACUAUAUCUUUUAAAUUUUUUAAAAUUAAUUAAGAUCAAUUCAGACCAAAUUAGCAAUUUUAAAACUUGUCAUUAUUUUACAAAAUUACAAAUCAACCCAUACAAAUCAUCCAUUUGCGUGAAAAACUUUUCAUUUCAAAUUUGAAGUUCUCACUCUUUUUUUUCUCUCUCUAGGUCUCCUCUCUCUCUCAACAAUACAAACAACAACUACUCAACAUAUUGCUCAACCCUUUAAAACAAGUCAAUUUUCUUUCCAUUUACGACCACUUAUAGUUAUUUUUUUCGACUUCAUUCCCACUUGUAUCCGCUGUUUUCUCUGUCUUCGUAGGUAACAGAGUUCGAGAAGAGUUCAACAUUUGUUCUUUAUUCUAAACAUAGGAAUUUUUAGUUAAUGAUGAAAAAGAAGACUUUUAGUUGUAUUAACUUCGAGAAUGGGUUAACAAUUUUGAGUUUUGAUGCUAAAAAAGUAGGAAGCACCCAAGAAAACCCUAGUUUUUCUCUCAGUGUUUUGUUGACUGUCGUGGUAUUGUUGGAUGGUGUUUGUGGUGGUGUUGGUGGCUGGUGUUGGUGGUGUUGGUAUUUGUGUUUUUUUGACUGUGGUGUCGGUGGUCUUGGUGUUGGUAUUGGGGGCAUUGAUAGUGGUCUUGGGGCAUUGGUGGUGGCAUUGGUUGUGGUGGUGGUGGUCCGUCUGUUGCAACGGGUGGAAGAUCUAUUGAAAGAUAUUAAAUAGGUCUUCAAACAGAUUCCCCAUCUGUUCCAAUUGAUGGGUUAUCCAUUGAAGUAUUUUUUUUGUAAUGCAGUGUAGAAUAAUUUAUUAAAAUUUGUCCAUCUGUUCCAACAGAUGGAAUAUCUGUUGGGAGAUAUUAAAUAGGUUUUCAAAUAGAUUCGGUUUCCCCAUCUGUUCCAACUGAUGGGUUGUCCGUUGAAGUAUUUUUUUGUUAUGUGACGUAGGAUAAUUUUUUGAAAUUUGUCUCACCUUUUUAAAAAAAAUUAUGCAGACAUCAAAUGCAAUGUAUUUUUUAUUUUUCUAUUGUUUGUAGUUAAAGAUGUCUCCCAAAAGAAAAGAAACAGAAAGUGGAUCAACUUCUGACCACUCAACAAAAAAGGCUAGACUAUAGACAGAUUCAGAGGAACUUCUAGAACAAUCUCAGUCAGGGCAAAAUGAAGCUGAGGAAAGUGAUAAAUCCUUCUCACCAAUGGAGCGUGAAAUAACAUUGAAAUCCCAGCAUGGGUUUGUCAACACUAUUAGUAUUGUCGGGUUAUGAGCUGCGAUAUCAAUGAGAAACCCUAACACAGUAUUUCGUGAUGUUGUACUUAAAUGUUAGUUGGGAAAACCUUUUAACAAACUUAAGAGUAUUAUGAAGAAGGAAAACAUAGAUGGAUUUUUUAAGAAGAGCUGGUUUGCAUACUUUCUUGAGCUGUUCAGGGUACGCUCUCUCCGUUUUCCAAUGAUCAUGGUAUAUGGCCUCCUCAAGCGCAGGAUCAAGUAUACGGGAGAUGAUGGAGGUCUGAAGGAGGGAGGAAAAAAGAUGGAUGAAGUCUGGAUCAACUACUGUGGCAUGCCGAUUUGUUUUAGAUUAAAAGAGUUUGCCAUAGUGACAGAAUUGAGAUGCGAUUGUCCAAAAGAACCUCUCAUCAAGAAAACACCCCACAAAGGGUCCAACAAAUGCAAGGUAAAAAAAAUGGGUUGUUGGUCAUUGUUGGACCUAGCUACAGAGUGGACGAUUUGAUGGCGGAUCUCAAGAAUAAAUACAUACCAAAGCACUACAGGGAGAAAUUGUGCUUAGUUUGAUUUGUCCAUUCUAUUUCAUUGGCUAGAGACUUCAGGAAAGUCAUAGAACAUGAUUUGUUGGCGCUUGCUAAUGAUAUUGGAAAAUUCAAUGACUAUCCCUGGGGAUACGACAGCUAUUACUUGACUGUCAAAUAUUUAUUGAAAAAGCUAAAGCCAAAGACGACCACAUUGUAUAGAUUUUCUUGGUCUUUCAUGGUAAAAUUGAUCACUAUUUUUACUCAUUCAUUAAUUUAUAUUGAAUAUAGUUAUGACUUUUAUUUUCUUGCUUCCUGUUUACAAAUUUUAGGCUUGGGCAUGUGAAAUCAUUCCUCUUCUCCGAAAGCAUUUCAAGGAUUACUCGGAUAAGGUUUCUUAUUCAAGGAUCCUUAGGUGGUUGGCUGCAGCAGAGAUCAGCAAAAAAAUAUUAACAAGGUUGAUCUCUUUAAUCCUCCGAAUAAUGCAGUAUGUCUUCUUUCAACUAAAAUAAUUUACCUCAAAGAAAGAUAUUAAAACAGAUGUUCCAUCUGUUGCAAUAGAUGGGUCGUCUGUUGCAACAGAUUACCCAUCAACUAUAACUGGUGCAAUAGAUAAACCAUCUAUUGCUCUGGUUCUCUGAACCCUACUCAACAGAUUACCGAUCUACUGUAAAUUAUGCAACAGAUGUGUAAUCUGAUGCAACAUAUUAUUAAUCUAUUUCAAUAUACAGAUCAGUUGUUGCGGUAGCUAGAUCGUCUUUUGCAUAAGUUGGCUGUGUUAACAUCAAUGUAACCCGAGCCCCAUGUAACCCAACUGAUUGUAAAUUAUUAUUAUAUGAUUUAAAUUCCUCCUGUCUUUUUUUAUAGGUUGUGCAUCCUUGGAUCGUGCCUACCAUUGAUGAGCUGGGGAUGACUUUUUUUCUUACUCUGGGUCUUGUUGAUACAAAAGAAGACCAAACGGUGAAGUUAAUAUAGAAGGAACUGGUUGAAACAACAUCCAUAAGAAGAGCAGUUAGGCAAGGUCAGCCUAAUAUUGAAGCUCUUCACGACCAUCCUCAAACUGCAACAGAUCUGGGUGCUUCUUCUGGGGGUGUUGCUGGUGAAGUUAUUUGUGAUGGUGGCAGCCAUCCUGCUGCUGCCAGUCGUGAUUAUGAGCAUGUAGUUGCUCAACAAAAAAUAAAUAUAUUUGAAAAUACCCCUUGCAUAGGUCCUCCCUCUCACCCCUACAUCUGUCUCUCCCACCUUUAUAGUGGUUUCUCUCUUCCCUCCCCACCCUCAUGUUCUUAUUGCAAAUGCAAAGUGUACAAGGACAGAGAGGAUAAACUCCUUGAAAAGCUAGAGGCUAUUGCUGAAGCAGCCGAAGAGUUAAAAUUCAGGAGGGAUGUAAUACCAUCUAACGAGUGAGUGAGCCAUGCAUUCCUACAGUAGAGGUUAGGAGGAAGAAAAGAAAAAUUAGAUAAAUUCUCUCCAUUCUGAAAUCAGCAAAAAUUGCAACUCCCCCCGCUUCAAUAGUUGUUGAAGUUCAGGGGCUGCCGAAGAAGGUGGACAUAUUUGCGGCGCUUGGCAAGGAGAAAAAGGAACUGGAAGAAUUCAUCAAGAUGAAGGUUCAAAAAUAAUACACCAUGCAUUCAUAUGCCAUCAAAGACUUCUCGAAUAUGACAAAUAUGUGCGUGUGGUACGAGGACAAGGUAAGUUUACUUUUGCUAACCUCGCCUUCCAAUUUAAUCCAUGAAAAAGAAUCUACACAGCAGAUGUGUAAUCUAUUACAAAAACUUGGUAUUCUGUUGCAACAUAAUACACAUCUGUUGCAUAAGUUGCAUUGGCUGGGUAAUCUGUGAACUGAUUCAGAGAACCCUCUGCAUCGGAUUCUUUCCACUGUGUUUUUAUUCUUUACAAUUACUAACCUAUUUAAAAAUUUUCUUCUUAUACCACAGUAUAUUGAUAAAAUUCUCUGCUUCAUGAGGGGCAGGCAAUUAAUGUACCCGGAUGCUUAUGAUGUUGCCGAUAGGUAGUGGACCUCAACUUCUAUAAUGAUUUCAAGGAUAGGUACGCUAAACUCUGUAAAAUAGCUGAUUCUGAUGGCCUGAGAUUUGAUUAGCUAGUUUCUAUGUUCCAAUGGGAUGAAGAAGCAAUUAAAUAUCUUAGAGGAAAGAGGCCAUAUCUACACGACAAGAGCUGGACCAAGGCAAAGAGAGUCCUUGCAGUCAUGAACGUGGAUGUCAUACAUUUUCUCACUAUUGAGAUACUACUAUACGAGGGAAAGAUUAAGGUUUAUGACUAUAACUUACCUGUCUUCAGCGAGAAGAUAUUUUUAGCCUAUAUGCAGCCACUCUUGAAGUUGUUGACGCAGAGUAAGCUGAUGGAUCAUUUGCCGGUAGAAGUCUUGGAGAAGGAAUCAUGGGAUUUUGAAGGUCGAAAUAAGAACAUCCAGCUCCCAAGAAAUACAACCAGUACAACGUGCGGGUCGUACUCGCUUGCAUAUAUCGAGUGUUUACUAAACGGCACACAAAUAAUCGGUAUGUGCGACACCGUUGUGGGAAAGAUGCAAUGGGUCUAAGCAUAUGGGGUACUAACUAAAUGGUUGGAGCCCAUGUAUAAAAAGAACAUGUACAAAGACAGAUACGAACACGAUAACAAAUUUUCAUUUCAAGCCAAUUCACUUUACAUGUAGUGGCAAUAAUUUUAUGUCUGGCUGAGUUGAAUUUUUAUAAUGCAACAGAUUUUAUAUUAGUCGUAACAGAUAUAGUACCUUUAGUGACAGUUGAUUAUCUGUUGGAAUAGGUUGGUCAUCUAUUGUAAUAUGCAGAUGUUUCCAGUCUGUCUAUCACAACAGAUAUACGAUCUGUUGCAAUAUAUAAUUUAUCUGUUGCAACUGAUCAGUAAUCUGUUGGAGCAAAUAAAAAAAGUAGGAAGACCUUUUAUAUAAUUUCCAGCAGAUGACCUACGUGUUGCAUCUCAUGUUGCAACAUAUGUUUAAAUCUUUCUGAUAAGAUAUGUCGUCUGUUGCAGUAGAUGUAUUAUCUGUUGCGAUAUUUGAAUCUAGUACUCUAUUUCAAUUAAUAUGUUCAAAAUUAAGGAUUAAAUUAUAUUCAUAGACAGAAUAAAAUAAAUUGAAGCCUUCAAAAAUUACAUGAAAUAACUCAACAAAUAAAUGAAAUGUAAAAAAAAAUCAUUAUGGGUACAAAUGAUCUACUCUACAAAUAAAUCAACAAGUUAAACCAAGGAGGAUAGGUUAUUACAUUGACAGACUCAAGCUAUAAAGAUUUAAUCAAUAUGGACAAGUUGUUCUUCAUCCGGUGCUAGGGAAUUCGGCUUUGGUAGUCGUGGAUCUUUUACGUCGGUUGCGUAUGGCUUCUGAGCUUUCACUUCUCCAUAUUUCCAUAAAAGAGAAGCAUAUGUUUUGCGGAGUAAUCCGGUAUCAAGUCCAUUAUUUGGUACUUGUAAUUCAUCGCUCAAAUACUCGGCGUAGGCGGCAACAAAAGGACCGCAAUCCCUGCGUUAUAAAAAAAUAGAUAAUCCAUAUCUUGCAGUUCAUGUAAGCGUUGUGAAAUUUGUGAAAUGAAACUAAAUCAUGACACUUAAACUUAUAGGCUACCAAUGGUUUGUUGAGCAAUUCCUUCAACAUAUUGUACAUCAAAUGGAUUAGCCAUUUUAUCUCUGUAUUCUUCAAUCAUCGACCAAUCAGUACGAAUCUUUUGGUCCAAAAAGUCACUCAUAUCAAGUUAAGUAGGCAAUAUUUUAGCCAGCUUUUGUAUCUCAGACGACGGCCCGGAACGUCUCCUUCGCGACAUCGAGUCAUAAACUCGCAUGCGCCUCUCUUUUAGAAGGACGACAGUCAACACCCAAUGGAAUUUAUCACCACAAUUGAUUGGGAUGUACACUUUGGUGACCAAAUGCCAAGGUAAGUCAGCCUGAAUGCUAAAACCUUUGAUAAUGUUGAUUAAGCAUUCCUCGUUUCGAGAAACUUUCGGCUGUUGUUGACAAUACCUAUCGUAGGCAUUAUUGAUGUAAACUUUGUAUAAAUAAUUGUUUGUCGUGUAUUUGUAUUAUUCUUGUGUUUGCAACUUGGCCUUCUUUCGAAGGUAGUAAAAAAUGACAUCGAUGUGCUGCACAAUUAUCAAACAUUUUGAAUUACGUGAUGAAAAACUCAAUACGCAGAUGCAAUUAAAUAAAGUAUUAAUUAAUAGUAAUAUGUAUGGCAUUUAAACCUCAUCAUUCCAGCAAGUUUGGGGCUACGACAUCAAAUAAAAUUAAUUUUCGUUCCGGGAUAUGCAACAACAAAGUCGAACAUAUCAAAAUCAAAACUCGAUUCAUACAUUUUGUAGCACUCAUCAUUUUGUUUUCUACAUGAUGAUUUAUAUGUGCUAAUGUCAGGUUCUUACAACAAGAAUUUAUAUAAAUCAAUAUCUAUAAAAUUGAUUUAUGUACCUGCCGGCAUGAUGCUUUAAUAACCCAUUGGCAAUUCAUUCUGAAUAGUCGUUGAUCAACUGUGUGAGUUUUUUGCAGCCUCGUCCGAGAUGUUGAACCCUUCAAACGGGUAAUUCUUUCAUUCUCCUAAACUGACAGGCUCCGUUUUUUCUUCUUUUUUGGAAGCAAUUGAUGGAUUAUCAAUUAUGAUAUUAUGCUCUUCGGCAGUAGCUUCUACUGUGACAUCCACCUGAAAUGCUAGAAUUGUCAAUGCUAAGUAGAGAUAUACAACAAAUUGUACAUCUGUUGAAAUAGAUGAGUCUUAUAUUGCAUCAGAUGGAUUAUCUGUUAGAACAAAUUCAAACAGGUAAAUCAGAGCAGUACGAUAAUUUUGAAUAGAUAACGAAUCUGAUGCAACAGGUUAGACGACAGUUGCAACAGAUGUAUAUAUCAGUUUGAUAAUUUUUAGCAGAUAUAUCAUCUGUUGAAACAGAUAUGUGCCUGUUUGUUUUUUCGAACAGAUGAUGUACAUUCACCUUCUUCAGCUCAUGUUGCUCUCUUGUGGCCCUUGUACACUGAAUAUCGGUGCAAGACAAAGACAAAGACGUUGCAAUCUUGCCUUUUUUAUGCUUGAUAAUGCCUUGGAAGUGUCUUUCCUUCUCCUCUUAGCCGCCUUGAUCUCCAGUGGAGUGUAUGGAUAUGAAAUCCUCUUUGAUGGAAUGACACCUCUCUUAGAUGUCAUUUUCUUUACAGAAGUAGUUAGUGCAUUAAUAGCAUUAAUCACUCCAUCGUGUUUCGCCUUGCAGUCUUGACAUUUGCAUGCAGAACAUUCGCUAGAUGCGGUAAAAUCUGGAGAAAAUUUUGUACAACCAUUAUGAUCAUAAUCAUAAUAGCUUGUUGUUUCAAAAACUGUAAAAGGAGCGUCAUUAGCCCCACCCUCCAAAAUUAUUUUUCUUGUGAUGGUUGUUGCUCUAAACAAUUCUAUUUUUAUUCCAUCAACGAUCUUAGGGUUUGAUAAAGUUUGCACAGAUCGUAAAGUAAGAAAAAAUGACAUCUUCAACUCUCGGUUGGUCAGAACAAGCCACAGAUGGACAAUCUAAAAUAAAUCGGUACAUAUAUUAAGAAUGAUGAUGAAAUCAUUUAAUCAUUAAUUAAAACCAAAACUUGAUUAGAAUUGGACUUACUGCUUCUUUGGGGGGAUUGAAAAGAUCAAGAAAUUUUGCAUUUUUAUUGAUUUUGGCCGACAACCAUCUCAGAAUUCUUGGACAGGAAACUUCUUCCUAGUAGUUCACUUGUUGUCUCAAAUAAGGAGUGGCUUCACUUGAAUAAAAAAAUAAUGAAUCAUAUCAUGAUAAAAGAAAUAUUUACCAUGAAGGCCCAUGGAAAACCAUAUAAGUUGACUGUUUUUGGAGUUAACGGAGUCAACAAAUAUUCGACAGUCAUUUUGAAGCUUUCAUAACCCCAAGGAUAGCUGCUAAAUGCCUCAAGAUCGUCGGAGAGAUUUAUUAAAUCGAGGCUUAUGUUGUUGUUAAUGUCUCUCGCCCAAAGAACAUUAUGUACAAACCAAACGAAGCACAAUGAUUGCUUGUGCAUCUUUGAAAGUCCUUUAUCUUUCAACGCUUCUAUCAGAUUUUUAUUUUUGAAGCUUGGACCAAUAAUGGACUCCAGGUCAUCACAAUCACUCAACUUUUCUUUACCUUUUUUGGGUGUGCGGGGUGUUUUUUGGGUCAGAGUAGGUAUAACUUGAGAAGGAGAAGGAGGAUAAUAUUUUAGUCCGGUAACUAUGACGAACUCCUUCCAACCAAAACAAAUAGGCAUGCCAUAGUAAUUUAUCUACACCUCAUCCAUCUUAUCUUUAUUUUCAUACAUAAACCUGUGCUUGAGAAGAUCAUAUACCAUUUUCAUCUGGAAACGAGCAUUGUUGUCCUCCGGCAAAUCAAGAUAUUGCCCAAAACAGCUUUCCCUGAAAUAAGAAUCCAAUUUUUGUUCUCGAAGUAUUUUUCUGAAGGCGUCAAAAGAUUUUUCCAUGAUUGGCUCAACCACGAGAUCACCCGUUAAAUCUUUAGCACCAUCACACUGCAUUCUCAGAGGAUAACGAUCAAUGCUGAAGGUUUAGACCAACCCUUCGGCAGAAGUGCUAUUAACAUUUGGAUCAUCUCUUUUGAAAGAUUCCUCCUCUUCGUUUUCAUUAUCUUCUGCUCCUAAUCGAGAUAACGCUUGUAAAAUAAGCUCAUAGAGUGGUGGAUGUAGCCGAGCUGCUGCACUUGUUCCUUUACUUGGACUUUAUUCGAUUUUUUUUCUUUUGAGAGCCAUAUUAUCUUAAAUUAACAUGAACAUAACAUAGAUUAUAAUUGAUUAAUGCAUAAUAGUAAUAUAACAGUUCCAACAGAUAACUAAUCUGUUGCACUAGGUAUGUUAUCUAUUGCAACAUAUAACCGACCUGUUGCAACAGAUGAGUAAUUCGUGGAAAUCAUAAAAAUAGGUCACUAAUCUCUUACACCUGGUAUUUCAUCUGAUGCAACAUAUAACCGACCCGUUGCAACGGAUGAGUAAUCCGUGGGAACCAUAAAACCAGAUCACUAAUCUGUUGUACCUGGUAUUUUAUCUGAUGCAAUAUAUAACCGACACAUUACAAUGGAUGAGUAAUCCGUUGGAAACCAUAAAAAUAGAUCACUAAUCUGUUGCACCCGGUAUGUUAUCUGUUGUAAUAUAUAACCGACCUGUUGCAACGGAUGAGUAAACCGUUGGAAAGAAUAAAAACAGAUCACUAAUCUGUUGCACUAGAUAGUUUAUCUAUUGCAACUUAUAACCAACCUGUUACAACGAAUGAGUAAUCCAUUGGAAACCAUAAAAACAGAUCACUAAUUUGUUGCACCAGGUAUGUUAUCUGUUGCAACAUAUAAUCGACCUAUUGUAAUGGAUGAGUAAACCGUUGGAAAGAAUAAAAACAGUCACUAAUCUGCUGCAAAAUGAAGAGUAAAUCGUUGGAAAGAAUAAAAACAGAUCACUAAUUAGUUAUCUGUUGGAUUAAUAUUGUUUAGAUUUCUUCCAAACAGAAAAGUCAUUUGUCGCAAUAGAUGAAUGAUAUGUUAGAUUGUUCACCUAUUGCAUCAGAUUUUCAUAGUUGCAUCAGAUGUUUCAUCUGUUACAUCAGAUGUUUCAUCUGUUACAUCAGAUGUUUCAUUUGUUACAAUAACAUUUUUACCAAGACAAAUAACAAAUCAACCCAUCAACACCAACAUAUCACACAUACACUAAGAACAUCAACUGUGACAAAAAAUCACCAACAAAUUCAAAUCAACAGUACGACAACAAGAUGAAGAAAUGCCAGAAAUUAGAAUUUUAUUCAGUCCAUAUUUCAAUACUAGAAGAGUAGUUGGCUCAAGUUUGUCUGUUUCUUCAUAAGUUUUUACUUGUGAAAAAAAAAUGGGAUGAAGAAAAACUCGAAGUUGUUGUUGCCGGAGAAGUCUUCAUGUCGAUUGAUGGUUGAAAGUCAAAAAGGAACCCGCCCGACUAUUUGUCGCCGGAGGUUGAAGGGAGAAAUUUUGCAGAACUAUUAGUUGGGAGAAGGUUGAGAGAAGCUGUCGAAAGAGAGAUUGUGGUUGAUUUGGAUUGAAGAGGGGUGUAGGUUGGGUUGAUUUGUAUUUUUUGAAAAGAUUAGAAAGUUUUGAAAAUAUUAAUCAAGUCCACAAUUAACUUAAUUAAGUUUCCUAAUGAUAUUUGACCCUUUAAGUUGGUCAAUGUCACCAAUCCUCCAUUCAAGACUUAAAAGACACCUUUCCUUCAAUUUUCUCAAGAAACUUUAACCAAUCAAAAAACAUUUUUUUAAAAACUAUUAUUAUAUUAACAAUACUUAUCUCAUCUCAUCAAUUCAGAGACUAUUUUAUGUCAUCUCCUUUAUGUUCCUUUCGUUCGCUUUUACUUGUCACAAUUUUCUAAUUAUAUUUUUAUUUUUGUUUGUUACUAUUUUUGAUUGAUCAAGACAACCCUUGAUUGAUAUCAUAAUAAUUUUGAAUUAAUUAACUUUAUAAAAUAUUUCAAGACUUUUUGUAGUCUUUAAAAAUCAAAUUAAUUGUGAAAAAAUUGACAAAGUGUUUAAAUCAUUCAUUAAUCCAUAAAAACAUGUUGGGUUCGAAAUCAAGAGGGCGUCAUGGGGAAGCUAUUAGUUGCAAACUAUGAGACGAUAAAUAAGAUGACAACGAAAAACAAUACUAAAAAGCAUAAAAUUAUUAUAUGUUUUGGUCAAACGACCUAUAUAUUAAAAACUAAUAUUGCAAAAACAUAAAACCUAUUGGGAGAAAAUCUCCCCCUAAACAAAAACUCUUAAACGACUACAUUGUGUAUGAUAUUGUGUUAUGAUAUUAGAAGGGGUAUUCUAUUUAUAAAUAUUCAAAACUUUCAUCCAAGAAAGAGGUUAGCUAAAUAUGGAAAAGAAUUAUAUUUUUUUUUCAUGAAAAAUAAAAGUAAUUAUGGUAACUUUUAUUUUCCUUCUAAAAAAAGUAAAACUUAAAUAUAGUAAGAAAAUCAGGUCAAAAACCCUAACAAAACGUACUCCCAUAACAUGGAGUAUUUUGAUUUGAAAAUAUUAUUCUUAAAAAGUUUAUAAAUAUUUUUGAGAUAUUGUUAUUAACAUAAAGUAUUUUAAUUUGAAAAUUAAUCGUUGAUGGAAUUCAAUCGAAAAAAUGACUGAACUAGAGUAUAAAAGGGUGCUAUACUUUUAACCCAAUAAAAUGCAUUGAUAUCAUUAAAAUAAUUACUCCAUUAAUAUUAAAAUUUAACUUUACUUAAACAAUAUAACACAAUCAUUAAUAAGAUUAAGGGCCAGUUUGAACAUGAAAUUUUUUCCCUUUUUUCCGAAAAAUCUUUUUGGAGUUGGAAAUUGUGGUGUUUGGCUAUGAAAAUUCGAAAAAUAAUUUUGGAAUUUUUUUCUGAAAAAGGAAAACAAAUUUUUGUUGUUUUCACAAUUUUCCAACUCAAAUUUCAACUUUUAUUAUUAUUACAUAUAACCCAAUCUUUUAAAUUUUUACAUAAAACUUUCCUUAUAACAUUACUUUUUCAAUAUUACGUAUAUAACAGUUUUAAAGAAUAAGAUAAUUAUAAUUUCAAACUUAAUGUUAUCCUAAUUAAUAUAUAUCUUUUUUUCUCUCUCAUCAUUAUUUUUAUCCCUUAUUUAAUUUUCUCUCUUAUUUAAGACAUUAUUUUACUGUUAAUUUAUAUUUAUACCCAUAAAUAUAUAAAAUAUUAUAUUUAUAAUAGAAAUAUACAAAAUAUGUUAUAUAUAAAGUUUAUACCAUGUAUAUAUCAUAUACACAUAUAAAUAUACAAAGUAUUAAGAAACAUACUAAGUAUAUUUAUAAUAUAAAUAUAUAUGAUAUAAAUAUACAAAGUAUGUUAUAUAUGAAGUUUAUACCAUGUAUACAUCAUAUACACACAUAUAUAAAAAUACAAAGUAUAAAGAAAUAUACUAAGCAUAUUUAUAUAUUUAUGGUAUAUGAUAUAAUAUACCAUAAAUAUGCAAAGCAUGUUUUACAUAUAAAUAAUUUAUUCAAACACAUAGUAAAAUCUUUCCUGUAUAAGAAAAUUAAAUAAAUAAAUUAGCGGCACCCUAAAAUUUAAUAACAACUCAUCAUUUCCUAUUUUUUAGGAGCAAAAAAUGAAGGAAAUAAAUUAAAUAAAUUUCUAAAAAAAUAAAUUUGUUUGAAAGAUAAUAUUUGUUACCUAAAAAACAAGAAGCAGUGAUUUGUUAAUAUAAUAUCCAUAUUUAAAAUUUUCAAAUAUGAAAAAACGACUAUUAAUGUAAAUAUUAUAUAUGUCACAAUUGAAAUUCAUUAAAUAUGAUCAUGUAUAUGUAAUUAUUUUUAUAAUAGUGACUAAUUGUGUUCUUUUUUAAUUAGUAGGUAAAUUUUAAUUAGGUGAUUUUGAUAAUUUGUAAAAGUUAGGGCAUAAAAUCAUAUUUAAAAAAAGUUUUUUUAAAAGUCAAUUUUUUUUUCAAAAAAGAUAUGACCAAAUACAAUUCUAACCUGAAAAAAUUUUAAUUUUUAUAGCUAAACGGCUACUAAUAUUAUAAAGUUAUACUAUUAAUAUUAUUUUGAUAAUAAGUGUGUCAUCUCAAUCUGAGUGAAAUCAAACAAAAAGAGUAGCAUAAAAUAGUUCAAGAAUAAAACCGGUUAAGCUCACGCAGUAAAUAGGUCAAAGAGUACUUCCACGUGUCACCAUAUGAUGAAGCAACUCAGGUCGGGUCGGGUCGGGUCGGGUUUUAGAGUUUUUAGCGGUAUAUUUAAGCCAACAAGGGUUUUACUUCGUCUCUACUCUACUGAGUUUUUCUUCCUCUUACAGCCGCACUCAGGAAGAAGAACAAAUAAAUUAUUUUCAUUUGUUUAUUUAUUUUUGUUACUGAAAUGGCUACUCUGGUUCCUCCUCCGUCAACUACUACAGUUCCACCGGCGAAUUCGAAUUCGGCGGCGGCGGCCGAAUCGGAGAAAAUUGAUUACAUGAAGUUGCCUUGUCCAAUUCCUUAUGAAGAAAUUCACCGUGAAGCUCUCAGUUAAUAUUUAUUUUCAUUUGCUUUUUCGAUUGUUAAUGGAUUCAAUUUGAGUAGAGUUAAAUGGAUAUAUAUAUAUAUAUAUAUAUAUAUAUAUGAUUUUUUUAAUUAUUAUUAUUAUUAUUAGUUUUUUUGAUAAUCGUGGAUUAUGUAGAAGAUUUAUGUAGAUGAAUACUGUAAUUGAGAAACUCUCAGAUAGUAUUUAUUAUCCUCUGCAUUUUUGCUUUUUAAUUAAUUGAAUUUGAGUAGAGUUAAAAUGAAUAUAUAUGAUUUUUUUUUAAUUAUUAUUAUUAUUAUUAUUAUUAUUAUUAUUAUUAGUUUUUGGAUAAUCGUGCUGUAGUUUGAUUAUGUGAACUUGCUUUGUCCCAUUCCGUAUGAAGAAAUUCACCGUGAAGUUCUCAGUUAGUAUUAUUUUCAUUUGCUUUUUCGAUUGUUAAUGGAUUGAAUUUGAGUAGAGUUAAAUGGAUAUAUAUUAUCUAUUAUUAUUAGUUUUUUGAUAAUUGUGGAUGUAGUUGGAUACUGUAAUUGAGAAGCUCUCAGUUAAUAUUUUAUUAUUUUUUUCUUUUCGGUUUUGAUCGGUUGUUGCUUUAAGUAUUAAUGAAAUGCGUUUAUAAGGACGCUGCGGUAUAGUUGAAAUGGAUCGGAAUAGAGCGUGUUAGAUGUAGAAGAUUUUAUGUAGCUGGUGCCUGUAAUUGAGCAGUAGUAUUAACCAUGAACCUCCCAGUUAGUAUUAGUAUUAUAUGGUUGUGGCAUUUAAAUAUCGGUUUGAGUAGAGUGAAAUGGAUAUAUAGGAUUUAUAAGGACGUGGUGGUAUAGUUGAAGUGGUUUGGAAUAGAGUGGAUUAGAUGUAGAAGAUUUAUGUAGCUGGAUCCUGUAAUUUACAAGCCGACAAGCUCUCAGUUAGUACUAUCAUCCUUUAUUUUUCGCUUUUGAUCAAUUGUUGCUUUGAAUUUGUUUAAUGAAAUAGAUUUGAGUAGAGCAAAGUGGAUAUAUAUAUAUAUAUAUUUUUUGAAACUGGUAAUUUGAGCGAAGUGGAUAUUUAGGAUUAUAAGGAUGUGGCGGUAGAGUUGAAAAAUUGACUAGCUCUAAGUUAGGAUUAUUAUCAUCCUUUGUUUUUCGCUUUUGAUCAAUUGUUGCUUUGAUUUUUUUAAUGAAAUAGGUCUGAGUAGAGCGAAGUGGACAUUUAGGAUCGGUAAGGAUGUGGCGGUGUAGUUGAAAUGGUUCGUAAUAGAGUGGAUUAGAUGAUUUGUGUAGCUAGAUACUGUAAUUGAGAAGCUCUCAGUUGUUGCUUUAUAUUUUGGUGAAUGGAUAUGUAGGAUUUAUGAGGAUACGGCGGUAUAGCUGAAAUGGUUCGGAAUAGAACGGAUUAGAAAAAGCUGGAUCCUGUAAUUGAGCAGUAUUAGAUUGUCUUUUGCUUUGUUCCAUGCCUUGUGAAGAAAUCCACUCCGAAGCUCUCAGUUAAUAUUUAUCAUCCUUCUCGUUUUGAAUGAAUAGAGUGAGUAGAGCGAUAUGGUUUUAUAGGAUUUAUAAGGAUGUGGCAGUGUAGUUGAAAUGGUUUGGAAUAGAGAAGAUUCGAUGUAGACGAUUUUAUGUAGCUGUAUCCUGUAAUUGAGAAGUAGUUGAUUUCCUGUUGUCUGCAGAUUGAUGUGCGUGUUCAAAGAAUUGAAAUGUGAUUUGAAGUGUGAAGUUUUAACUGUUACUGUUACGUCGCCUGCGACGGUGUAGGGAUGAAGUUUAAUGGUGCAAGUGUGCAAACCAUGCAUAUAAAUGAUAUUGUCUAAUUGAGAAAACUAUUGACAAGUAGAUCGAAAGUCGGAAAUAAUUAUUGUGGGAUAGGAAGUUAAACCAUACAUGUAUAGUAAAUGUACUUGCAUAAGAAGGAAGGUGAUGUGAGUGCGCCAUAAUCUAUGCAUCUAGAUUUUUAGUUUUCUAGGUGAUGACAUGAUAGAACCACACAUAUAAAUGAUAGACUAAUUGAGAAAACUAUUGACAAGUAGACCGAAAGUCGGAAAUAAUUAUUGUAGGAUAGGAAGUUAAACCAUACAUGUAUAGUAUACUUGCAUAAGAAGGAAGGUGAUGUGAGAAUGACAUGAUAUAUACAUCUAGAUUUAGUUUUCUAGGUGAUGACAUGAUAGAAUUAGAUAUACGUAGUUGAUUUCCCGCUCUCUGCAGAUUGCUUAACAUAUUCUAAGAAUUGAAAUGUGAUUUGGAGUUUUAACUUUUAAUAUUACGCCGCCUCCAAUGGUGUAGGGAUUGGGUUUCAUGGUGCAAGUCUGCAAGAUAAAUAUGUACAAAUGAUAUUGUCUGGUUGACGAAACUGCUGAUUAGUCGAUCUAAAGUCGGAAUCAAGUGUUGUAUGAUAGAAAGUUGAACUUAAACAAGCAUGUAUAGUAAAUAUAACUUGCAUAAUAAGGAAGGUGAAGCGAGAAUUACGCAAUCUAGACAUCUAGAUUUAGUUUUCUAGGUGAAUUACAUGAUAGAAUAAGAUUUAAGCAGUUGAUUUGUUCUUGUCCGUAGAUCGCUUUGCAUGUUCUGAGAUUUGAAAUGUAAUUUGAAGUAUGGAGUUUCAACUUUUAAUAUUACGUUGCCUCCAAUGGUGUAGGGGUUGGUUUCAUGGCACAAGUCCGCAAGAUAUAUAUACAAAUAAUAUUGUCUAUCUGAUGAAAUUGCUGCCAAGUAGAUCUAAAGUCGGAGUUAAGUAUUGUAGGAUAGGUAGUUAAACCAUAGAUGUAUCAUAAAUAGCUUGCAUAAGAAGGAAGGUGAUUCAAGAACUACAGAAUCUAGAUAUGUGGAUUGAGUCUUCUAGGUGAAUGACAAAAUAGAAUAAGAUAUUGAGCAAUUGAAAUAGAUGUAGAUGAUUUAUGUCUAGUAGUUGAUUUCGUUUUGCUUUGCAUAUAGAAAGAAUUGAAAUGUGAUUGAAAUGCGGAGUUUUAACAUUUAUAUGGUACGUCUCCUUCAAUGGUGUAGGGAUUAGGUUUCAUGGUGCAAGUCCGCAAGAUAGAUAUACAAAAUGAUAUUGUCUAAUUGAAAAAACUACAAACAAGUAGAUUCAGAGUUGGAAUUGUUGAAAAGCACUCUAGAAAGUAAGCAUUGUAGAGUAGGAAGUUAUUGAAUUUAACUUUCAUAAUAAGGAAGGUGAUUAGAGAAUGAUACAAUCUAGACAUCUAAAUUUAGUUUUAUAGGUGAAUGACAUGAUAGAAUAAGAUAUAAUUAGUUGAUUUAAUUUUCUCAUAACGUUUAAGGUUAUGGUUGCGAGUUUGCAAAAGAUGUAUACAAAUGAUAUUGUCUAAUUGACGAAAUUGCGGACAAGUAGAUCAAAAGUUGAAAUUAAGUAUUGUAGGAUAGGAAGUUAAACCAUACAUGUAUCGUAAAUAUAACUUCGAUAAGAAGGAAGGUGAUGCGAGAACGACAAAAUCUAGACAUCUGGAUUUAGUCUUAUAGGUGAAUGACAGAUAUAAGAUAGCUAAAAUUGAGGAGUCUUACGAGAGUGUUUUGCGGCAAGUUAGGUAUCUUCCGUUUUGACUUGUAGUUGAUUUCCUGUCGUCUGCAAAUUGCUUUGCAUAUUCUAAUAAUUGGAUUGUGAUUUAAAGUAUGGAGUUUUAAUUUAACAUUACGUCACCUCUGAUGAUGUAGAGGAUGAGGUUUCAUGGUGCAUGUCUGCUAGAUAUAUAUGCAAAUGACAUUGUCUAAUUGAUAGAACUACUGACAAUUAGAUCGAAAGUCGGAAUUAAGUAUAGUAGGAUAGGUAUAAGAAGUUAAACCAUACAUGUAUCGUAAAUAUGAUAGUGAAGUCGGACUUUUUAAGUCCGUGUAUAUCCUAAGAUCAAUGUCACUAAAAUGUAGUUGUUAAAAUGAAUGUGCAGUAGUAGAAUAGCUUUUGAAAGGAAAGAACUUGAUUUUACACAUUCGAGGAAUAAUUUCAUGUUGUUCUAUUUUGAUGCAAUUGAGGUUCUCAUGUCAUAUAUUUUCACAGGUUCUCUUACUUUUGAUUUUAAACUUUGGUAUAUAGGAUGUAAGAAAAUAGGUUAGGAAUGAUCACGUCCGAUAGAGGAUAUAAUUUGCGCAUGUAGAAUUCAAGGUAAGCGAAGGUCGUCUAUGAUUGUAUGACACUAUUUUAUUAAAUUACUAUAUAUGUUAAGAGAAAAUAGCUAAGUUUUGUAGUCCUUAGGGUUAAGUCCAAACUUUUAAUUCCUUGGUGAUGUGAAGUUGCUACUCAUGGAAGUUGAUGUUGCCUUUUUCUUGCAUAUUCCCGUUUUUGCCUUACUCUUUUUCUUAAGAGCAUUCCCUUUUGGGCCUUUGUAAUUGGUGUGACCAGGUAGUAACUUCGUAUGAAUCUCUUCUUGUCACUUUAAAUUACCUUUUUGUUAAUACUUAAUACUCCCCCCUCUUUAAAUUAUUAGUCACUUUAGCUCAAAAUAUUUUCCUAAAAUAACUGCUAAUACAAAAUUAAAAGCUUGCAAUUAUUUUCAACUACUCCCUUAUAGUUCCUUUUAACACUGUUCGAUCCUCAAAUAGCAUCUAUUAAAUUAAAGGUUGCAACUAUUUUCAACUACACCCUUAUUGUUAGAUUGUUAUGAUCUUUGUCUGAUUGUAAUUAUUUAUAUAUUUUAGAUCAUGUUAUUUUAUGAAUAUCUUAUAGUAUCUUAUCACUUGUGUCCUUUUUAUAUUUUCUACUUAUCCCGCUAAACUUCCUUCCUCAUAAAUAACUUUUUAUUUAAAAUUAUCCAACUAUGUGAUUCUUUAAUAGUUAUGAAGACCUAUCAACUAGACACAUUCAACGUGACAUUAGAUUCUGUUUAAUUAUAUCAGUAAAAAACAUUAUACAAAUUGUACUUUUUAAUUAAACUAAUGAGUUUGGGUCCAUGCUUAGCACAAACCUCAUGGAAUGAUGGAACUAGUAGAACUACAUAUGCAUCGGACCUUACAUGCAUCAAUAUGAUUAUGGAAGAUAAUAAAACGGAGUUGAGAUUACCAUGGCCCCUGCAAUGAUACACAGAUCAAGAAAAAAGAUGAGUUAGACCUAAAGCUACAUGAAGAGAAGUAUCACAACUCAUACGAUCUCUCAUAAUCAUGUGGAGCUAAGAAUAGAACACGAUGGAAGUGAGGAUCCAUAUAUGCUUUACCACUAGUUGCGACUAAGGCAUAGUUAUGGAUGUUACACUGAAAUUUGUUUUUUUUUUAUGAUUCAUUGUAUUCUAGUUACAUAGUUAUAGAGGGGCAAGUCUUAAGACUUGGAGAAUCUCUAGUGGUAGAUAACUCCAAUUUUUCCUUAAAAUGGCUCCCCGGUGCAAUAAUCUCUUGCUGUGCUCCGGUCCGGGGAAGGAAAGCAACAGUUGCAGAAUGAAAUGGGCCUUAAAGUAUAAAUUUUCUUAUUGAAUGAGAUAGGCUUGAAUAGCGGAAUCGAUACAAAGGAUUUAUCUAACUUGACCUCUACUGGUUUGAGAUUGGGUAUAAUUGAGUAUUUGUUGUGAAUGCUCUAGGUUUAGCAAGAAAUUCUGCCUCGACAUUCAAAUUCAACCGUGCAUUUUGGGAAAAGAGGUUGAGCUGAGAGUUGUUCGAUUGAAUGUGUGUACAUGUAAAGUUGCGUCAAGUAGUGUUCUUUAUUAAAACAUUAAGAGGUGGUUGUUGAUACCACUUCAAGGUUAAAUUAGUGCAGUGCUGCUAUUGCAGUUUUAGUGUUCCCUUUCAUGUUCAUAUUUGAUAAAGAUUUUUGGUGCUUUUUAAUCUGACACUCCUACAUUUCUGUUUGUUAUUAUUUUUGUGAACGGAAUAGCUAAUUCAUGUGUCUGUUGGCAGUGUCUUUGAAGCCUGAGCUUUUUGAAGGCAUGCGUUUUGAUUUUACCAAAGGACUUAAUCAGAAAUUUUCACUCAGUCAUAGGUAGUUCUUAUAUACUUAGAACAAUAUCAUAAUUUUUGUCAUGUUAUUCUCCAUUGCUAGUAUACUUUUAGUGAUAAUAAAAGUGUUCCUACCUUCUAUCAGUGUUUUAAUGGGGCCUACAGAACUUCCUACCCAGUCUGCAGACGUCGUUAAAAUUCCAACUGCUCACUAUGAGUUUGGAGCCAACUUUUUAGAUCCACAGGUCUGUAGUUGAAUUUAUUUUUUUCAAGUGCCAUGAACCCAGCGAGGAUCAAAUUAUGGCGACAAUUACUUACUACUAAUGCUACAGAUGAUGCUUGUUGGGAGAGUAAUGACAGAUGGGAGGGUGAAUGCUAGGGUGAAGUGUGAUUUGUCUGAAAAUCUUUCAUUGAAAGCCAAUGGACAGGUAAAUGGAUGCUAUCUGCAACUGUUGCUUUCCCUUCCAUACUUUUAUGUGGAGUGACUGGUAUAUCUCAUAAUUAUGAUCUUCUUAACAGCUAACUGGUGAGCCACACAUGUCACAUGGCAUGGCUAACUUCGAUUACAAGGUAAUUUGUUUAUGCAAGGGUAUUCACGCAUAUAAUUCAAUAAGAUUUAAUUGAUUCAUCCAGGCUAUAGUGGUCACACUUCCUAUUUCAUUCAAGUUGUACUAUGUUGCAGUCCAUUUGACUUGGGGAUAAUGAUUGUUUUAUGUCUUCAUUGUUGUUGUUGUUGUUAAUAAGGGUAAAGACUACAGAACUCAAUUUCAAUUUGGAAAUGGUGCAUUACUUGGAGCCAGCUACAUCCAGGUAUUAUAUACUCUUCAUUAAUAAUGAAAACAUCUUAGAAGACUACUUUCUACUUUUAUUUUCAAUACCUCUUUUUUCUUUAAUAUUCCCAUCAUAGCGUUUUGGUCUGAUACUUUCUUCCAUACCUACCUGGAAAACGUGUUUCUGAGCCAGGUCUACAGGAAACAGCCUAUCUAUCCUACAAAGGUAGGGAAAUGUCUAUGUACACCUCACCUUCCCUAGAUCCUAGUUGUGGGAAUGUACUGGGUAUCUUGUUAUCCUAGAAGACCGAAAGAAUUCAGAAAGUGAAUGGCCUUUUCUCAACCCAUUAUGUUUAUGAACUGUUAUAAUGCGUUAGACGUUUAUGUCCCCUAGAUCCUAGUUGUGGGAAUGUACUAGGUAUUUUGUUAUCCUAGAAGACCGAAAGAAUUCAGAAAGUGAAUGGCCUUUUCUCAGCUCAUUAUGGUUAUGAAUUGUUAUAAUGCGUUAGACGUUUAUGUCCUCAAGUUAUAUGAUGUAUCAUGAAGUCUCAAAUGUUUCAAGAAAUUUAUUGUACUCAAUAUGAUGAGUUGGAAAGUGUUUUAUCACUUUACAAGUGGAAUUAAAAGCCUAGUGAGUGGGGGAGAGAGCAAGGUGAACCAUCAGGAGUUCGCAUAGCAUCAAUUAUAGAUCAAUGGUAAUGUAAUUUGUGUAAAAUCAGAUUUACUUGGACGGAUAAAAUGCUAAAACGAGAUAAAAACACCAGUGACCUAUGUUGCUCGAACUGCUUAAAAAUAUCAAUGGGUGCGUGUCUGAUUCUCCAAAAGUAGUGUAUUUUUGGAGUAUCCGACAUGGGUGCAGUAUCGAAAGUGAAGAGCCCGCGCAACGUAGCCAGUGACAAAAUACUUUUGAGUAUUUCUUUACUAAUUACUUGAUUUAGUAACUAGACCCCUCCCUCAAUCCCUGAUGACUAAAAGGCACUGCUAACCACUCUAUACUCCCUUUGACCAAAAACUGUAUUCUGUGGCAAGAACUGUGACAUGCCACUCGAUCCACAUCAACGACAAGAACAACACCCACACCCAUUACUUCAUAAAAGCAAACAUUUCCAAUUAAAAGAAAACCUCCAUCAUUUACCUUUUCUCCAGAACGGCCAGUUGAAAUAGUCGACAAUUUCCACCAUCAUUUUCACUCGUAUUAAGUUAGCCAAUGGUAGCUAUAAUUGACGCUAUUGUCUUGCUAAAAAAUGUCAUGGGUUCAAGUCUUGUCAUAUGCACAUAUUCUUCUUUCUGGACAGUAAUGAAAGAUCAAUUGACAUCAACUAAAAUUGUUUAUUUUAUUUGCCUUCAAGAUGUGUUUAUGAUAACGAACAAACUACGGAAUUCAAAAACUAAGCUACGAUACGAGAAACGAAAAAUAAAGGAUAGAUGAAAGCAAAUAAAGAUAGACACAAGAAUGGAAUGGAUAGCAAACAUAGGGUAUAUCAAAUCCUUAAUCCUUUAUUUAAUAAUCCAAUCAAGCACCUAAACUCCUAUGUAGACCACAUGUGAAUCGAUUCCAAAGUAACCAACGUUUUCAAACGAGAAAUCAACACAAACUAAUCUAAGCUUACACACUCACAAGGGAGUAAUAGUUCAUUAGCAUCAAAGUUAUACUAAAAAUGAAAGAAAGCUCCUAUUUAUAGUCUAAGGUUAAUUAUUACUACUUAUGGGCCUAAAAGUGACUCAUUUGGAACAAGAAAGCACGACAACCUGCUUUGGCAUCCAGUUGAGUAUGUUGGGACACACUUCUGGAGCAUGUGCCACUGUUUUGACCUGCUCUAGCAGAUCAAGAGCAGGUUGGGCGCCACCCCAAAGCAAAAUGGGGCGCAUGUCACCUCUCGGGGGCUUUUUAGCCUCGUCGUGCACUCUUUUGACCUCUUCAAAGUCCCUCGACCCUCCUGAAGGUAAUCAUCAUCCAAUUGGCACCUUUUGAUAGCACUAAGGAGUCGUCAAGGACCUUUAGCAUCAUAAGCAUCCUAUCCAAAGGUCCGGAGGCAAUUUGGAUUGUCUCAUCCUCUCCUUAAAGAAGCUUCGUCCUCGAAUCUACAACCUUAAAGCACAAAAGAAGAAGAAACAACCAAUACAUCCUCGAAGCAUAAGGGUUAGCACAAGGGUUAAUAUUAAUAUAUCCAUGCCACGGGGACACCUACUUCACAUAUAACCAAACAUCCUUGAAAUCAAUGGAAGAUAAUUCAUAAUUUAAGGUGCAAAGGAAUUGGCUAUGAUAAACAUCAAGAAGCUCUCCAAAGUUGUUUUCAUUAGCAAGAUUAUCACGCAAAUCAUCAUACGCAAGUAGUCAUUAGGGUUUAGAUUACCUGAUACAAGCCGAAUUGGCUCUACUUUUUUGGGAUCUACGCUUCAAGGAUCACACCUAAGGAUCCAAGGCUUGGUUGUUCUAGGGGAGCAAGUACGUGAUUGGAGGAUAGCUUGGGAAGGAGCUAUACGUAAUGAUAUCAUUCGAGGAAGUAAUGAAUAACAUUGCAUUUGGAUAAUAACUUGGGCCCUAGAGAUCAUAGGCGCCAAUAUAAGGCCCAAUUAGCAUUAUGUUUGGCUCUUGGGUCACUUUUGGGCCCAAUGAGCAUUUAGGGUCACUUUUGGGCCCAAUUGUAGUAAAUGGCCUUGACCUAUAAAUAGCUAGGACUCUUUUCAAUUUAGGAAGAGGAUUUUGAAGUUAAGUUGACACUUGAGAGUGUUUUUAUUAAAACUUGUUGGGAGCUUUCUUGUAUUGUGAGAAACGUUGGUUGUGAGGGUUAAUGUCCCCCUCGGUCUUCGUAAGAGGUUGGUGCUUGUGAUAAUUCGAUAGGAAAGUCUUAGGGUUUAAUAUAUCCUUUGGUUGUCCUUUUUUAUCAUUUUGUGUCAAUCUAUCUAUUCUUUACUUUCAUUGUUUUCGUUCUCUUUAUUUCCUUGUUUUUUUGUAUUUAGUGUUUUUCUUUAUUUUUGUGUUGUUCCCAUCUACGUAGUUUACCUCGUAUCAUUUGUGGUAUCAGAGCCCCAAACCCUAUGAUACGAGGUAAUUUACGAAGAUGGGAACAACACAAAAACAAAGUAAAACACUAAAUUCAAAAACGCAAAACAAGGAAACGAAAAUAAUGAAAGUAAAGGAUAGAAAGAUUGACACAAAAUGAUAAAGAGAGGACAACCAAAGGGUAUAUUAAACCCUAAGACCUUCCUAUCGAAUUAUCACAAGCACCAAUCUCUUACGAAAACCGAGAGGACAUUGAAUCUUCACAAACGUUUUUCACAAUCCAAGAAAGCUCCCUACAAGCUUUAAUAAAAACGCCUCAAGUGUCAACUUACAUUCAAAAUCCUCUUCCUAGAAUGAAAAGAGUCCUAGCUAUUGAUAGACUAAGACUAUUUAUUACAAUUGCACCCAAAAAUGACCCUAAAUUCUAAUUGGGCCCAAGAGUCUAACAUAAUGCUAAUUGAGCCUUACGUUGGUGCCUAUGCUCUCCAGGGCCCAAGCUAUUAUCCAAAUGCGAUGUUCUAGUUACUUCCUCGAAUGAUAUCAUCAAAUAUAGCUCCUUCCCAAGCUACCCCCCAAUCAUGUACUUGCUCCCCUAAACGACCAAGUCUUGGAUCCUUAGGGUUCAAUCCUUGAAACAUAGAUCCCAAAAGAGUGGAGCCAAUUCUGCUUGUAUCAUUACCCUUCCUUUCACAACAAGCCAUGUUUACACACAAGACACUUUCAACACUAACAUGGCUAUCUUCACAAGCAAAGAAAAUGAAAUAAUAAAAGCUAUGAUUACGUAAGGUGCCUACCAAGAUCACAUGAAGGUAAGAACAAACAUCUUAAGCACCUCACAUCCCUCUCACUUGAACAACCUUCCAAGAAAGAUCCAACUUGUCUAUCCACAUUAGUGUGACAAGAAACAAAAGUUGUUUAUCAAUAGGGACCAUAGACUUUUCUUAGAUUAACUACUAGAUUGACCAUUCGGGUUGGGGAGGCCAUGCAUUUUAUGCACAUUCAAGACAUUCCAAAGGGUGGUUUGAGAGAUAUCAAUACCAUCUAACUUGGAUUUUAAGUCAAAUAUCUUGAAAAGGUUAUCUACCUUAGGUUAAAUGUCAUCAUGAAUCUAAUAAAUGCUAGAAAUAAGAGGGGUAGGUACAUAUCUUUGGAGCAAAGACUUGAGCUUGCUCUCUUGCCUUUUAGACUUGCACUAUGUGGACUUGCCCUCUCAUGCAUCAACUUGGAAGUUGGCAAAAUACUAGUGGCAAAGGUAGUAGACAAUAAGGGCUUGGGUUUGUCACUAAGCUCUCCUUCAUGACCAUAAAGCUCUUCAUCUUCACUAUAUAUCUCCCGCCUUAUCAUCAGCACCAACAACAUACCCAGUGUGUUCCCACAAAGUGGGGUCUGUGGAGGGUAAAGUGUACGCAGUCCAAACCACUACCUCAAUCUCCCGCCCCAUCAGAAAGUUAAAAUUUACGAUCUCUUCUUUUUGAGGCCAAACAUCUUUGUGGGAAGCUUUCAUCAGCAAUCCAUUUGGUACACUAAUGUCAUUUUCAGCUUCCGCAAUUUCCCCUUCACUCCAAGGUCUUCAAUCUCUUUGGUGUCUUACUCACAACCAUUUUCUUGGGUCAUCUUAUUCCCCAACAAAGUAAGCAUCACCUUCCACCAAUAAUAUGUUCCUUCGAUUGGGGAAUUCACGUGCCUUAUGGCCCCAACCUUGACAUUUAAAGCAAACAAUAACUCUAGGGUUGAUGUAGUAUUUAUUACCUUCAUUCUUUGGUGGAUACCUUGAGAUUGCCUUCUCAACUAGCUUUUUCUCAAAGGACUUGUUGAAAUCCUUGUUCUUGUUCUAUCCGGAUGAAGUAGAAGAAUUGUAGCCUUUAUUGAUGGACUUCAUUGCAUUGUUGUUCCUCUCAACCCCAAUGGCCGCUUCAACAAGGUCUUUUAUUUGUUCGAACUUGUGGACUACUAAUUGAGAAGCAAUGUCAUAGUCCAACCCACCUUUGAAUUGAGCCAUACAAUGAUUUGGUGGUUCGACUUCGACAAUCUCAAGACUAAGAAUCAAGUUUUGGAACUCCUCAUAGUAGGCGUCCACACCUCUACCUCCUUGUUGCAAAUUAUAGAGUUUGGUGAGUUGCUCUUGCUUGAACCUUUCCUUCAUAUAUCUCUCUCUCAUGAGUGCCCUCAAUUCAUUUCAAUCGGAAGGGUGGGAUUACCAUUUCUUUCUCGUUGCACUCUCUUAAUCUCCCACCAAGUAGAAGCAUUCCCUUCAAAUUGAGUGAUUGCAUGAGCGGCUUUCUUGUGUCCGGUUAACUCAUUGAGUUGGAAGAUCCUAUUGCAUUGUACUUUCGAAUCAAGGUAAAUUGAUGAAUCACUAGUUUCUUUGAAGGUAGGAAGGGUAAUCUUGAUGGAGUUAAGUCUCGUGUCUCGACCCAUAUUUCCUCCUUGAUCCCAUUGAUGAUCUUCUUGAUCUUUGGUUCGGUUUCCUAAGUUUCCUCUUUUCAUGGGGAACCGGACCAAAUCUUCCUCCUCGUUCUCUAGGUCCUCCCCCUUGAGCUCCUUGUCUAUUCCUUACAAAUUCCGCAAAGUGAGCCACUUCAUCCAACUCUUCAUUUCCUCCAUGAAGUUCCUCACCUCCUACAUCUUGAAUUUGGAUUGGUUGAUUGUGGUUAGCCGGGAUUUGAGGUGGUGAGUUUUGGUUAAGUGGGGCUUUAGGGAGUCCAUGGGGCAUUUGGACGUGUGGUUCUUGGUUUUGUGGAGUUUCUUGGUUAACUUGAUUGAAUUGGGGCUGUAGUGGAUGAACGGGAUUUCUGUAAGUAGUGGCUUGGAGGAUGGGAUCAUGUACUUGCCUCGGUGGAUUGUACAUUUGGUGGAGUGUUUCCGGAAUUAUAGUAGUGAAGGCAUUUUGAGCAUGCCCACUAGAGGAAGCAUGAUAGUUUUGAGGAGUGGUGGAUAUGGUGGAGUGUAGACGUCCUUCCAUGUUAACCAUCCUUCCAUCCAAUCCCGACACUUAACUUCGAACUUCAUUCACAUCUUGUUUCACACUCAUUAUGGCCGCCAUUAAAACUUCCAUAUUUAUCACUCCCGUAGUACUUUGGUUGUCAUCUCCCGGUGCCAUUGUAGCUAAUAAAAGAAAUACUAAACAAAAACAAAGACAACAAACAAGUUAAAGAGUUAAGAAAUCAACCUCACAAGCUCUCGGAGCACACACCUUUGUUUGUCUCUCAAUUGGCGUCGCAAGCAUUGAUGGAUCAUUUGUAUUCCAAUUAAAAGACUUGGUACCAAUUGUGGCUUGUGAUCGGAAUGGAUUCUUGUUUGAAAUUGAAAAGCAAACGUAAAAAUAAAUUAACAUACUUGAAUCAAGAAGGUUCAACGAAAACAAAAGAGAAAAGCACACAAGAACGGACAAGAAAGGAAUCGGACUCGAGAACUAAUUAAUCAACUAAUAGAUCAAUUACUAGUUGUUAAUUAGUAUUAAGAAUCAAAAGAUGAAGGUAAGAGUCGAGAAAUGAAGUUACAUUGAAGGAACCAGAGCAAAAUGAGUUUGGGAAGCUUUGAAAUGCAUUUGGUACCUGCUGGAGCAGAUCUGGGACAGAUCAGGCUGGUGCACCUCAAAUGCACAAGCUCCUGGUUUGAGCAGCUCUGCGCACCCCCAACGCAGAUGGGCCGAAACAGCUUGCAAAAUACGCGAAAAUGCCCUUUUGUGGUCCCCUUUUUGUCCUUUCUUUUGGGAUAUUCCUUGGUAUUAUGGAUAUGCUAUUGUACCAACACUUAUGCCCAUUUUCCCUUCCCCUUUCUUAGAUCAAACAACAACCUUUUGAUGAAUUUGGCUCUUGAAGAUAUGAAUUUCUUCAAGAACAUUAUGAACACCAAAAUUUUUCAGCUCUUUCACCAUUGCUCGGAAUGCGAUGAAAAUUUGAACCCAAGCAGUUUUCAGCCUUCUAAUCACAUUCCAAACAUCCUUGGGCCUCAAUUCUCAUCCAUUUCUUCAGAUUUUUAAGCCCACAUGCUAUUUCUUCAAGCAUGGUGAAAUUUUGAAGUUUCUCCAAAUGACACCAACUUUUAACCCUAAGUUUCUCUUAACGUAGAGAACACUUUUUCAACUAUUUCAGUCUUAAAUUUCAACCCAAAAUCUAUAGAUCUAAGAACCCACUUUCUUCAUAGUCAAGUUCAACAAUGGUGGCCUUCUCCAAUACUCUUCCAGACACACUAAAUGAUCAAGUUUUAGCCUAAAUUUCUCUAGAUGUAACAAAUCUAGUGUAGAAACAACAAUAAGGACUUAAAAACACAAUUCUUUUGGAGUUUUCUUUAAAACGUUUUGACACUUUUUUAUUUUCAAGAUAACAAGACCCAAGACCCAAGAUUGACUUUGUAGGAACAAAAUGAUGCUCGGUUCUGAUACCAAAUGAUACGAGAAACGAAAGAUAAAGGAUAGAUGAAAGCAAACAAAAAUAGACACAAGAAUGGAAUGGAAACCGUAAUCCUCUAUUCAAUAAUUCACUGUAGCAUCUAAACUCCUAGUAGACCACAAGGGAAUCGAUUCCCAAGUAACCAACGUUUUCAAAUAAGAAAUCAACACAAGCUAAUCCAAGCUUACACACACUCACAAGGGAGUAAUAGUUCAUUAGCAUCAAAGUUAUCCUAAAAAUGAAAGAAAACUCCUACUUAUAGUCUAGGGCAACUUAUUGCCCCAAAAGUGACACAUUUGGAACAAGAAAGCACGACUACCUGCUUUGGCAUCCGCUUGAGUAUGUUGGGCGCACUUCUGGAGCGUGUGCCACUAUUGUGACCUGCUCUAGCAGAUCAAGAGCAGGUUGGGCGCACCCCCAAAGCAGAUGGGGCGCAUGUCUCCUCCUGGGGGCUUUUUAGCCCCGUCUUGCACUCCUUUGACCUCUUCAAAGUCCCUCGACCCUCCUUGAAGGUAAUCAUCAUCCAAUUGACACCUUUUGAUAGCACUAAGGAGUCGUCAAACACCUUUAGCAUCAUAAGCAUCCCAUCCAAAGGUCCGGAGGCAAUUUGGAUUGUAUCAGUUUGGGGGUACAUAAAGAAUCCUUUUCUUUCAAUCGUACCCCAGCAAAGGUUUUCUUUAGGUGGGUUUCAUUUGAUUUGUUGUGGAUACUGGACUGGAUGAUGGAAAACCAAGCAAAUCUCGGAGCACGGUUUUGGGUGUGAAUGAGCAUUGUGGAUAUUGGUGGUUAGGCAUGUAGAUGGUUUACUCUUGUGUGACUAAGCGUUAGUUUUAAUAAGGUCAUCCCUCGGCAAAAGGACUUCAAAGUGGAAAUUCCUUUGCAUAGUUGUCAGAUUAGUUGUCUUGACGUUGCACGUUCUAUUUGUGUCAAUGGGAGGAAAGAUCUGAAAAGAGCAGGCAAUUAUGGCUAAGAUAGAGCAGAUGCAAUCCCUUUUUAGAAAGGUUGAAAAUUUUUCGGAAUUAAAACAUGAAGUAUCUAAAUAAAUUACCAAAAUUGGGUACAGUGUGUAUGGAUGUGCUUCUAUUGGCUCAAUUGCUUUCUGCUCUUCUUUAUAUGUGAAUUUGCUUCCAUCGCAUUAAUAAUUGCAAAAAGGCUGCUAGUAAUUGUUUUUAUGAAAGGUUGCUAUUAGUAAUUUACUUCGUUUGGUUUUGUUCCUUGAUGGACGCUCUACUAUAAACUUAGUAUUAUCCUCUAUAAAUUGGAUAGUGGAGACUGUAAUGGACUUUACUUAUUGAAAAGAGAGAGCGGAGAUUACAAAUGCUAUAGUAAUAUUAUCUUUCACUUUUGUUCCUGCGGGCCACGGGGAUAUCUGAUGAACUGGAAUGAUAUCAUCUACCAUUUAUUGGUCAAUCAUGGAUUCCUCGUGGUUCAUAUUAAAUACCAGAGAAUGAGUAUAGAUGUCCUGAUUGAUGGUCAAUAUUGUAUGCAGAUAGAUUGUGUGGUAUUAUGCUUUUAACUGUGCUAAUUGAACCUUUACGUGAUUGUGCAGAGUGUGACUCCACAUUUCUCUUUGGGUGGGGAAGUUUUCUGGGCUGGUCAGCAUCGGAAAUCUGGCAUUGGUUAUGCUGCUCGUUACAACACUGACAAAAUGGUAUUCUGCCUAUUACUAGAUGUUAGAACAUUUGGUCAUGCAAUCAUUGUUAUCUAUAUUUGAUGUAUUAUAAUGUUGUUCAAAAGGUGAAUGAUUUGUUUGGGAUCGAGGUGGUGUAGUUCUUAUUGUUAUUGUGUUGGUGAUACAUGGUAGCAGCUUGAGUUUCAUUGCUAUUUUUCUAUUAGUUUUUUAUGGUCACUUGCUAACUACUUCAGUUAAUUGAGAGGACUACUAUUUAUUUUUUCAGUUAUUGUCCUUCCUGAAAACUAACAUGUCUCAUACCCAGUGAGACAUUUGAUUAAAUGGAUGCUUUAUCUGAGGAUGUUUUUUCAAAAGCUACAACAUCAACGCCAUUGUCAUUAUUAUUCCUCCUCUGUGGUAUGAAUAACUUUAAAAUAAAAUUAAAUUGCAGGUCUAGCAGAUGCAAAAAGGUUUAUUUUUAUUUUGUUGUCUUGGUAAUUUCAAUGGUAUUGUUGAACAGGAACAUCAAAAUAUUUAUGUUUUUGAGUAUUAACACUCCCAAAGAGCACAUUUCUAUUAUAUUUUCUAUUGUCGUUUUACCAGCAUUAAUUACUUGUAGCUGUCUUUUUUCUUAGGUGUCUUCAUCUUUCCAGGUUUAUCUUUAUUUAAGGUUUACACAUUAUUCAGCGUUUGUUAAUAUAUCUGCAGGUUGCUGCGGGGCAAGUUGCUAGUACUGGAAUGGUGGCACUGAGUUAUGUUCAGAAAAUUUCUGAAAAGGUUUUAAGAAUCACUAGUAUCUCAACUACUACAUUUGUGACUGCUUUUGUUAAACUCUUUUUAUACAUGCAGGUGUCGCUAGCAUCAGACUUUAUGUACAAUUACCUGUCUAGAGAUGUUACAGCAAGCUUUGGUUACGAUUACUUUCUUCGGCAGGUAACCUUUUGUCGCUUUCCCAAAAUCUAACUUGAUAUCCUGCAGCCUAAUGUUGCUCUUGGUACGUCUAGUUCUUGUGUAUUUGCAGUAGUUUUGCAGUUUCUUGUUGGCUCUGAGGGUGUAGUUUUUCCUAGUUUCUAACCUGGUGAUCAGAUCUUGUUAACUGUAUUAUUUGCUGCAACUGUGGAGAGUCUAAUGAAAAAUGAAAGAUCCAAAUUUAAUGCCAAUAUUCAGUAUUUUUUUCAAAAGAUCAUUUCUUACCCUUAGGUUUUGACACCUUGAUGGUAGAAAAACGCUAUCAUUAUAAUCCAGUUUAGGUUAAAAGACCAACUACCAUCUCUUUCCUGUAUAUUGCAUGGACCAACUUGGUCUGUGCCUAUGAGUCCACGUGCUUGCUUCGUAAUUUUUUUGUUGAGAAGGGAACCACUUCGGGUAUCCUUUAGGUGUGCACAGGGGUAAACCCCAUUCAACUGCAAUGGCCUGCAAGCCACACAAGAGAAGUAAAUCGCAUUAGGCAAGCCUCGUGCGACUAACUCGGCCUCCCUUGCGGGUCUUGCUUGCGUUCAUUUACCACUGCUUUCUUCAUGAGUUAAGAUUAAUGUACUACUAGGUCACAACCUUGGGUGUAGUAGGCAUGUAGAAACUUUUUGUGUGCGGCUAUUAUGCCUUUUGCAAAGGGUUAUGAAAGCUCAUUAAGUUGAUGUUUGUGUGACUGCAUUGCAACUUUAAUGCUUACUGAAUCAAAUAUUAUUUGUGCAUGAUAGUGUCGUCUCAGAGGGAAGAUUGAUUCCAAUGGAUGUGUUUCUGCGUUCUUGGAAGAACGCUUAAACAUGGGGCUGAACUUCAUUCUGUCGGCUGAGGUAGGUGGCAUAUGAACUUAUUUAUCUUAUUGUAGCUCCUUUACAACACGCAUGUUCCAAUUCUCGCGUUUCCAUCUUGGUUGAGAUUUGAAACUGAAAUAUGAGAACUUCUUGAUUUUCCCCAACCCAUUUGCCUUUGCUUCUAAAUUUCACCUGUUCUUUUUUCUCCUUUGUAUAACCGAGUCAUUAGUAACCUAACUGUUUUCCUUUAUUGCUUGUUCAGGUCGAUCACAAAAAGAAAGACUAUAAGUUCGGCUUUGGACUCACAGUCGGAGAAUAAGGAGGCAGGCAACGUAGACAGGGAUUUAGGUUUUAAUAUAUGAGAGCAAGAUUAAAAUCAAAAGCGUCUUAACAAGUGAUGUUUUUUCCUCAGCGAUAAAAGAACCGAAACAUCAGUUUUGUAUUUUUAUCGUUCGACAUUGUUUCUUUGAGACAUUCUUUAGACACACCAAUAGUUGAUUUUCCAACUUGAGAUAUUCUUUAGACAAUUUAGAAUUGUAGAAUUGACUUGUUAGAAAGAGAUGUACCAUUCUGGUUUUACUGCAUCUGGCUACUAUGUGCUUAAUAAUUUUACGGUUGAAGUUAAUUUAGAGUUCAGUUUAUUGCAGAGGCAAACAAUUUUUCUUUGAGAUUUUGCAGGUGUUUAAAUAUCUUUUAUCUAUGUGAAAAUUGCCAAAGAGAUGAGAUGUUGGUUAAUUUCAUCUCACUUGGUAACUGUGAUGGAGAAGCAGCACGUAUCUAUUGAAAUAGAUGUAUGUUUGCCAGUUCAACUACAACAUAUUCAGUAUAUUUUCACCAAGUGGUGGUGGGUGUGGGGGUCGUAAGUCUACACAUUUCAUAGCACUAUCUCAGAGGUGAGAUAGAGGUGGUUUCUAAUAGAUUUCUGGCUUAAGAUAAAACAAUUUAGAAAAUGAAUAGCAAAAUGACAAGAACAAUAGAUAUUACGAUACCCAAUAAUAUUAUAGAUAAGAUUUAUCAAGUAAUAUAAUACAUAAUACAACAUUCUGAAAUAAUACUAAUACUAUAGCUAUUAAUAUGGAUAACAAAGUCCUAUCUACUAGCAUUGAUGCAUUCGUUCUAGCUAUCUUAUAUGCUAAGCUGUCUUUCCACACCUUUUUAUUUGGGUUAUAUCCUUGGUAAGCUGAAGUUGCUCUAUGUCAUGUCUAAUUACCUCCCUCCAAUAUUUCUUCGUUCUAUCUCUAUCUUGUCUAAAUCCGUCCUAGCCAAUUUUUCACACCUCCACACUAAAACAUCCUGCAAAAAUGACAAUCAUUGACAUUGUACAAAAGAAUGUGGUGAUUUAUUGAAAUUUACUAUACUUGGUUGUGUUCUUUCAUGCGUAAUUAGUUAGACUACAGCGUUUUGGGCUAGUAAUAAUAAUGAAUUCUAUAAAUGGCAAUUUCUUGUCAAAAGGUCAUUUUUCCAAUCAUAGUAUAGUUUGGAGUUGGAACACGUAACAAAGGCAAGAGGAUGAUGUUGGUAGAAUUGCACUGAUAUUAGCGUUCAAGUGGACACACCCGUUUAAUUUAUUCAUUUUUACUUAUCACGUUUUGCUUCUACAGAGUAAAAUUAUAAGCUUUGAGCAAUAUUUUAAAAUGUAUUUUUCCAUCAUUUAAUGCGAGAAAAUUACAAUUUAUAAUAUUUCGUAUAAUUUUCGAGCAUUUAAAUUUUAAAAUAUUGAAUUUAACUCAAUUUAGCUUUAAAGAUUAGUUAGAUCAACUCAUGUGAGGUAAAAUAUGAUAAGUAAAUGUGAAUGAAGUAAGUAUAUUAAAAGGAAAGAGGCUAUUAGAUAUGACAAUUGAUUGAGGACAUGGUACUAGAUAUGAGAAUGUGAAGGUUGAAGAUUAGGGGGCACACUUAGGGAUCGUUUGGUAGAGACUAGAGUGUAUUAAGAAAAAUAAUGCUUGCAUUAGCUUUGUGUAUUACUAAUACCUUGUUUGGUACGCCUUUCAUUUUGUGUAGUACUAAUGCAUACAAAAUUCAUGGUAUUAGUGAUGCAAUAGGGCUCUAAUGCAUGCAUUAGUAUGAUUUUAAAUUAUGCAAAUUCAUGUUAUUUUUAAUAUAUCAAACCAACAUAAAAAUAUACAAACAUAAUUAAUACACAAUAUUUUACACUAUUUUUAUACACCAUCUUUGCUUCUAUUCUAUUUUACUUGAUCUUUAUACUAAAACUAAAUAUUUCAAUUCACUUUCUCCAUUUCAAUAUUUCAAAAUUAGGGCACUUGGAGAGAUUUCCUUAGCCAUUGAAAAUGAAGAAUUUCUUUAAGUUUGCUACGGUUAAUGGAACAAGGGAACAUUAAGCCCAACUUAUAUAUCUACAACAUUGUUGCUGAUGCCCUUUGCGAAGAUGGAAACUUAUAUGCUGCUAUCAACCUUUUGAAUGAGAUAAAGCAGAAAGGCAUUCUUCCAGACAUAGUCACAUAUAGUUCAUUAAAUGAUGAUUUAUGCAAGCUUGGUUGGUGGGAAAAGGUUAAGACUCUGUUCUUUGAGAUGGUGAAUCUUAAUAUUUAUCUAAAUGUACAUACCUUCGCCAUACUAAUAGAUGGACUAUGCAAAGAAAGAAAUGUCGAACAUGCCAAGGAAGUAAUGAGACACAUGAUCGAAAAAGGUGUUGAGCCUGAUGUAAUCAUCUACAAUGAGAUAAUAGAUGGAUAUUGUUUGCGUGGUCAACUAGAGAGAGCGAGGAGAGUUUUUGAUUUCAUGAUAGAUAAGUGCAUUGAGCCUAGCAUCAUUAGCUAUAGCAUACUAAUAAAUGAAUAUUGUAAGAAAAAGAAAUUUGCUGAGCCCAUGCAGUUCUUUUGUGAAAUUUCGGAUUAAAACCUAGUACAGUUACCUACAAUACUAUCUUGCAAGGUUUGUUUGAAGUUGGAAGAACUGAUGAUGCAAAACGCAUUUAUGUUGAGAUGCUAUAUGCGGGGCCCAAACCUGAUAUAUGCACUUAUGCCACUUUGCUCGAUGGUUAUUUUAAAUAUGGAUUUGUUGAGGAAGCUAUCUCACUCUUUAAUAAGUUGGAAAUAAAGAGAGAAGAUACUAAUACAGUUAGGAUCGAUUUGCGUGCACACACACUAGAUCUAUGGAGAGGAUGAAGAAAACUAGAGAGAAAGUUCUUGAGGAGAGAGAUGUGUGAGAAUUAAUUUCGUGGAAACACCCGUGGGUAAACUCCACGGUGGAUAGGCUAUUUAUAUUAAUGAUUCAGAGUAUGUACAGUUACACAGAGAAAUGAGAAUAAAAGGUUCAACAGCAUGAAAAUUAAUAUAUAACAGUACAUCACAUAUUAAUCAGGCUCCACAACCCAACAAUUCUCCCACUUGGAGACUGAUUCUGUCAUCCAAGAAUUACAUUCUCAAAAAAAAAUAUAUUCCUUCAUCAUCAAUAUGUUUGCCGCAUUGCAACAUCUGUAGACACAACUACAGAAGACCAACUAAGGUUUUGCACAACCUUAGUUUACCAACAUUAACACAUUUUGUCAACAUGUCUGCUGGAUUCUUUUCACCCUCUAUCUUUUCCAAACACAUAUCACCUUCUUCCACUGCCCUGCGAGUGAAAUGAUAUCGUCUUCUAAUGUGCUUCGUCUUCGAAUGAUAGACCGGGUUCUUCACCAACUGUAUAGCACUCUGGCUAUCUGUGUAAAGAAUCUUCUCACGCUGAUUCUUGCCCAAUUCUUCCAGAUAAUCUGCCAGCCGUAUCAUCUCCUUUCCAACUUCAGCUAUUGCCACAUACUCAGCCUCAGUAAAUGAAAGAGCAAUGCACUUCUGAAGCCUGGACAUCCAACUCACUGUUGUACCACCUACUAUGUAAAUGUAUCCGAAAGUUCUCUUGCUCGAGUCUACAUCCCUACCAAGAUCAGCAUCAACAAAACCUUGCAGAAUCACUUCGCCAUUGCCAAAACAAAGUGAAGUACUGGAUGUAUCUCUCAGAUAUCUUAGAAGCCACUUCACAGCUUCCCAAUGCUCUUUCCCGGGGUUUGCCAUGUACCUUUUAACAACUCCCACUGCAUGUGCUAUGUCAGGUCUAGUGUAGACCACAACAUACAUCAAACUCCAACUGCAGAAGCAUAUGGAACAAGUGCCAUGUGCUCCCACUCCUGAGCUGUCUUCGGUGACUGCUCAUUUGACAAUUUUAUGUGAUUUGCCAAUGGAGUAGUCCUAGGUUUAGCAUCAUUAACUCUGAAUCUAUCCAGCACCUUCUCAACAUAAUGCUCUUAGGAUAGAUUCAAAGUGUCAACAGAUCUAUCUCGAGAAAUCCUCAUCCCAAGAAUCUGCUUUGCUGCACCUAAAUCUUUCAUCUCAAACAUAGAAGAUAGACUUGCCUUCAGAGAGUUUAUCUCCUUCAUACUGGAUCCUGCAAUCAACAUAUCAUCCACAUACAAGAGUAAAAAUACAAAAGAAUCAGUGUAUUUCUUGAAGUAGCAACACUGGUCCUUUUCACUCCUGCGGAAAUCACUCUUGCUCAUAAAAGAGUCAAACAUCUUAUACCACUGUCUAGGUGCUUGCUUCAGCCCAUACAAGCUCCUAUUGAGCUUGUAUACUGUGUGUUCCUUUCCUGGAACUACAAACCCCUCUGGUUGCUGCAUAUAGAUUUCCUUAUCCAAAUCUCCAUGUAAAAAUGCAGUUUUUACAUCCAUUUGCUCAAGAUGCAAAUUCUCUGAUGCAAUAAUACUCAAUAAAAUUUAGAUAGUAGUUAAUUUCACAAUAGGAGAAAAUAUUUCAUCAUAAUAAAUACCUUUCCUUUGUGAAUAUCUUUUAACUACUAACCGAGCCUUGAACCUUCUUUUGCCAUCUGGUUCUGCCUUGAUUCUGAACACUCACUUGUUCAACAAGGCUCUCUUCAACAUCCACGUGUUAUUCUUCUUAAGUUAUCUCAUCUCAUUAUCCAUGGCUUGCUCCCACUUGAUUAAAUCCUCAACUUGCAAGGCCUCAGCAACAGACUCUGGUUCCCCUUCAUCAGUCAGCAACAGAUAAUGUAAUGAUGGUGAAUACCUAUCUGGUGCUCUAAUGGUCCUGGAUGAUCUUCUCCAAGCCUUCUCAGAUGCCACUUGCUCCACCCCUGGUUCUUCAACGACAGUUUCUAGAGUUUGUUGAGUUUUUGCUAUAACAUCUUUGGGUGUACUCUUCGGUAACUCAAGCUCAACUCCCACUUGCUUUGUGGUAUCUUGAACCUUUUGCUCUCUGUCCUUGUACAAUACAUUUUCAUCAAAUGUCACAUCACAAUAUCUUAGGAUCUUCUUGUUCCUAUCAUCCUAAAACCUGUACCCAAACAUGUCAGAACCAUAACCUAUAAAGUAGCACUUUAUAGCUUUAGCAUCAAGCUUAUCUCUCUUCUCUGGAUGAACAUGAACAUAAGCAGUGCAACCAAAAGUUCUCAAGUGAGAAUACUUGAGUUCUUUUCCUGUCCAUACUUCUUCCAGAAUGUUGAAACCCGAAGGAACUGAUGGUUCCCUAUUGAUCAAGUAUGCAGCUGUGCUUAUAGCAUCUGCCCAAAAUGCCUUAGGCAACCCACAGUGUAUCCUCAUGCUCCUUGCACGCUCAUUCAAUGUUCUGUUUAUUCUUUCAGCAACUCCAUUCUGCCUUGCCUUCCCGGGAACUGUCCUGAUCAAUCUGAUUCCCUCAGCUACAUAGAAUUGUUUAAAUUCUGACUUGUCAUAUUCUCCUCCAUUAUUAAACCUUAGGCAUUUGAUUUUCAAGCCAGUCUGAUUUUCAACUUCAGCUUUCCACCUCUUGAAAGUAGCAAACACAUUUGACUUAUGUUUCAAGAAGUAAACCCAUACCUUCCUACUGAAAUCAUCAAUGAAGAUGACAUAGAAUCUUGAUCCACCAAGUGAUAACACAAGAGAUGAUCCCCUAACAUCUGUAUGGACCAUUUCCAACCGUACUUUCUUUGGCUCUCCCGUAUUCUUCGUGAAGCUUACUCAUUUUUGUUUACCCAUGACACAACUCUUACAAAGACCCAUAUCAACAGAUUUUAGCCCCUCUAAAUCUCUUUUUGCAGUCAAAAUCUUCAUUCCUUUAGCACUCAUGGGUCCAAGUUUGUUGUGCCACAUACAUGAACCGGAAGCACCCUCACCAACAACAACCAUGUUUAUACACCCUGCAGUGGUGUACAAAGUUCCAAAUUUUGUGCCACGUGCUACAACCAUAGCACCCUUCACAAUCUUCCAUGAACCUUUCCUAAACUCUGUUGUGUAGUUUGUGCUAUCCAACUGACCAACAAAGAUCAGAUUCUUCUUGAGACCAGGAAUAUAUCUGACAUCCUCUAAUGUCCACUGAUUUCCUGCCGGAGUUUUUAUGCAGACAUCCCCCUUUCCUUCAAUCGCCAACGGCUUGUUGUCAGCAAGAUACACCUUUUCAAAAUUUCCAGACUUGAAAUAUUAGAAUAAUUCCUUGCUUGGAGAUAAAUGAAAAGAUGCAGCAGAAUCCAAUAUGGAUUCAACUGGCUGUCCACACUAAGGAUUAGAGCAUCCCCAAUGUCUUCUGCUGAAUUAAUAAAAUCAUUAUCAUCUCCAAAUUUUUUAUUCUUCUUCUUCUUGGGUUUCUUACAAUCUGUUCGAAAGUGUCCUUUCUCUCCACAAUUACAACAUGUCACGUUGGGUUUUUGUGGAGAUUUUCCAAGAUUCUUUGAUCUUGAUCUGCCAUGUGUAUUCUGACCCUUUGAUUGGUCUCUUCCCCUUUGGUCAGCACUGAGAGCACUACCAGAUGACUCUCUAAUUUCUCGUUUGCGAAUGCUUUUGCUAAGAACAACAUCUCAAUUUCAUCAAACUUCAGUUUCUCAGAUCCACAAAAACUGCUAAUCGUAGCAACAACAGUAUCCCAAGACUCGGGCAGAGAUGACAUCAAAAUCAAUGCUUUAAUUUCAUCUUUGAAAUUAAUAUCCACAGAACACAGUUGACUAACAAUUAUAUUGAACUCGUUUAUAUGAUCAACAACAGAUCCAUUCUCAGAUAUCUGUAAAUUGAAUAAUCUACGCAUCAAAUAUACCUUGUUCAUUGCAGAUGGUUUUUCGUACAUAUUUGAUAGCACCUUCAACAGAUCGGACGUGGCCUUUUCCUUGACGAUGUUGAAUGCCACAUUUCUCGAUAAAGUCAACCGGAUCAUCCCUAGAGCCUGCCGAUCCUUGAGCUUCUACUUCUCCUCUGUCAUGGACUCUGGCUUCACCACGGUCAAGGGUUCGUAAAGAUAUUUCUGGUACAAAUAGUCUUCGAUCCGCAUCUUCCAUAAACCUAAAUCAGAUCCAUCAAACUUCUCGAUUCCAAGUUCGAUCCUUCCAUCUUCAGUGAUCGUGAUGAAUCUCCUAUGCUUUGAUACCAGUUGUUAGGAUCGAUUUGCAUGCAGACACACUAGAUCUAUGGAGAGGAUGAAGAAAAUUAGAGAGAAAGUUCUUGAGGAAAGAGAGAUGUGUGAGAAUUAAUUUCGUGCUAACACCCAUGGGUAAACUUCACGGCGGACGAGCUAUUUAUAUUAAUGAUUCAGAGUAUGUACAGUUACACAGAGAAAUAAGAAUAAAAGUUGAAACGCGUGAACAUUAAUAUAUAACAGUCCAUCACAUAUUAAUUAGGCUACACAACCCAACAAAUACUGAAUUUUACAAUAUUGUCAUUAAUGGAUUGUGCAAAAAUGGUAAACUCGUCGAAGCUCGUGCUAUUUUUGAAAAGCUUUGUUUCAUUGAAUUGCUUCCGGAUGUGAGAACAUACAAUGUAAUGAUUAAUGGAUUUUGUCUUGAAGGGUUGUUUGCCGCAGCUAAAGAUAUUCUAAGAAAAAUGGAAGACAACAGUUGUUUUCCAAAUAAUGCCACUUAUAAUGCUAUCAUGCAAGGAUUUCUCAGGUGUAGUAAAAUUAGUGAAAUGGCUUUUUUCAUGAUGGAAAUGGAUGGAAAGGACUUCUCAUUUGAUGCAACUACAGCUGGGCUUUUGGAUGACGUUAUAAAAGAGAAUCGUUUUGUCCUUGACAUGAUAUCGGAGUGCUUCAAUUGAAAAUUAAGAAGUGAAUAUUUCUUCCACUUGGUUUAUUUGGCUACACUAUGGCUUCUAUUGUCAUAUUUUAAAGCUUGGUUUUUGGAAGACGAAGGGAAGGGAUUUAUUUUGAAGAUGUAGAAAUCUUUCUGCAGUUCCCUACUGCAAUUGUUUUUUUGAUCUAUUCUUUGCAUGUUACUUCAAGAAUAUGUGUAAAAAAAUAUUUUCUGCUUUAUCUUACAAUUCAACAUUAUGUUAUAAUUCACCCCGAGGGCCACCUUUUACACUUGAUGGCUACUGCCGGAGCUUGUUCUUGUGCAGCAGAUAUUUCAAUGACAAGAGAAGCACGAAUAAAAAGGUAUGUCGAGAAUGGAUCACCUUGCCUUAGACCCAUCUAAACUUCUUAGUAGGGCAAAAACCUUCUGUAGUACCAUUAAUAAUGAUAGAUAACUCUAAAAGUAGUGAUAAAAUACUUAUUCAAUGUAAUAAGAUGAGAUUUUCAACAAACUAAGAACUUAAGAGAAGCUGGAAUAAGAAAUCUAAUGCUACGUGUCUGGGUGGUGUUUUUUGUAAAGGAACUCUAAUGUUUUCUCGUGCUUCAUUGUGUACCCGUGUUGCGUUUUCUUCUUACUUAGUCCUUAGCCAUCUUCUCGUUGAAGUUUUACUGCAUUCUUGCAUCGAAGAUUUCUCUUUUUGCAAAGUUAAUUAAGGACUUAUUGAUGGAUUUUCCAAUGCCCCAUCGGCACCAACUGCCAUAUAUGCAUCUUUGUUAGUGUUAAGCAUGACCCAAGUGAGACCAAAAAUAGCAAAAAACAUGUCCCAAAAGAAUUGCUACAACUGUGCAAUGCAAAUGCUUUACACUUGCAAAAUUUUUUACGCACAUAUAGCAUCUGUUUACAGUUGGUAUUUUCCUCUUACAGUUGGGCAUUGUAGCACCUGCAAAAUAGUUUACUUCAGGUGGCAAUUUUGUCUUCCAGGUGAGUUUUCGGUUAGACUAUGAGAUUUUUCUAAGAUAGUCUUUUAUUUAAUAGUUUCUUUUAAUAUUAUAUGUUUAGUUUUUUUUUAAAAUAAAUGGUAAUCCUUAUUUUGAGAUAGCGUGUCUUGAAAGAUACUAUGAGAUGUGUCUUGUAAGACUCAUAUAGCUUAUAAGUGGAGUAUUUUGUAAAAUGUGAUAAUGAUGAAUGAAUGAAAAGCUACUGCUGAAACCUUCCUUUUUUCUUCUCUUAAGAUCCAAAUUAUAAUAGUGGUAUCAGAGCCGAUCUUCUUGAGGGAUCUGUGAAGGCUUAAAGAUAAUUUUUUUUUUUUUUAGAUCUUCUAAAAAAAGAGACCUGAACAACAGUAACAUGGCAUCCAACAACUUCUUGGGUGCAAGUCCUCCUAUAUUUACAGGAGAAAAUUAUCACAUAUGGGUGAUAAAGAUAAAGGCUUAUCUUAAAGCUCUUAGUCUUUGGGAAGCAGUUGAAAGUGAAAAUGACCCCCCUGCAUUGGGACCAAAUCCAACAAUUGCAUAAAUGAAGAAUUAUGAAGAUGCAAAGUCCAAGAAACCAAAGGCUCUUACUUGUCUUCAUUCAGCACUUUCAAAUGUGAUUUUCACAAGAAUAAUGGCUUGUGAAACACCUAAAGAAGUAUGGGAGAAGCUAAAAGAGGAGUUCGAUGGAAGCGACAGAGCGAAAUCUGUCAAACUCUUAACUCUCAAAAGAGAAUUUGAGAUGUUAAGGAUGAAAGAAGGAGAUACCGUGAAGGAGUACUCUGCCAAACUUCUGAAAAUUGUAAACAAAAUAAGAUUAUUUGGUAAAAAAUUUCCAGAUUCAAAGGUGGUGGAGAAGAUGAUGAUAAGCUUACCGGCAAGAUUCGAGUCCAAGAUUUCAGCAAUAGAGGAAUCGUGUGAUUUGAAUACUUUAUCUGUCACAGAGCUGGUUAGCAAGUUGCAAGCAAAAGAACAAAGAACAAGUAUAAGAGACGAAGAACUAGAAGAAAUGGCAUUUCAAGCAAAGCACAAAGGCAAGUAACCUGUGAAGGACAAUAGGAGAAUGGAAAGAGAUAAAGCAGCAAAGAAAAAGUCAUGGACUGAAUCUUCACAGAAAGGAAAGUUUCCACCUUGCGUCCACUGUAAAAGAACCAACCAUCAAGAAAAGGAUUGUUGGUUCAAAGGAAAGCCAUCAAUUCAGUGUAAAUUUUGUAGAAAAAUGGGUCAUAUUGAGAAAAAUUGCAGGGCAAAGUAGAAUCAUCCACAACAACAUGUUCACAGCAGGCAAAUUUCACUGAAAAGUCAGAAAAAGAAGAAAGCUUAUUUAUAGCUGCUCAUGAAGAAAACAAAUCCAACCAAUCCAAAUGGUUCUUAGAUAGUGGGUGCACGAGUCACAUGUCAUAUAAUGAAAUCAUGUUUCACACACUUGACAAGUCACUUAAAGCUAAAGUUAGAAUGGGAAAUGGUGCAACAUUAGAAACACAUGGAAAGGGUUCAGUUUUCUUUCAAACCAAACAAGGUACAAAGCUUAUACAUGAUGUGUUGUAUGUUCCUUCUUUAGCAUGUAACCUGUUGAGUGUUGGCCAAAUGAUGUCUAAAAGCUACUCCUUAUUUUUUAAGGGAAAACAUUGUUUGAUCUUUGAUAUUGAUGAUACUUUGAUUGACAAAGUAGAAAUGAUGGAUAGGAUCUUUCCAGUAGAUGGAAAGUUUGAUAGUGCCAAUUUUGUAAAAUUGGAUGAUUCAUGGUUAUGGCACAGAAGAUAUGGGUAUUUUAACUAUGCUACCUUAAAAUUUAUAUAUGAGAAGAGCUUGAAUAAGGAUUUACCUGAGACCUCACUUUCUAAAGAAGUGUAUGGGUCAUGUCAGAUGGGCAAGGUUCACAGGAAACCAUUUCCUAAAAGUGCUUCAUGGAGGGCAACUGAAAAGCUUGAACUUGUUCACACUGAUGUAUGUGGACCUAUGAAGACAUCAUCCUUGGGCCAAAAUAAAUAUUUUGUGUUGUUCAUUGAUGACUUCACAAGGAUGACUUGGGUGUAUUUGUCAAUAACAAGUCUCAAGUAUUUUCAAUUUUGAAAAAGUCUAAAGCUUUCGCUGAAAAACAGAGUGACUGCAAGCUGAAGGCUUUAAGGUCAGACAAUGGAGGUGAAUAUACUUCAAAUAAGUUCAAUAAGUACUGUGAAGAUGCAGGGAUUGAUCACAAGAUGACAGUACGUUAUUCACCAAAACAAAAUGGAGUCUCAGAGAGGAAGAAUAAGACGGUAGUUGAAAUGGCUAGAUGUUUGUUGCUUGAAAAGAAACUACCGCAAAGUUUUUGGACAGAAGAUAUUUCUACUUCAAUUUAUUUUUUGAAUAGGCUGCCAACUAAAGCUAUGGGUGAUAAAACUCCUAUUGAGGCAUGGAGUGGAAAAAGGCCAUCUGCCAAGCACUUAAAAAUCUUUGGUUCGAUAUGCUAUUCUCAUGUUCCUUCAGUCAGAAGAAGCAAGCUUGAACCAAAAAGGUGAAUUGGGGAUCUUUAAUGGUUAUUCAUUGCAAGCCAAAUGUUAUAGAGUUUUCAACUUGCAAACAAAAGGCAUUUCCAUCAGAAGAAAUAUAGUAGUGGAUGAGCAUGCUUAUUGGUACUGAGGAGCAAGUUGAAAAAGAAAAUGCAGGUUAUUUGAACUUGAAUCCGCUGCCUGAAACACAACCAUUUGGCUCUAAAAAUCUGGAAGAAUCAGAUGGUGAAUCCUCACUUGAUUCGCCAAUUUUAAAGACAAGGCCCCUUUUCGAGAUAUAUAAAAGAUGUAAUGUUGCAAUCAUGGAACCCAAUAUCUAUCAAGAAGCAUCAAAACAUGAAGUUUGGAUUGAAUCCAUGAAGGAGGAGAUUGGUAUGAUAGAGAAGAAUGACACUUGGAAGCUGGUUGAUAAACCCAAAGACAGAAAUGUAAUAGGGAUGAAAUGGGUUUAUAGAACCAAACUUAAUCCAGAUGGUUCAGUUAAUAAACACAAAGCAACGCUUGUUGUGAAAGGUUAUGCGCAAGUUGCAGGUCUGGAUUAUGGAGACACAUUUGCACCUGUUGCAAGACAUGAUACGAUACAACUUCUAUUUGCUUUGGUAGCUCAAUCAAAUUGGAAGUUGUAUCAUGUGGAUGUGAAGUCGGCAUUCUUAAAUGGACCAUUGUAGGAAUAAAUUUAUGUCGACCAACCAAAAAGCUUUCAAGUUGCAGGAAUAGAAGAUAAAGUUUACAGACUACAUAAGGCGUUGUAUGGAUUAAAACAGGCUCCUCGAGCAUGGUACAGUAAGAUUGAUGAUCAUCUCAUUCAUUGCGGCUUCAAAAGAAGUAAAAAUGAAGCCACUUUAUAUGUGAAGAAGGCCAAAGAUGGAGAUAUGCUAGUGGUAUCACUCUAUGUUGAUGAUCUUCUGGUAACCGAAAACAAUGAAGCUAUGGUGAAUCAAUUCAAGCAAGAAAUGAAGACCAAGUUUUAGAUGUCAGACUUGGGUGAAAUGAAUUACUUUCUGGGAAUAGAGAUUCAUCAAGCUACUGAUGGAAUUUUCAUUUCUCAGAGAAAAUAUGCAUGGGAUGUUCUUAAAAAAUUCAAGAUGGAGAAGUGUAAGCAUGUGUCAACUCCACUAGUUCAGAAUGAAAAGAUCUCAAAGUCUGAAGGAGAUGAUAGGGUUGAUCCAACAGUCUACCGAAGUUUAAUUGGUAGUUUUCUAUAUUUGACAGCAACAAGACCUGAUCUCAUGUUCGCGGCAAGUUUUUGGUCAAGGUUUAUGCAUUCUCCAAGUCAAGUUCAUCUUUGUAUUGCUAAACGAACAUUGAGGUAUAUCAAGGGAACUAUUGAUUAUGGUAUUUGGUGUAAAAGGGAAGAGCAAGGGCAAUUGAUGGGUUAUUCAGAUAGUGAUUGGGCAGGAAGUGUUGAUGAUAUGAAGAACACUUCUGGGUAUGCCUUUACACUUGGUUCAGGCAUGUUCUCAUGGAAUUCAAGGAAGCAAGAUGUGGUAGCUCAAUCAUCUGCAGAGGCAGAAUACAUUGCUGCUGCUGGUGCAUCUAAUCAGGCUCUAUGGUUACGAAAAAUUCUAUGUGAUCUAGAGCAAAAUCAAAUUGAAGCUACUGUCAUUAAGGUUGACAACAAGUCAGCAAUUUCUAUGGCCAAAAAUCCAGUGCAACAUGGUCGUAGUAAGCAUAUAAAUGUGAAGUUUCACGCUAUCAGGCAAGCAGAGAAGGAUGGGGAAGUUAAUCUUGUUCAUUGCAGCUCCGAUCAGCAGAUUGCAGACAUUUUGACCAAGGCUCUUCCUAAGGGGAAAUUUGAAGUUCUAAGGGCUAUGCUGGGAGUAUCCAAGAAAAAUCUCAAGGAGGAGUGUUAGACUAUGAGAUUUUUCUAAGAUAGUCUUUUAUUUAAUAGUUUCUUUUAAUAUUAUAUGUAUAGUUUUUUUAAAUAAAUGGUAGUCCUUAUUUUGAGAUAGUGUGUCUUGUAAGAUACUAUGAGGUGUGUCAUGUAAGAGUCAUGUAGCUUAUAAGUGGAGUCUUUUGUAAAAUGUGAUGAUGAUGAAUGAAUGAAAAGCUACUGCUGAAACCUUCCUUUUUUCUUCUCUUAAGCUCCAAAUUAUAACAUUUUCAUGGCCCGUUGUCAGUCAAUCAACUCUUUGUUGGAACACAAGUGUGCACAUCUCUCCUUCACUGUGAUGGCUCCAUCAGUAGAAUCACCGCACUGCAGUCUGUUAUUGGUCUAAGGAUUGACAGUAAUCCCUGGUAGCUUAGCUAGUAUGGCCAGUAGCUCAUUCAUUUCCCGGUCUUGAAUGUUUCUUCUGAGUUGCAGACCCCUUAUGUUGCCAAUUUUGUGCUACAUAAGAGUCUUGAUUGUAUUCGAAACAGCAUUUGGCAGAAAUGCAAGAUAAAACUACGUACAAUACACCCUUGUGGUGGGUCCCUUCCCCGGACCCUGCACAUAGUGGAAACUUUGUGCACUGGGCUACCUUUUAUAAGAGUCUUGAUUGUUCGCUAGCCAAUAAUAAUUGGGAAUUCAUCUCUUAAGAGUCCCCGGUCCCAACCAUGAAUCCUUCCAGAAUAGAAGAUGGGAGCUAUUUCCCAGCUUGAACAAUUAGAGUUUAUCUGGAAUUUGAUCUGAAAGAGACUUGUUUUUGUUCCUCCAAACAUUAUACAUGCAAUAUUUCUUUGAUAACAAUUUCAAUUUUUCUAACAUAACAUGUUACAUGGUCACUUGCCAGAUAACCGCAUUCUUCUUGUUGAUCAGACUGGCAUGAUAUGGAGGGUGUUUGUCCGUGAUGUUGCAAUUGAGCGUAGGGAAUAAGCCGAACCGUUCCAAUGCUUACAUACAAGGAGAUUACUAGAUGAUGAUGACAAGCAUGUGGAACCUGAAAAUAACUGGAUGAAAGAGAUGGAAGCCUGUAUCUAUUACUUUUUAAAUGAUGGAUUUGCACUUUUGUCAUUCUAAAGGUUCAUCUUAUUUAUGUGGUGUAAAUCGUAAAAUGUUACAUUAGUAUCAGAGGUGAUACCCAAAUGUACAGCAAAUGUUAAAUCACAAAAUGUGCUAAAAGUAACUCAGACAACAAAAAGUAAGCAACUUUACCACUUAAGUAACAUGUUAUUGCCUUAACAUAAGCAAAUAUUUAUUCUAGAUUUGCACCUUCCCUUCAAUGUGACUCAACUUGCAUUGGAAGCUCAGAAAAAUGUUGAACACCCAUCAAAUGCUUUGCAAUUUCUGUUUCUACAGAUCUGUUGCCAGAAACAGUGAGGAAACUCCAAGUGUCUCGAUCAGAAAAAAGAUCCUUGUCUCAAAAGGAUAUCAAAAUGAAAGUAAUAUACUGCUUUGCUUCUCAUCAUGAUUCCUUCUUCAGAUUAUGGACACUUCUGUAUAGCUCCUCUUCCCGAGCACGCUUUGCAGCAAGAGCCUCCUCGUCAAGCACUUGGAUAGGCGACCACUCCGGAAGUUUUAGCCAAUCAUCUUUCUUAUUGACCACGGAGUCGUAGUAGCUUCUCAAGGCUGGUUUUAAUCUUAUAGUAGCAUAAUCAACUGUUGUUCCAACAACUGCAAACAUGACAGAAUAACGCAUAGCACCAAGUUGACCACCUGAUAAUCAUCCAACAAAACAGGUCAACUGUUAUCUGGUUCAUCAAUAUCAAGCAUGAUCAAUAGUACGUCUGAGGAAAACAUAUCGAAAUCAUAUAUUUGAAGUGUACAGAUGAAAUGCUGUCUUCAGAAACACCAGCUCAAACUGAACUGGAUUCAACUAAUAACAUCAGUAAUAGGAAAAAGGGAUACAAAAAAUAUGUAGACGAAUAUCACAUAGAAAGUAGAGGAAAAAGAGUUCAUGCAUUGUGACUCUGGGCUUCAGAUCUAUGUUGCUCGAACUCUUCAAAAAUGCCAUGGAGUGCAUGUCAGAUCCUUCAAAAGUAGUGCAUGUUUGGAGGAUCCGACACGGGUGCGGUAACAUUUUUGAAGAGUUCGAGCAACUUAGCUUCAGAUCCAAUGAAUGUUUUCACCAAAAGAUAAGCAAGGGUAAUGAUGGCCAACGUGAAGUAUUUUCAAGAUUACUGAUCUCUUUGCACAAUUAUUUAGAGGAUGAAAAUCUAAAGUUUGAGCAAGCUACUAACAAUGUUAUGAGAAUGGAGAUUAUUUUUACAAGCUUCUGCAACGUGAGAAUAUAAACCUAGCAUUGAACUGAUUAAAGGUAUGAGAUAUAUACAAGCCUUUUACUGUAUCAAAGCCAUACUAAACUUUACAAGUAGACAUGCUGAGAACAACUAUUUUGAAUUGAUAUCACAAAAAUAUCGGUGCCAAUCCUAACUAAUUUGGGAUCGGGGGGAGUUGUUUAUGUUGUAUGACCAGAAUGUUAAAUGCAUAGAGUAACUGUUAUUCACCAAACAAUGGAAAAUUGAAAUACUUCCCUUAAUCAUUAGAUCACAAACUAAAGCAAGUGGAUAAAAAUAAGCAUUAUUAGCUACUUUUUUAAGCUGGAUCUAACAAAACAUCUUCGACAUAAUUUAACUGAUGCUUGGAUUCAUAGGUUGAGCAAGAGACCCAUUGGAUCUGCCACCCAAGGGUGUAUCCUAGAGGUCAAUGAGGUCGGAGGAGAACCAUCAAGCCUUAAUGUUUUCGAUCCGAGGAAGGAAGCUAAAGAAUUCAAUUCAAAUCCCAGUAGAUGAACUUUUCCCAUCAACCUAAACCGUAGUUGGCAGAGUUAUCCGAUACCUGUGCUGGUGGGAGGCAAUAGGUACCCAAUGGAAUAAUCGUGUAAGCUGGCCUGGACACCACUGUCAAGAAAAAACAUUGGAUCCAACAUCCUACAACUCUUCAUGGAAUCUUUUUGUAAAGAAUGCAAAAAAUAUUAUCUCCUAAGAACCUCUUGCCCCUGGUGUCAUCUCCAAUGGACACGUAAGAGACUUUUUCCCCAUUAAAGAUGAAAAAAGAAGGCAGUAUUUAUCAAAUCUAGCUGCCCUGAUUUGUAAGCAUGACAAUGAAAAAUCAGAAAAGAGGCUAUCUAGGCGAGACUAUUUGUACCAUGAUUAUUUAUAAACAUAACCGUUUCUUCUUUUUUCUUUUUUACCAACUAAACACAUGAUGCCAUUAAAAAGAAAAACCGCAUGUCCAGUUAAUGUCUAAAUUACCCUGUCCCACUGGGGCCUAUGAUGUGUUGGCGCGCACACACUAACACAUUGAGGAGGAGAGAGAGUUGCAAAUAUUAACCUUGCAGACGUCCAAGUAUAGCACCACUACCAAAACCUCCAAUUGCUGAGUUCAGCAGAUCAUCAGGCUUUCCUGUUCUACUCACUCUUACAAACUCACGAGCACCUGCCAUGUCAAUACAGAAGAUCAUAUAUUAACUUCAAUUCUUCUGUGCCUACGGACACAAGCAGCAUCAAACUUGUGAUAUGGCUGUCGUCACUCUUUUGACGAAAACUGACACAUGGACUUCUAUGUAAUAGAUAUAUAUUAAGUGGAAUCAAUGUCCCAAGUCCAGCGCCAGGUUUUUCAACAUUUUGAACAUGUCACUCAAGAUGAAGAAGUCUGUAAGAAGAAGAGUUUAUCCAUGACACGCACAGCUAGACUAGAUGCCUGCUAAAUUUGUGAUAAAGCCAUUACUAACAUCACCAAAAAAGUGAAGCGGUCAAGAAUUAACUAUAUGAGAAAUGCAAAUGAGAUGAAACAAAAGAUUGUCAAAAUAAGACAUGAAAUCUGAAAGAUGCAAAUAUACGAAUCAGAAAUCUGAAGCUUAUUGGCCUUCAAAGUAUAAACAGCAUAAAGGAGAAAUUAAUAAUGAAAUCAAUCAAGUACCAUCACUCUCAUGUUAGUUGGAAUUGGCUUAAAUACUUUGUAUCCAUUCUGCUUCAUUCAAGUUUAUUCAUUCUAAUCUCUAAGAUCACUAAAUAGUUUACCUUUUAAUACUCAUUAGGGGUUCUCUGUUCUGUAAAUUCAGUAAAUCUCCAGUCAUUCAAAUCUAACCACGAUAAAAAGGACUCCAACAAGAGCUAAUAUAAGUGCAAUAUAUCAACAUAAGUCUUUAUACCGACUAGUUCUUAUAACUGUGAUACUAAAUUGUGAAAUAACAACAAGCUGGACUUAUCAACCAAAAAAAAAAAAAGGAAAGAUACAACAACAACAAUGUACCCAAUAUUAUCCCACAAGUGUGGUCUCCCUCGAGAGGAUAGAGUGUAUGCAGACCUUCGCUAACUAGUCUGAACUUCGAAAUGGAGACAUAGAGCAUGUUUGGAUGUGCUUAUAGCUUAUGGCUUAUAAGCCAAAUCAUGAGUUAGCCUAUUUUUGUUAUUUUGGCUUAAGAACAAGCACUUAGAAGCAGUCUUUAAUCUUAUCCAAACACCCGAUAAAAGUCGAUCCAAACAGACUCAUAGUUGAUUGAUUGACUGAUUGAUAUAUUUCUAUCUACACAUUUGAUAAGAAGGGUAAAAAGGACAACCAUAAAUUAUUCACCCCUUCCCUAUCCUUGGGAGGUAGAGAGGUUCUUUCUGAUAGACCCUUAGCUCAAGGAAAUUGUGUCCCAGAAAAAAAAAAAGGACAAAGUAGAACCAACAAAAAAGGAUAAUAAUACAAAUAAAGAAGCCCAGUAGGUAGUGUCUUCAACGACUUGAGAACAAAAUCCUAAAAUUCUCCAACUUUACACCAUUUCAAAAAUCAAACUCGACUCAAUGUAAAUCUACAUAACAUGAUUAAGAUAUAUAAACAUUUUAAAUGAGUAAAGAGUGAGAUUACCGCAGUAACAUGCAGUAACAAUAGCAAAAUUAGUUGCAUAAGUUCCACAAAUAUUUGCUAAUCCAUGAACUUUCCGAUGCUUUGAUAUCAAACCAGCUCCUCCACCAGUCACCCCUAAAUUCCAAACAGACAAAGAGAGUAACAAUUUUCAAAAUAACUUACCAAAAUAUUUAGACGAACAAUCAUGUUAAAUUGUUCAAUCAACAAUACUUCAAUCUCAAAUAAACUGAAGUUAAGUAACCGUUUGGCAGAGAGAAAUUUUCAUUUUUUUCGAUUUUUUUUUUUUUACUUCACUUGAAUAUCAGCAACAACAACAACAUACCCAGUUAAUUCCCACAAAAUGGAGUUUGCAGAGGGUAAAGUGUACGCAAUCCAUCCCACUACUAAGAGGUUGUUUCCAAUAGACCCCCGGCUCAUGAGAAAUAACAGUAUAACAAACAGAAAACAUAAAACCAAACAACAAAUAUUUAUCCCAAGUUGUAAUUGAAAAUCAGCAAUGGGCAUAAAAAUUCCAAGUUGUAAUUGAAAGUAAAAAGAACACCCAAAAACCCAUUCACUUUUUUCACUUGUAUAAAUGUUUCUCUUUCAAAUUUAUCCCCAUUUAACUUAUAUUUCAUAUUUUUAUAACAAAAAAAAUAAAAAAAUACAUACAUUCAAAUUCAAAUUCAAAUUCACAAAUAUUUACUGCAAAAUAUAUGGACAAACACAAGUAGAACUCCAAUUCAUUCAUUUCCCCUCUAUUCGGAUAAUUUAAUCAUGUACAAAUUUGAUAAUCUUAGUAGCUCAGUUGAUUGGUUAACUGCAUGAAUUUUUUUAUCGAAAAAAAAAUUCAAACAACACAAAUAUUUAUACGAACACUCAUGUUAGCUUGUUUAAUGAAAUACACCUUAGUUUCACAUAAGUUUUCUAAGAUCAAAUAUUUAAAUCAUGUACAUUCAUUCAUUUCCCCUCUAUUCCAAUAAUUUAAUAACGUACAAGAUGGGGAAUAUUAGUAGCUCCGUUGGAAAUUCCACCUUAUUAGCGAGUUACCAAUUCUCCAACGUUUUUUCAAAAAACAAUAAUAAUAAAAAUGUAGAAGCUAAAUAAAAAACAACACAAAUAUUUAGACGAACACUCAUGUUAAAUUGUUCAAUGAAAUAUACCUCAAUUUCACAUAAUUUUUGUAAGAUCGAAUAUUUAAAUCAUGUAUAUCCAUUCAUUCCACCUCUAUUCCAAUAAUAUUAGUACCUCAAUAGAUUGGUUAACUGUCUGAAUUUUCACCUUAUUAGAGAGUUACCAAUUCUCCACCUUUUUUUUCAAAAAAAAAUAAUAAUAAAAAUGUAGAAGCUAAAUAAAAAACAACACAAAUAUUGUUAAAUACUAAUAAUAAUAAAACAACACAAAUAUUUAGACGAACACUCAUGUUAAUUUGUUCAAUGAAAUAUACCUCAAUUUCAGAUAAUUUUUGUAAGAUUGAAUACUUAAAUCAUGUAUAUCCAUUCAUUCCACCUCUAUUCCAAUAAUAUUAGUACCUCAAUUUAUUGGUUAACUGUCUGAAUUUUCACCUUAUUAGAGAGUUACCAACUCUCCACCUUUUUUUCAAAAAAUAAUAAUAAUAAAAAUGUAGAAGCUAAAUAAAAAACAACACAAAUAUUGUUAAAUACUAAUAAUAAUAAAACAACACAAAUAUUUAGACGAACACUCAUGUUAAAUUGUUCAAUGAAAUAUACCUCAAUUUCAGAAAAUUUUUGUAAGAUCGAAUAUUUAAAUCAUGUAUAUCCAUUAAUUCCACCUUUAUUCCAAUAAUAUUAAUACCUCAAUUGAUUGGUUAACUGUCUGAAUUUUCACCUUAUUAGAGAGUUACCAAUUCUCCACCUUUUUUUUCAAAAAAUAAUAAUAAUAAAAAUGUAGAAGCUAAAUAAAAAACAACACAAGUAUUGUUAAAUACUAAGAAUAAUAAAACAACACAAAUAUUUAGACUGACAUUCAUGUUAAAUUGUUCAAUGAAAUACACCUCAAUUUCAGAAAAUUUUUGUAAGAUCGAAUCUUUAAAUCAUGUAUAUCCAUUCAUUCCACCUCUAUUCCAAUAAUAUUAGUACCUCAAUAGAUUGGUUAACUGUUUGAAUUUUCACCUUAUUAGAGAGUUACCAAUUCUCCACCUUUUUUUUCAAAAAAUAAUAAUAAUAAAAAUGUAGAAGCUAAAUAAAAAACAACACAAAUAUUGUUAAAUAAUAAUAAUAAUAAUAAUAAUAAUUAAAAAAAAAAAAACACAAAUAUUUAGACGAACACUCAUGUUAAAUUGUUCAAUGAAAUACACCUCAAUUUCAGAUAAUUUUUGUAAGAUCGAAUAUUUAAAUCAUGCAUAUUCAUUCAUUUCACCUCUAUUCUAAUAAUAUUAGUAACUCAGUUGGUUGGUUAAGUACCAAUUCUCCCCCUUUUAAAAAAACAAAUAAAAGUAAAAAUGUAGAAGCUAAAAUGGAAUUAAUAAUUAGGGUUUUAGAGGAAGCAAAAAAAAAAAGGUACCAGCUAAUAGAGUGGGAAAAAGAAUUCGUUCCUUCCAAUUUAAUGAUGAAGAUGAUGAUGAAACUUGUUCUUGUGAACUAGUUUUAUUCAUGGAAGAAGCCAUUCGAUUCUCUUUUUCAAAAAUCUCUUGAGAUUUUAAACUUUCAUUUGAUGGUUGAUUGGAGAGAAUUGAGUGACCCGAGUCCAAAAUGAAGAAGAAAGUGUGGGCCGAGGUUUGGGCUGAAAGAGCCGGCCCAAAUAAAGUCCAUUUUUGAUGAACAUGAUUAUGCAAAAAUAACACAAGGGAAAUUUUCAUAAAUUCAUCUAUUUAGUACCUAAUUACUCCUUAUCUCUAUUUUUUUUUCAUAAUUACAUAAAAAAAUCUUCAAUAUUAAAUUGAUCGGAUAUAUUACUUGGGAGCGCGAUACAUUACUUAGUUGGUCCUGUGAUGUAUAUUUCUGGUCUCGUGAUGUAUCGCGGCCCUAAGUAAUGUAUUGCGAUAUAAAUUAAAAUUUGAAAUUUUUGUAAUUAUUUUGAGGAGUUGUGAUUUUAGGUAAUAAUGAUAAUUUAAGGUGUGGUAUUAUGUAAUUUUUUGAAUACAUGAACAAAUAUCUUAACUUAUCAUAUCUACAUAAAUUUUCACCCUUAUACAGUAACCACAAAAAUCUCUUAUGUAUAUUCGUUGGAUGUAUAAGGAGUUAAUUAUGUAUCUCGACAGAUUCAAAAUCAGAAAAAAAAAAUUGAAAACUAAUUAUGUAUAUUUAUAAAGAAAAAAAUGAAUUUUCACUGGAUGUAUUAUGUAUCUCGACAUAUUCAAAAUGAAAAAAUAUAUCAAAACCUAAUUACGUAUCUUUAAAAAGGAAAAAAUGAAAUGAUGAAGAAAGUGAGGACUGAGCUUUGGGCUGAAAGACCCGGCCCAAAUAUAUUCAAAAUGAAAAAAUAUAUCAAAACCUAAUUACGCAUCUUUAGAAAGGAAAAAAUGAAAUGACGAAGAAAGUGAGGACUGAGCUUUGGGCCGAAAGACCCGGCCCAAAUAAAGCCCAUUUUUGCUAAACAUUAUUCAUUAUUGUUGACCUUGCACUAACGAUUGUGCAUAAUGUGAGCUGCUCUAACUGAGUUGGAUCAUUCAAUUAGUGGUGACAACAAAGUUUCAAAACAUUAACAAAGAAAAAUUUUAGGGCAAACAACAUAAAUUCAGGCGGUUGGAAGUUUAAUUACAGAAAAUUUCGAUAUUUUAUAUAAUUAAUAAAAAAUUAAUUUUUUUUAUUUAUCGAGAUACAUAAUUAGUUCCUAGUAUAUUCAACAAAGAUAUAUUUUUUUCUUUGUAAAGAUACAUAAUUUGCUUUCGAUAGAUUUUUUUUUAUUUUGGGCCUGUUGAGAUACAUAAUAAAUCCAACGAAUAUAUAUUUUUCUCUUUAUAAGGAUACAUAAUUAGCUUCCUAUACAUUUUUUUCGAAUUGGCUCUGUCGAGAUACAUAACGGAGAUACAUAAUUAGUUGAGAUUUUUGUAAUUACUUUGUAAUAGUAGAAAUUUAUGUAAAUACGAUAAAUUAAGGUGUAUUUUUAUGUUGUUUUUCCUCAAAACCAAGAAAAAAAUUAUUUAUAUUAUAAGAUUUUAAUUGAAUUGAUGUGACAAUUUUAAGAUUAAUGUUAAUGACAUUAAAUUUUAAAAUUCUUCAAAUUUUAUUAUUUCCACAAUCUCCCUAUCUUCCUUUUCUCCCUCUCCUUCCCUCCACAUUACCUUUCUCCUCCAAUCGUGAUGUUCGAGUCAGCUUGCGCACACCUCGAUUAAUUUCACAAGAUACCUGUCACCUCCUAACAGCAAUAAGAUAAUUCUAUCCACUAAGGUUAGAACAGAUAAGAAAAAAUCAUCUAGCAUUUGUGUUUGUUGGAAACUGAACCUGAAACCUCAAUGAUGGUCAGCCCAACUUCAUUUUAAUUAAUUGAAGAUUAAAUAUGUUGUGUCAUAUAUUGCAACGAUCAAAUCAAAUAUCAAUAAUUUAGAGAUCAAAAGUGUUACUAUCCCAACUUUUAUUUCUUUCUUUUAUUUUAGGUGGGUCGAUAAAAAUAGUACUCCCUCUAUUCCAAUCAUGCAUCUCGUUUUAUUUUUCACUUUGUCUCAACAUAAAAUAACAGUUUUCUAUAAUUAAAAGCAACUUAACUAUAAAUUUUUCUUUUUAUUCUUAAUGAAAUAAUUUAGUCACACAAAUUUAUUUAUAUUUUUCUUUUUUAAAUUUUAUGUCUAAUUAAGAUGUAUCACAUAAAUUGAGAUUUAGAAAGUAAUUAAGGCAAAAAAGAGUAAUCUAUCUGGAAGAUUAAAAGGGCAAAUUUAGAGUUUGAUUGGGCUGUCCAAUAACGAAGAAAUAAGUAAUUUUUCUAGGACAAACGAUAUAAAUUCCGACAGUUUGAAGUUUAAUUACAGAAAAUAUUGAUAUUUUGCAUAAUCACUGAAAAUUUUAAUUUUAGGUAUGUCGAGAUACAUAAUUAGCUCCGAUACAUCCAAUGAAAAUACAUUUUUUUUUUCUUUGUAAGGAUACAUAAUUAGCUCCCUAUAUAUUUUUUUCGAUUUUGGGUCUGCCGAGAUACAUAAUUAGCUCCCGACAUAUUUAAUGGAAAUACAAAAUUAGGUGGAAUUUUAGUAAUUAAUUUAUAAGGCUGAAAAUUUGUGUAAAUAUAAUAAUUAAGGUGUAUGUUUAUGUUAUUUUUUCAAUAUCUAUAUCUAAUGAUAUUGAUGUGUACAUCUUAACUAGUUGUAGCACUAAGCUAGAUAGUAAUUAUGCACUUUAUAUUCUUUACCAUCAUUUUUAGAUUUAGAUAAUUAGGAAAGUAAAUAGUAAUUAUUAUACACAUGUUAAAUGUAAUUGACUAACACCAACUAGCUAGAUAAAAGUUUAAUCAUAUUGGGGACAAAGACUGUGAAAAUAUUGAAGGAAAGUGCCUUUUUUCUACAUAGGUCCUUUUAAUGCUUCUAUCUUGGCACAACGAUGGACUAAGAAUUUAAACGUUAUGAAUUUUAAAUUUCGGGAUAGCAAUAUCAAAAUGUUAGCGGCUGAAUUCUAAAUUUGACCAAAUAAAAAUAAAUAUAUAAUUUAAAUUAAAAUUAUUGAGUUCGACUGAAUUCAAUAUUAAAUUUAACACGGACAAAACAUGAGAUAAUCAAUAAAUAAUAUGAAUAUUACUCAUGAUUCCAUGAAUAAUAAGAUGAGAACAUAAACUAAAAAAUCAAAAUAAAUUUAGACCCCAAAAAUCAAGAACUAUUGAAAAAUAACAAGCUGACAAAUCUAUUAUAGUAAUAUAUAAGUCGGAAUGAAGUUGCUAAAGCAUGCAGCUGACGGUCGACAUGUCUAUUUCAGCUGCUUCAACUAUGAUUUUACUAUAUCACUCCUAAUUAAUCAUUAUAAGUCAUUUAAGUAUUAUAAAAUGAAUAUAUAUUUAAUUAAAAUAAAGUAAAAUAGACACAAAAUAAUAAAUUAACCCUUCAUAUUUUAAAUGAACUUAACAUCGGACUCAUUUAAAUAUUUUUUACAAGUACUUUUUUAUAAUAAAUUUACUAUAUCAUUUCAUUAGUUAUAAGACAUUUAAGUAUUAAAAAUAAAUACUAUUUAAUAAUAAAAAUAAAAUAUAUCUCUUAAAGAAUAAAUAAUUUAUUUAUUUUAAAUAUUAAAAAAUAACUCAAAAAAUUAUUUAUUUUUAACUAAAAGAUAUAACAAGAAGUUGUCAUUAGAUACCCUUUUAGAGGGAAAGUCAAAGUGAAUAAUUAAAAAGUUAACAACAGACAUUGUGGACACCCUUUUGAUAAAGGAAAAUAAAAAGGUAUGGUAUGUAAGGCAGUGCAAUGAGUAGAAAUUGAGUGGUUUCCCAUGUGAAAUUGCCUCAAGUUAGCCUCAUCAAUCACACUUCAAUAGUGGAUGUGCUGCUACUCUCUUAGUUAGGUAUCUCAGGUUCGAAUUUUGGGUAUGAAAUUUUUUUGAUUGGAGCGCUAUCUUCAAAUUGUCUCUACUCGACGUGAAUUCAAAUUAAUCGAGCUUCAUAAGACGUCAAACAUUGAUGAGAAACCAAAAAAAAUAACACUCUAUGUCAACCUCUCUUCACACUCUUCAACGAUAAAAUUUUAGCAUAAUAGUACAUAAAUAUGUGCUUUGAUUUGACUUCAAUUUGUAUGUAUGCUUUUUAAUUUUGAAUAUGCACAAAUAGACACUUAAACUUGUAUAAAGUUGAACCAGUAGAUACAUAUGUCCUAUGUGACAUCCUGCGUGACUAGUUCUUAUUCUAUAUGGCGUCCUACAUGUAUUAUGCCAAAUAAGACACAUGUGUUUCUUGUUCAAUUUUGUACAAGUUUAACUGACUUCUUGUGCACACCCAAAGUUGGAGGUAAUAGAUGUGAUUUGAGAACAAGUUAAAUGACAUGUUUAUGUAUUAUGUCUUACAUAAAUGCGCCCUUUGGCUUCAACUUAUAUUUAUAUCCUCCAAUUUUAGAUGUUCACAAAUAGAUAUUUAAGCUUGUAUAAAGUUGAAGCAGUAGACGCAUCAAUCCUAUGUGAUGUCCUACGUGACCAAUUUAUGUCCUGCGUGUAUUAUGCCAAAUAGGACAUAUGUGUCUACUUGUUUAACUUUAUACAAGUUUAAGUGUCUACUUGUGCACAUCCAAAGUUUGAGAUCAUAAAUGUGAUAUGAGGCCAAGUUAAAGGGCAUGUUUAUGUAUUAUGCUUAAAAUGUUUAUAUCACAAAAGAAUAACUACUUAAUCAAAAAAUAAUUUUAUUAUUAAAUUGUGAGAAUUCAUCAUAAUCCAUGGGUCUGAAGAGAAUAGAGUGAAAACUAAAGAUAGAGAAGUUAUUUUCGAUAGCCUCCUGCUACAACUAGUUUUAGCAAUACAAGUAAUAUUAAGAUUCCAAUGAGUGUGGACAAGUAAAUUUUCAAGAGAAAAAAGGCAAAUUAUUUGGUGGCUAAGGAAAAGAAAAUUUUCCAAAUGAAAUGAUGUUUCUCCUUCCAUUGGUAGUUUAGGCAAAUUAUUAUUAGGUGGUUAAAGAAGAAAAAAAAGUUCCAAAAGAAACCCCCUCCGUAUUAUUACUUCCCUUUUUGGAUUCUCACACAAUACAUUUUUUACUUGAAUUACUUUCACAAUAACACAAACGCUUCUCUACCUAAACAAAAUAGUAUACCAAAAUACUCUUUCUUCUUCAUUUCUUCUCUAUCUUCCAAUUUUCAAUGAAUUUAAGUUAUAUAUACUAAAUUUCCCUUCUUCUCCACUAUCUUCACAUUCUUACUGCAAGAUAUGUGACAAAUCAUUAGUUGACUAGUACCAAAUCAAGAGAUUAUACUUUGAAUCGUUACAAAAAAAAUUUUAAUCAAGUCAUUUUACAGCCUCGUCAAGUUUAAGAACAAAUGGAUAGCGAAUCAAUGAAAUCGUGCAGUUGAUUCUAUAGAUGCUCUCAAGAACAUCACCAACAAAAUACUAUCAUAUCGACUGGGAGAACAACUGUUGGAGAUUUUUGAAAAAAUGUCGGAACUAAGACCUCAGUAUUUUCAACUUGUCAAGUCAAAAUUCUUCUACUUGUGUUCUUUCAUUCUCUCUCACCCUCUCUACUUUUGCUACUUCAUUUUCUUCUCCCCUUACCUUCUUAAACUCCUUUCAUUCCUUUCUCCUCUCUUCAUCACAACUACACUUUUUCUCCUUGCCCUUCUUACCAUCUCUCCAAGUCUCAUUCUCCAUGAUAAAUCGAAAGAGCUAACACGAAAGGAUGAUGAACUCAAUGAGCUAGAAGAAUUUGAAGCCUACAAGAUAGUGUUUGGCGCGUCCAAAAAUGAUGAUCACGACAAUGCUGUUGACUUCUUGGACUAUACAUCAGCUGAGGAAAGUGAAUCCCCUAUUCUUGAGGGAGAAAAUUCGGCUGAAAUGGAGAGUACUAAGCAUGUUAUAGAGGAGAAGACAUUGGAAAAUUUCUUCAAAGAGUUGGAUGAAUUUGAAAACACCAACUUGACUCAUAAUGUGGAAGUGAAGAAAGUUGAUAAAAUCAUUGAAAAACAAAAGGAAGAUGCACUUGUGAGAAAUGGACUUAGCAAGAAUCUUGAAAAUGUGAGCAAGAAUAUUGAACAUGUAGGAAGUAUUGGUUAUGGAUCAAUGAGGAAAGAAAAAGAGUGGAAAAGGACAUUGGCAUGCAAACUUUUUGAGGAAAGGAACAAUGUUAGUCAUAGCAACAACGAAGGAAUGGACAUGUUGUGGGAAAAAUAUGAAAUGGACACCAUAAAAAACAAGUCAAAAAGGGAUUUAAAGAAGAUGAAAAAGAAGGGAUGUGAAAAAGAACAUGAUGAAGAUGAAGAAGAGAUGGAUGAUCAACAACUUUGUUGUUUACAAGCCUUCAAAUCUUGUCAAGAUUUCAAAGGCAUUUAAAGGUUUUGGAUGGCUACAUCAUGUAGGCAAGAGUAACAAGAAGGUACAUUGUGGUGAUGGGUUCUAGUUAGAUUAUGUAUUUUGAAGAUUCAUCGUAAAUUGGCUAGCUUUGCGCGUAUGUGGACUUGGAAAGAUGUCAUGAGCAAACUCACAUAGGCGGAGUUUAUGGUGAACAAUGUUUCUAGUAUUAAAUAUGCUUUGAAGAACUUUACACUACUUGUCAAGUAGAUACUUUGUACUAGAGUUAGUGAUAUGGACUACGUACACUUUACCAUCCAAACCCCCUCACCCCCACCCCACCCUCCAGACCCUACACUGGGUAUGUUGUUAUCGUUGUCGAGUAGAUACUUCUUGUGUUAGUCAUAUCAUAUUCUAGCAUAGUACUGCAAUUGGAUCAACUGUUGCAUUCUCCAUGAUAGUGUGCUUUUGUAAGCCCAGAUUUUAUUUACGGUCUUCCUUUUUCUUAACCAUCCGAUUUUGAUUAAUCCAAAUUUAUGCUGUAAAAAGCCUAUCGCGAUAUUCUAUUUAUGUCUUAACAAUGCCUGCAAAGAAAUUUAAAGUGCGUGAAUGUUAAGAACUUUAAAAGUCGAAACAAUCAAAGUUCAAAUCCUAAAUCCGUCUUAUAUCAGAAAAACACAGUUGCUUUACACAUAGGCAGCUAAACAUCUACCCAAUAUUAAUUGGAAUUUUUGUAACUUAAAUCCUCCAUGUUUUACAUAAUAGAUCCAAGCAAGCCACCUCCAUCUCCUGUGAAAUUGUUGUUUGUCAAACAAACCUUACCCUCAUAAUGAGUUUAAGUAACACAAACAUAGAUUAGCCAGACCAGUGAAUUAAACUGAUACUAAUAUAGAUUAGUCAGACCAGUGAGCUAACCAACGGUUCAAGAAAACGCGCAGAUUAGUCAGACCAGAGAUCUAACAAAUGGUUUAAGAAAACGCACAGAUUAGUCAGACCAGUGAGCUAACCAAUGGUUCAAGAAAAUGCACUGUUCUCUGAUUUCAAGACUGAAGAUGGACAAAACAUAAAAACAGCAUCCUCUGUUGCCAGCUGAUAAUAGAAUCCAUGAGAGAUUUAUAACUAACAUAAACUCAUUUCCACAAUUGCCAAAAUGAUUCAACUCAUACAAUUGAGUAAAAGAGACUGAAUAAUCACUUUCUGGGGACUUAAAUGCUCUAUUAGAUACUCUAUAUACUGCAUAGAAGUCA